CACCACCAUCUUCGUUGCUAGCCAACACCGAUCGGCACCUCUUUCGGCGUUGGUUUCAGCGCCAAUCAUGGUAGAGUUUUUUUUUGCUUCUGGUGUUGGUUUUUUUUUUUUUUUGGCUUUCUCCUUCUCUUCCCUCUCCCUUUUCCUCUCCUCCUUCCUCCUCACUCCCUCUCCUCCUCCCCUUCCCUACUCUUUCACUCGCAGCCUCUCUCCUUCCCAUCCCUCCCCCGUCAUCCUCCCUUACCCUUUUCGUCGUGCAAUUUGGAGAGAGAUGGCAAGUGAGAGAGGAGGGGGAGAAGGAAGGGGAGGAGGAGAGGAAAAAGAAGAGGGAGAAGAGAAAGAAAGAGAGAAAAAAAAAAAAAAGCCUGCUGCUAUCGGCGCCAAUUGCCGGCAGAGGUUCUGGAGUCAGUGAUCGGCGAGUGGUGAGGUGAGGGAGGAGAGGAAAGAAAAGGAAAAAAAAAGAAAAAAAGUUUUACAUUAAAAUUUUUUUUUAAACAAAUUAUAGAGUAAGUUACAUUAAAAUUUUAGACAAACACCAAAAAAUUUAUUUGCCAAACAGAGCAUUAUUUUUAUUAUUUGACAAUGAUAAAAGUGAUACAUAAAAGUUUUCUUAUAAAAGAUAGUGAGUUGCGGUCCUAGAAAUUGCUGGUUCCAGUUUUUCCAACCGAACUUUGGUUGGAAAGAAUUAAAUAGAUGACAGUUCUUGGGCCUGCCUAACACCCAUGGCCCAGAUGAGAGUCAAAUGGUGGCCCUCUUACAAUUUUCCAGCUGUGAAAUGGUUUUGAAUGAAAUAUCCAUGGACCAAGGCAAUCAGCAAGUGGCCCCAACUGCAUUCAUUUGCAUUCAGCAUUUCACCUUUUUGGAAUUAGGGAAGUGGGCCUGGAAAUUAAUAAUAGCAAACCUGAUGCUCAUAUGUCCAUGUCAAAAUUAAUCCAAUUUUCUAGCAGGACUUUUAUAAAAUUUAAAAUGCUUCAAAUUUUUUAUGUUUUACCACCAAAAACCGAGGCAGCAUUGCAGCAAGGGUUUAUUUAGAGUAAAUACGUCAAUUGACAGUGUAUAUAUUAUGACGUUUGGAUGCAUGAUAUAUAUUUAAAAUUUACAUUCUAAGUUUAAAUUUAUAUUAGGUAUUAAUGUAUAUACUAUGAGUGUAUAAAAGAUUAAUUCUUGUUUUUAAUACUACUCUAGUUAAUUUAUUCGAUAUUAUAAUUUAGACUACAUUAACAUAAGAGAACUAUUUUAAAGUAGAGGAGUACUAAUUUGCAACAUAAUCCCCUUUAUCCUUCUUAAUAAAAUAAAAUAGGACUGGCAUUCCCACCCCGUGGACGGGGUUUUUGCCACAAAGAAAAAAAAAAUCCCCUGUAUCCUUCGUAAUAAAGAUCACCAUACUUUUGUGUUUCACUGGAUAAAAUUAGGUUACCAUCUAAUUUUUUUUCUUGAUCUUCAAUUGAUUAUCUAGGCUAGUUUUUUAUUCAAUCGACAUCUAACUAGACUCGUUGAAUUAGCUAACAACUUUUAAAUUUAUGAGUUGUUAACUGUCUUUCAUGAAAACAUUUAGUAAUUUGCUUGAGACUUUUAAGUAUACCUGGCAAUUGGGCGAGUUGGCCGGGUUUUGGGCGGGUUAAUAUUGAGUUUUUACUUAAAUGGGUUAUACCCAACUCGCCCAACUUUAGAUUUAAUUUUGGGUUGGGUCAUAUUGGGUCAUCUCAAACCCAUGACCCAAUAUAUUAAUUAAUAGAUUUUGAUACACAAAUUCUCUCAGAUACAUUUUUGCAUACAAAAAAAUUUUUUCACACGCUAAAACACUUUCACGGAUACAAAUAAACACUCACUUCUUAAGUUUUAAAAAAUACACCGUUUUUACACACUAAUAUACUUUUACAAACACACACACGUACUAACUGCUUAAAGUUUAAAUUAUUUGGAUGAACUCAUUGGUUUUUAUACAAGUUAGGAUUUUCAAAUUGGAUAGUGGAUAUAGUUUUGGUCCAAACUAAGAGACCGAAGCAACAAUUUUUGUUCAAAUUGAAUAUAGCAUGAAAAAAUGGUAUACCAAUAUGAAGCAAUGCAAGUUCAAGAUCUCAUUUUUAGGACUUUCUUCUUCAACUUGUUUAAAUUUAGUUAAAUAUGCAAUGUUCCAAUUCCAAUUAUAGUCAGUCCUAGUUGUGUGUGUGUGUGUGUGUAUAUAUAUAUUCAUGGUGAUUGGUGACCAACCGAAGAAUCGUUGAACCAAUGCAACCAAUUCUCGUAGUACAAUAUUUACUUGCAUAUCUUACACCAGAAAUAUGCAUUUUUAGGAUAUUGCGACUGGAAGAAUAGAAAUGCAAAAGGGGAAGCAAAAAUGAACCCAAAGUGGGAUUGAAAUUUUGUUUCUGUUGAUUGAAAACGUUGUUAGCAAGGUGGGGAAGCUUGUGGUGGUGGAGGUUUAUCCGCUGGAAACAUAUAUUCGCUACUUGCUGGUCUUUUCUUGCUCCUUAAUUUUAAUUUGUUUAAUUAUUUUUUAACUUAAGUUGGGUAAUGAGUACCCAACAUAAAUACCCAAACCGCCCAAAAUAUAUGUGGGUUUUUAUUACCCAACCCAAAACUGACACAACACCCAAUUUACCCAACCCAACCUCUCAAAUUAGUGGUUGGAUGGAUUGUUGGGUUUUGGGCAUAACUGCUAGGUCUACUUUUAAGUAAUUUUAGUUAUUUAAUAGCUCUAAUUUACCAUCUAACCUUAUAUUAAUUGAAAAUACAAAGUAGAAGCAAAUUGAGUUUCAAUUUUAUAGUACCUCUGAUGACAAUUAAAAGGGUGUUAAACAUUAAAGUUGAUUUUUUGAGACUAAUGAAGAGCAAUUAGUUUGUCAUUUACUACUCUUACUUUCUUAUAAAGUCUAGAAUUAUCUUUUGAUUUACUGAUGUCAUUUAGUUGUUAGUUGGUAUUAAUUACGAGGGGUACACAUAUAAUUGUAUCUGAUGUGGGCAAGACAAUAAGAGAAGUUGUUUUCUUGUUGAAUGCAGUUCAUUCUUAGUUAUAUUUUUCAGAGUUUAUUACUGGUUCUGGGCUGGUGUAUUCUGUCAUACGCCCUUUUUCUACAAAAGGGUUAUGAGCGUUCAAUAGUAAAAUGAGAAAUCAAAAGAAACAUAACUAAAUGUAAUCUUCAACCUGUUUAUUUUAUUGUUGGAAAGUGAAAUGAAUUGGAAAAAUCAAGUGUAAGAACAUUACUUCCCAAGGAGGCUGUGCGAUCAAGCAUCCCAAGCAAGCAAUCGACUUUUUAAAUGUUGAAAGCCGUCCAUGUCCAUAAUAACACACCAGAUGAAGCAAAGCACAUAUACUUUACUAACACAGUUAAGUUUUGCCAUGUGAAUUAUGGUACAUGUUUAUAUAGGUGCAUGUAUAUGGGCAUAGCAUUAUUUUUCAAGUAGCCAAAAAUGGAUCUUGAAUUGGGACUUAAGCUUAGAAGAGUUGCAGAUGAAUUUUGCUUAGCUGAUUUUCAAUUUUACAAGGAUCGUACUGGUCCUGUUUUCAUUUCUACAGAAACAGAUAGUAAGUUCUUCCUCACUGCCCAUCUCAAAGGUAUGCUCAUUCUUCCUCAUUUGCAUCUCUUUUUUUCUUCAGGAUGUUGAAUUUAAGAGAAUUAGUCUUGAGCCUAAUCCUCAUUAUUUAUUUCGACUAGACUAAUAAGGUCUCGUCUGCACAUUUUGACAUUUUCACUUGGUGAUUUUGGAUUGUAUCAUUAUGUUAAAAUAUGUUUUGAAAAUUUCAGGGCAUAGGAAACAGAAUAUUAAGAUUGAGAUCAAUGAGGACGGGACUCGAAUAAUAAUAAGUGGUGAAAUGGAAAUUCAGGAGACUGUAAUGGUGGAAUGGAGAUUGUACAGAAAAGAAACAGAAAUUAGGAGAUUCAGGAAGGCUUUCAAGAUCCCUGAUGGGGUGAUCUUGGAUAAAAUCAAAGCAAAGUAUAAUGCGGAUGAAUGCAUAUUGACUAUUUCAAUGCCGAAGAAAGAUAAGGGAAUUCGAGGGUUCGACAUUGAGGAGGUGCAGGAACAGGAGCUUGCUAGAGAGGGGUCAGAAACUUUGGAGAUAGUGCCUGAUGAGGUCCCUAAACAAGAAGAUGAGAUGCAAGAAAAAGAUCAAGAAGCAGAGGCAGAACAUGCCGAGGGAAGUGGCUUAGCAGAAGAAGAAUAUUCAGAAGUUCCUGAAAUUGCAACCAGUGAAGAACCUAAAGAAGCUGGCUUCGAUGUUGCACCGCCUGAAGAAACUCAGGCGGCGGAGGUUCAUGAUAUGAAGAAAGAGGAAAUGAAAGAACAUCAACUAGACCAGAAUGAAAGGCUGAAGAAGCCGUCAGAAGAUCAUGAAGGAACAGUUGAGGAAGCGAAAAGUUCUCCAGAUGUAGCGAAUGGAGAAGGAAGUGGUAAAUCCCCUGCAAGCCAUCUCGCCACGGGCGAAACAUCUCAAAGGGAAAGUGUGAUGCAGGCGCAAGAGUUGGAAAAGGAAGAAAAAAGCCAAGGUAUUGAAGGAGAUAUGGAAAGAAAACAUGAACAGCCUGAGCCUUUGACUGAAGUCAUCGACCAAAAUCACCAUAAACGUGAUCAAGUUGAUGGAAAAGAAAGUGGCACUCAAGAAGCAGAAGAAGAAGAAGAAUCCGCUUUAGUUAAACCUCCUGAUGAGGUUCAAGAAGAUAGGCCAUCAAGGAUUGAGAAGCACAGGGGAAGAUGCAAAAUGUGUGCUCCUAUUCUUGCAGGAUCUGCCUUACUAUUGUCCCUUGUAGUGUUUGUCAUUCAAUUCAUAAGAAAAAAAAGCCAUCAAGGGAAAAGGAAAGAAUAGCCAACACCAUUGUAGCAAUUAUAUACUCUGCGCAGCAACUAUAUAGAACGAUAGCUUUGUCAUAGGAGCUGACAGGUUAAAUUCCACUUAAUCCUGAAAACCAUUUACACAUACAUUUGUUGAUGAUGGAACGCUAGGGAUUAAAUACCUUAUCCAAGCAAUAAAGUGUCUAUUAAAUCGUCAUGCAGUCCCAUGGGAUUAUUGAGCAUUGACAUAGUCUUCAAGUUCUUGAGUUUUGAUUUGCUCAUUGACCUCAUUAUUCUUGAUCCAUCCAGGCUUUUUUAUGUUGAUGGAUUCUAAUUCAAUUAAUUCCAGCAUUCCCUGUUUCUUAUCUCUAUGUGGUUACCUGAGCAAGUGUUCUCUCUCUUCCAUACGUCUGUAAUUAUAUGUUUCAUUGCUAUCCAAUCAUUUGUGUGCUUUCUUGCUGUCACUAGCUAACCAAGAGUCAAAUACUCGGUGAAAAGCACUCAAAAGAAGAAGAUAAGUUAAGACGAAACCUAUAAAAAUGACAAUGAAGCAAUGGAUUGGUGGCCAAAGCUAAAGAUUAAAGAACAAAGUGCUAAUGAUUCUAAAGUAGGGUCAAAAGAUAGCAAUAUUACAUGGUAUGAUUAUCGCCCUUAAAGCUACUUUAAAUUUAAAGCUACAGUUCCCACUGCAUUUAAGCCCAACUCAUUUUUUUCCCUUUUGAAUUUACAUUCUCACCAUCAUUCUCUCACUCAGUGCCUUUCUUAAUUUCAUAGCAGCAUCAGUAAAAUGAUACAGCACAAAGCUCUUGGAACUGCUAGUACCCUAACCACCUGCAUUAUCAUCAAGCAAAAGGGUUUCAAUCAGGAAAACAAUCAUAAAGCUGCAAAAUGCAAUGAUCAUGAAGUCACCAAAAAGGAAAAAAAAAAUCUCAAAAAUCUCACUUUAGUGUAAUUUGGCAUGCAAGAGACAAAAAUUAACCUACUUAUAAUUAUAAUGUUUGAUCUCCCAUUAUUCAUCACAUCUAAAAUCACGAAAUUGGUCACAUUUAAAAUUUUUCUUUUGCCAGGUGAACUAUGAUGCACAGACUAAACAUCAAAAUACAGAUUGAAGAAGGUUAUGAAGAUUUAUGGAUUUCUUCUUCUCUCUAUCUUUUUUUUUAAAAAAAAAUUUCUUUAUCUUUCUCUCCUUUGUGGUCUACUUAAGGAUAUCAGAAUGAGAUGAAUUGCACGUGAAGUGUCCUUUUGGGCAAAAUUCUUUCUGCACAUCUAAAAGUUGACACCAUUUGGCAGUUUGAAUCCAAUACUUUGCCUGAAAUAUUGCAUCCCUAAGUUUUUGUUUUCUCCUUCAUGUUUAUUUUUGCGCACAAUGGCAGAAAUACAUAGAAACUCUAAAGCAAUUGGUCACAUAAGCUGCAGGGGUGACACUGGGACUUACAUUCAGAGCAUGGUAAAUCUAUAAAUCACCAGAUGAAAACUGUUUAACAAGUCGACUAACUGGUCAAAACUGGGUACAUCCAGUCUUCAAAGAUCCGGUCUACUCAGGUGUGCAAUUUAUUAGUCUUUCAAAUGCCAAUCAUGUAACUUCCAUUCCAAUUUUCUUUUCCCAAAUCAUGACAAGAAUUUAAUUAAUACUAGAAACAAUUGAUCCAAAGUUUACAGACAUUAAUAUGCUGAAUAAGUAAACUUCACAGGUAUGCCUCAACUAGCUUAUUCCUGCUUAACAAUUUAAACCAACCGAAACAAGAUUUUGUACUUACCGACUAUUCAUUAGAAAAAAUAGCACUGCCACUAUGCGAUGAAUAUGCAACUACGCAAACUAAAGGGCUUCUUUACCUUUCUUUCGUAACUUCCAGAAACGGGGAAAGGCCGAAUUGUAGCAGUAUCGACUUCGCCAGUCGGUAGGGGUACAGCAGGAUUGCUAUUGAUAAACGGAAUUCCACUUUUAUCAGGCACCAUGGGGCUGGUGGCAGGAAACAUUUCACUUGGUGCAGGACUAGGUGAAGUGACAUCUCUAGGCCUAAAAGGCCAAGGAAAUGCUGGAGAAGACGCCACGAAGCCACCAGAACUUCGGGGUGGCGCCGCCAUUGGGGACAGAUCAGGUGGUGAUGAGGCCUGAUUUACAGGCGGGGCUGACAAAGUGACCUGAACAGCAAAUUUUUGGCCUUCUUGACAUGCUUUGUUAGAACCAUUGUUGAAUGAGAAGUAGAAGAAACCUUUUCUUGAAGGGUGCCACUAAAUUUCACAAGAAAACAAGAAAAUUGUUAGUAAUAUUUUACAUCCAUUCUUGAAUAAAACAUGCACAGUAAGAAAAUUUACUGACAAACUCGUUUCAUGGGUUCACUUUUUAGUGAGUAAACCACUAUUUAAAAAAAAAAAAAAAAGAAGAUGGUAAUAAUAAGCAAGUAAUAGAGCUAGUUUGCAUCCAUUCUUGAAUUAGACGCUCAUGCCAGAAAAGUUACCAUCAAAUUGAAAACGUGGUGCCAUUUUUUAGUUAGUAGCAGUACAUUUCUUUAAGAAGAUGGAAUUAGUAAUCAGCAAAGUACAUGGAGAAUAUCGGUCCAGCUUAUAACUAAAUUACAGUAAUACACCCCGUUUAUUUCUCCAAGAACUCUAAAGUAACAUCUUGCACGAAAAUACACACACAUGCAGAAGGAAAGAGAGAAUUACUGUGUAAGAAGUGGAAUUGGAUUUGGUGAGAAGAGUGGCUUGCUUGAAGUUGCAGAGACUGAAGGCUUCAUGAUUCUGGAAAAUGUAGAGGUUGUAGUGAUACUUGUGCUGAAAAACUGAAAAUCAAGAAAGACAGACACCAAAGUUAAUUUAAUUUCGUGACAAUGUUAUAUAUAUUAUGAUACUGGUAAAUAAACAAUUAAUUAGAGUUUCUGAAGGAGGGAUCAUGUGAUGACUGCUUAGUACUUACUGACAGAGUCUCCAAUUUGAACAGUAGGAUUUCUCCAUUCUGAGACACCAUCAACUACAACUGUUGCCUGUUGAGCAAUUUGGAAAUGUAGAAUCACAAAAACAAGACUGAAGAAAAAUCCCAUCAUGGAUGGAGCUCCCAUUUAGCUCUUACUAUAUUCUUGUCUUUGUGAAUCAAGAAAAUGGUCUGUUAGAAAAAAGUAGCCAGAGAAGUGUGUGUUUGUGCAGGUGCAGUAUCACUAUGUGUUGUGUGCGUGUGCUUGCUGGUGGACUGUGAAGUGGGGUGGAGGGGUUUUAAAGAGUUGUCAGCGGUGUUUGGCUUUUCACGGGAAGAGUUUGAAUGGUGGGCACAAUGUGGUACUGUGACAUUGUAGAAUGUGUAGCAUAUGAUAAUAGCAAUUAGAGUCAUGUUUUUUACAGUAAAAGGUGCAAUGAUUUUGUCUGUGAAUAAAUUUUUUGAAAACAGAAUGCAAAGAACAGUGGGAUUAUGUGUGUGAAAUUUUGGGUGGUUGUGAUGAGUGAUGAUGGGGAUUAUUAUUCUAAAAUGAUUAGGUUUGUGAUUAUCAAUCUGCAAGAAAUAAUCUCUUAUGUGCAACUUUAAUACUACUGUUAUGAUUGUUAUAUACUUUUGCUUUUUUGGGGUUUGUUGGGGAUUCCAAUCUUUUCUUUCUUUAUUGACUCACUGGACAUUCCUUUUGAGGUUUUGUUAAUCUUCAAUAUAUUUUUUCCUUUAUGCAACGUCCUAAGAUUCUCUUAUGCUAACGCUUGAAGGAAUAAAAUCUAUGAAGAAGCAUUCCAAGAAUUAUACAAAUUAAGUAUAAUACCCAAAGAAACAUCUCUAGAGACAAACUUCGGGCAGACAAGACAAGGUUUCUACUGCCAUUACUUCAUCCAUGAUUUUGUUUGCCACUGGGAUCAUGUUUUAUAUUUACCCGUGACAUAAUCUUAGAUUUCUAGAUCACUAAUAGAUCCAUAUACAAGCUUACGUUUUUUAUUUUUAAAUAAAAUAGGAAAAACAAUAUUAGUGUUACGUACUUUGUUCGAAAUUGUUCAACACUAAGUUCUGUUUAGAAACUCAUCUUUUUCCAAAAAAUUUUUACGUUUUUCGUGAAUAUAUUUCUUAAUCAACUUUUUAUCUUAUAUACGUCAAAUCGCUAUACUGCAUUUUCCUUACAAAAACUUCAAAAAAUAGCAAUUCAUAUGCAAGCUUAAACUUUUAUGUUUGCAAGGAUUCAAGCAACCUAUUGGUAAAUCUCAACCUUUGAAAUUGAGUUUUGUAAUGAGUUUUGCCGAGGUAAAUAUUACGAAUAAAGAUAAGAUUUCGGGUGCACUUCUGGUGCCCGAACAAGAUUAAUAUGGGUAUCAAUGAUUAGAAUUUAGAAAAUUUCUUGACUUCUGUUUACCAAAUGGGAUCUAGUCCCUGUAUGCUCUUGACCACGAAAGGAAAAAGAUUUUUUUUUCUUUUCUUUUUGCUUCUCUUUGUAUAGAUAUUUAAGAUUUUCUAUUGAGCUGAUGAUAUUUUAGUCCAAUCACCAAUUAGAGUAAAUUAUGCGAGUCUCGAGUCUUGUGUAUGGCUAAGGAGACAAACACACAGAUACCGACACUAACCAGGCUGAUCCCACAUCCAAGGACUGUAGAUCCGUCAUACCUUCUGCUUGGAUGUAGAUCCCUCAUACCUUCUGCUUGUAUCUGGUGAUUCUUCAGACGAAUUGUACCACAAUCAGUCAGGGAAUAUCAACAGUUCACUGUUUGAAAUCUUGUCCAGUAAUAGCAGUCUCCCAUCUUAAUAUGCUGCUGCAAAGUUGACAAGUGAUUUCUACUUAAAUCUUGGGUAAAUCUGUUCAGGUAAAACUUUCCUUUUAAUUCAGCUCUAAAAUCGUAGCGGAACUUGUGAGCUGGAAAAUGAGACCCCUUGGAAUCAUGGUUCAAAGUCGCGGUCGCGGCUCGGAUCGUUUCAUAUCUGUCUCGAUAUAUUGGUUGCAGUUUCGGCGAUACAUAAAUUUUUGAAAUAUUUAAUAUUCUAAAAAUUGUAAAAAAAAUAUAAUAAACAAAAAUAAUUAAAAAUUAACAAAAAUAAUAAAAAAUCGAGUUGACUCGAGAUGACUUGGGAUGACUUGGGACAACUCGACUGUUUCUAUCUAUCUCAGAAACGUCUGUGCCGAGUUCUCCAUGAUUCGGCUGAAUUCUCGGCGAUUCAUUAUUUCGAAAUCAUCUCGUUCCGAUAUAGCACCUAGAAGUCCUGUUCCGAUGGCGUCUCGGCCGAGUCAUCUCGAUUUUGGCAUAGUCUUUGAACCAUGCUUGGAAUCCAUCUUCAAGACCAUCUAGAUGAAGAUUCAAUGGUUUUUGGGCCACAAUCCUGCUGAAUGAGUUCAAUGAAAACAACCUAAUUUCAGAUUUCACAAGCGAGCAGCAAAAUCAGAAGUGCAAUACCCUUUAUCUCCUCGGGUAAGCUGUCCAAUUAAGAAAAUGAAAAAACCCCUUAGGUAAGAGGGUUUUUAGUACUGCUAGACUGAAAUCCUUCUUAUGAAAUGCUGGACCACGACUUCCUAACUGCAUGACCCCUAACACCAAAAGAAUAGAAAUUUCCCCUUUAUAAACCAAGACAAGGACUAGAGGACAAAAAUUGUGGCCAGAGGAGCGAGGAGAGGACUUCGAAAUGUCCAUUUCUACAGGGCUCGGUUUACAAUUUCUCAUUAACUAAUGAAAAACGGAUAGAUUAUCAUCGGAAAGGCUUCGUACUUUGAGGAAGCUCAGUAAGCUAACAAAUUAGUAGUAAAUACAGCAGAGUUCAAAUCAAUGCAAAGAUAUUCAGACCCUUAAGAGAAGAGAAAGUUAAAUGUAACACGAAGAACCCACAUAAUUGGCUGGAGAGAAAGUGACCACAUUUCAGUAUGCGAAUAAUGUAGGGUUAUACACAAACAAGCAUGAAAGAAAGACAAGGUCAUAAUUCUGGGAAGUUGUAUCAAGCAGGCAUUUGUCAACUGUUACCUACGGUAGCCAAGAGGUUGUACACAAACGAGCAUGAAGGAAAGACAAGGCCACCGUUUUAGGAAGUUGUAUCAAGCUAGCAUUUGUCAAAUAUCACCACAGCAGCUUAUAAGUUGUCGUUUCCAUCCUCGAAUUCUUCCGGCCAGCUUUCAUGAAUUGGCAGCAAAUAUAGAUAGAAGACACAUAGUUCACAUGAAGAAAAAUUACACAUACAUGGUAUCAAUUUCGGUCUGAAAUGGAUCCAACCAACAUCUCCACUUGCUAUAUUGAUGAUUCCCAGCUCAUAAUUUCAAACCUCAAUCGAGUAGAGCAACUCAUGCACUGGUCAGCAAGAAACAAUCAAGAACAAUCGCUUUCCUUGGGGACCCAGGAACAGAAACUUUUCUUGGUGCAAAUGGAAUUUUACAGAAGAAGUGAUAUCCUCCUGCUUUUAGUCCUCAGAUCGAAGGGACAUGCGUACACGGAUCAGAGGCAACAGAGAUGCCUUUACGGGCUGCGCCGUGCAUUUAUUUCCCCAGAUGCUUCAGAUUGUGAGCGCCUAACACUAAAUCUUAGCAUGUCAACAGUGCAAAUUGAAUGCAUUUUCUGGUUAAAAAGUAACAAUUCCCUUCGAGUUCUGGCAUGCCAAAGGAAGAAAGUCCGUACAACUUAAAAUAAUCUAUCUACUUGAUUAAAAGUGUAACCGAACGUUUCAAUGACAAACUUCAUUAGGACAUAAUAAUUUUAUAUAUUUCCCUUGACAUUAGCAACUUGGGGAACUACAGCUUUGCAUUGCGUAACUAAGUACAUAGAACGAACGAACCUGUCUCUGUUGACGUUUGCCAUUCCAACUAUCUAUUACAGAUCCUAGAUUAGGUAAGAGAUUGGAACCCAUUAGAGUAUAAGCCAUUUCAAUUUACAGCAAGAAUCACUUAAUCUCUCAAAGGGCUAGAGAAAACACUCAAGAUUAACCAGUAACCCUUCCACUGGACUGAAGCUCAACUAAGAAUACUUAUCCACAAUCAAUGACCACAACUGGAUCUUGCAACCAAUGCUAAGAUACGUUCAAUUUCCUUUUCACAUCAAGUGCAUAACAGAAAGUCACCAUUCCAUAGACCGAACUCUCCGCAGAAUGCGUGCUGGUCUUCGCUUCUCCACAACAGGGAUCACUUUCUCCUUUAGCUGUAUCAAAAAUAAAUUACCCAGUCAGUAUCUGAAGAUUUUCUUGCCAUAUACCAUUCUAGCCUUGGCUGAUCUACUCGUUAAUCUUAGGGAUAAAUAAAGCACUUAGCAGUGAGUUCAUUUCCAUGGUGAAAUUAAAUUAGUUAUCAACUAAAAAACUCAGCAAGCAUGUCAUCCUUCAGAGAUCAUGUUCAUUACGUUAUUCUUCCAUGUGGGUAUUCAUCAAAGGAUCUUAGAGCAAUUUUUCAAGUCCUACUACUCUAUAUAUGUAUUGUUGACAAAAGCUUAUUCUUUUCCCCCUUCACACAUAGCAGGUAACAAAUCUUGCAUUUGGAAUGAAGUAAAAACCAGAGGAACACAACAAGGACCACCUAUUUCCGCUGCAUUUGUCCUCAAUCCAUCAACCUAUUCAUCUAUCUCAGUCCAUCAUGGAACAGGAUAGCUUAAGGAACCUCCUAACAGCCUUAAAUGCCCAACAAGAGUUAUUAUAUAAGAAUAAUUCUAACACUGCUUGUUUCAAUGUAGAUUCUGGUUGACCCAGCCUAUUUGUUCACUACGGUGCAAGCAUCCUUAUCAAUCUACUCUAAAUGGGCCAGUCAUCUUGUAUUCAUAUGCUAAAAAAAAAAAAAAAAACUCAAAAAUGUUCAUGAUGUGGGAAGAAGAGUAUUAUUUUAUCAAAUGUGGACUAAGAAGCAUGGACACAGUACAGCAUAUGAACACAACAUGACAUAGACAAAACCAAGAAAUAAUUAUCCUGAAACCAAAGAAAUUAUAUGCAGACAUCGAAUAAAAUCUUCUACGAGUAUGUACACGAUUAAUGCUAAUUUCCAAUUGUAUCUAUAUAUUCUAGGUGUGUAUAAUAUUUGAAUAACCAAAACUUGUGACUUCUAGAAAUACUUAUGGUCAAAGGGAUAAUAGCAUUUUCUGUAUCUUUUAGCCUCACAUUUUUCAUGGUCAAAGCCUGAUUCAUACAAUUUAUAGGCAAGUUUCUCUGAUUAUGUCAAAAUAUUAAAGACAUCUUCACAACUCUUUAUCACCAAUCGCUGUAAAUGAUAUAUUCUAUACUACUUUACAUGUUUGUAGCUCAUGUUAAUCUAUGUUAAAAGAUAGAGUCGCUUGCUACAUCUCAAUAAUGCUUAAGAUAUUUGGUCAAGAAGUGUUUAUUGUUUUCUUUAUUUUUUUUCACCUCAAUCUUUUACACGGUCAAAAAAGUGUUGCACAUGUCCAAGAAUGUCAAAUGUGUGACGCGUCCAGCAAAGGCAUGUUCUUAUCCUCGAUGUAUCAGUUAGACAGAUGCAAUCAAGUUGGGCUGAAACUCUAUUUGGCUUUCAAAAAUAGAUUUCCAAAUUUGACCGACUUGAUCCAUUUUGUUGAGUCUGCUUAAGUUCGAACGCAAUAAGUAUUCCAGACUUUCAACCUACCUUCAAUUUCACUGAACAAAUGCAGAAAUAUUAAACAAAAUUCCACAUACUCGAUUACCUGAUGACUAUCCAAUUACAGACUUUUGACCAGAUACCACUGUAAAAAGAAUAGUACAGGUUCCCCACAUCUUGGUUAGCAGAGCCAUUCACAAGAUUUAUCAUUAGGAGGAAAAAAAAAAAAAAGAAGAGCAAAGGAAGAUAAACUCAAGAUAUGGCCGGAAGGUUGUGACAUUGAUGGUACACUAAUGGCUUCUUAUCUUCUACUCCUUGAAAAUCAUGAUAGAGAAAACAGCGAGGUGGUUGUGUGAGUCGACCCCACUGGUCAACUUUUUGCAAACCAUGAGUAAUUACUAUAGCGAGGGAGGUUGCCAGCAGAUAUUACAAACUGCCAGCAGAUAUUAAAAAAUUAAGGGAGAGAAGACAUGGGAUAAGCGAAAGAAGUGGGGUGGAGGGUAAAAGACAGAUCAAAAAGAGGGAGUGCGAAGCUGAAGUGGUUUAAGAUAGCGUUGAAGGUCUUACCCCCCUUGCCACAAGUGCUUAAGGUAACUUUUUUUUUUUCGUGCCUAAGUUAAAUUGUAAAUAAUAGGUAUUUCACAUAUAUUCAGCAUAUACAGGAACAGAGACAGUUAAGGUAGUAGACCCUGCUCUAAUGGCUCAAGCUCCAACGUCAAAUAAAUCGAGCACUGCAGAAUAACCCAAGUCAAGCAAUGAGCUGCUUCCCAGCAGCUCAGCUAGGUUGGUCCAGCCAUGGGUGCUUACCAUUUUUGUAAAGAAGAAGAAAAAACCUAUAACAUUCAAUGCUUUGCUCCCAUCUCCACCCCCCCCUUCCCAAAAAGGAAAACCCAAAAAAGGUCCCAAGAAUAAUAAACAUUACAGAAAGAGGACAUCCCCCUUAACAUUUAUAUAUGGUCAAGAACUGAAUAGGUUACUCGUGAAAAGUAAAAUGAAGUGACACAAUCGAUAUCCAAAUCCAAGACAAGCUUUGAAGUAAAACAGGCUAAACAGACUUUAGCCCUCAAAGUCUGCAUCUACAGAUCCUAUUGAACACCAAUAUUAGUGUUCUUCCAUCAUUUUCCCACCAUGUCAAAACUACAAUUCAGCCUUGCUUUUACACCAUCCGGAAGGGGGAGACACAUACACAUUUCCUAUCAGGGAAUGAUUAAUCAACCUCCUAACUCUCAAAAAUGGUUUACAAAGUUAUUGACUCUUUAUCCACCAUCAGUCUGUGAUUGCAGCCUCUGAGUACUCUAGCCUAGGAGUAAGAUAUUUACAGGAGAUCUCUUCAUAACUACCUACCACAAAAUUAAGCAGAUUAUUUGAAGAUGUAUGAGGCCGGUAAAGUCCAGUUGCCUCUCAAGUAUUAAAAGAUCAAAGACUGGGAUCUCUAGAAACUUAAGUGGCAAAUGAGGUGAAAAGUUUGUUUUGCAGUAAAAGCAUUCAACAAGAAGAUGAACUCAAUUCGGAUCCAUUCUACCUCAGUGAAACAGUUUAUUCAACUCUAGCAUGAUAGCUUCAUAACAAUAUUCUGUAGCAAAAUAAAAAAAAAUGGAUAUAAGAGAUAAGAUUCAUACCAGCUUGCAUCUUUCCUUUGUUCUCUCAGCCUGCAAAUUGAAAUUUUCAGAUAAAUCAUUUAGUCAUUUUAAAAAUUGAUACAGCAGACUUCUAAGGAGAAGAUUUUUUAUGCUCUACACCCAUGGAAUGCAUACAGAGAUAAAGAAGUACAAAUAUAGAAAACGAGAGAGAGAGAGAGGGAGAGGAGGAGAGAGAGGUGUAUGAAAGAGAAAUUAGAUCACCAAGUUCUUAAUCAGUUUCAAACCAAUGUCUAACAGAUGAAAGCAAAGAAGUCCUUUGACCAGUUGAUAAAUAAUUAAGUACUCACACUAAGAAUUAACCAAUGGCAUGCAAAUAAUUAAAUCUCAUAGUUUCUUUAUCCAAAGAAAAAUGGUCUUCUUCAGUUAAAAAAGGGUAAACAGUGCCAAGUUCACAAGCAUGUUCGAUUUAGAAUAAUAAAAAAGAUUCACAAGGUAAAUAAAAAAAUAAUAAUAAUUACCAACAAACAUUGAUUAAUUCAAAAAAAACAUCCAUUUUCCUGUGAGAAAACAUAUUUUUUUUUUAAAUACAAAAGAAAUCAUUUCGAUUGCUCAAAAAGCAACCAUACUAUCAAUGUGAACACCACUAAUGAGUGAAGAAGUUUUAAAUAAUUAAGCACCCACCCACUCCUCCCCACAGAAAAUAUAAGUAAAACAUACAAAUUAAAAAAAAAGGGAAAUUUUGAGACUCAACUCUAAAACUCUUUUAUGGUACACAGAUCAUUCAAAACUGUAGAUAAUUGAAAUUUGGAAAAAGAUGGAAAUGGAGAGUAAAAGUACAUAAUAUUGGAGAAAUAUCUCAUAUAACAUGAACUUAGCAUGUUCCUAUGCAGUACCUUUGUUGAAAUCUGCAAUUCUGCAUCUCCCAACAGUGUGCUUCCACGAGGGCAAUGUAAGCUCUACAUAGGAUUGUUAUAACUAAUAAUUUCUAAUUCCCUUUCCUAAAGGACAGAAACAGGAAAGUUACAGCGAGUGUCCCACUGGAUCAGGAGCCUCCGCCACAGUCUAAUGUGUUAAAAGAUGGACACUGAACCUAUGGCCACCACAUUCUGACGUCAUGAAUAAAAGUCUAAGAAGAGUAAUGUGAAUUUGUUACAAAAUGACGUCAAGAGAAGUAAGAUGCAAAACGGCAACGUUGUAGGCUGCCAUGGCUGUGUUGUAUGACACCAAUAGGAGUCCUGAGAUAUCUAGUCAAAUUCACUGCAACAGGUAAUAUAUACUACAAUGGGAAGGAAUUUUCGACAAUGAUACCUAACAUUGAUUAUUAAGGUUGUCUGUUUCAGGAAGACAAAUUAUAGGACAUCAAUGAAUUGCAUAGAUGACCAACUAGACACCUUAACGACCAAUAAAGUUAUCACAUUCUCGAAGUGAUCAGUCCAUUCCAUACUCCUUGUGCUUACCAGUGACAAGUAAAAAUCACCAACAUCUUCAGAGUCGACUCUUUAAAACAACUUUUAACUCCCACUAUACAUCUUUAAACACAUAAUUACUACAACAGCAGUUGCUUCUAUCAUUAAAUGAGAUAAAUUGCUGGACUUGACUUUCUAAAAAUGUACCCUUGUAGAGUCCAUGCAAAAUUCUAAACACACAAUCAUGACUGAUUUAUCCACUUUCAAUAAGCACCCUCUGUUUUUAGAAAAAAUUCAACCCUAUUAUCCUUUCAACUCUAUGCAUUGAUCUUGGUGUCAAGAAUAAACCCAAAAUUACAUUUUGUCAUCAAAGCUUCAAACUGGAAAACAAAACACUUUGCCAAAGCCAAGCGAAAUGCGACGGUAAUAGCAUUGCAUUACCUUUUCUUUCAAGAGCUGCUCAUUCUCUUCUUCCAGUCUCACUGCCAUGGCCUCCAAUUCAACUUGGUACGCCUGCAGCAACCAAAAAUCAUCAUUGGUAACAGUAUAAGCGCUAAAAAAAAUUCCCGAAAUUCUCAACAAUGAGAAAAGUAUUCAUCUUUGUUUUAAAAAAAAAAAAAAAUCACCUGUUUUCGCUCCCUAGACCUGGCAGCCGACUCCCUAUUCUUAAUCAUCCUCCUCUGCCUCUGCUGCGCUGCUUUAUCCAUUGGCUCCAAUAAACUCGACGCUCUCCUCUUCCCUCUCCCUCCUCCUCCUCCUAGUCCUCCACUCCCCAUCGUCUCCAAACCUCCUGCACUUGCAUACCCCAGCCCUCCCCCACUUUCCACACUCCCCUGCCUCGACAUAUACGGACUAUCAAAAGCAAACAUUCCCCCACUCGUUCCCGCGACCGCAGCAGCCUCCACCUUCACCUCCCCCUCCACUCCUGCCGCCGCAGCAACAGCCGAUUCCUCCACUGCUCCAGCCUUUACCAAAAAAUCCUCCAAUGUCAUCAUCUCAUCCAUUGCCUCCUCCUUAGGCUCCACUCUCCUCGCCGGCUCGCUCGCUGCCGUCUUCCCCGCCACAAUCUCUCUCCACACAUCAUCCACCGUCUUCUUCCUCACCGGCGCCGGCGAGAUGGGCGUGAUCGCUCCGGAAGCAUCCAAAAGCGUAAUUUCCGCAUUCAACAAAGUACUCUCAGUCGUCGUCGUGCUCGCAGAAACAGCUGCCGCAGCAUUUGGAGAGUUUUGAUGAUAAUGAUGAUGAUUGCGGAAAUUAUGGAAAUCAGAUUUGGAAAGCGAAUUCCGACGGAGUUCGGAGUUAUGAGAUGAAGUCGCUGCCGAAGUUGAAGAAGCCAUGAGCUUCGACGUCGCCAUUUCUGUCAACGGAGUCACGAAUUUCUAGGGUUUCUUCGAUCGGAGGAAUAGUAGUAGGACAUAAUAGUACGGAGAUGGGAGGGCGAUCACGUGAGUGAUUAUGAGUGCCAGUUAGUAAGUGUGUGUGUGAGAGAGAGAGAGAGAGAGAGAGAGAGAGAGAGUUGAUGUGUGAAUUCGUAUGGUUUUCGGUGCGUGAGUGUGUGUUUUUCUAGGUUUUGGGAAACUUUGAUUAUUGGUUAGAUAGACCGGCUGAUGAUUGAUUAUUUGUUGUUGUCUGUACUUUUUUUUGUUGCCGGGAAAUGACUCAGGAUUUCUCCUUCUGGUCAAGCGGUCGUUAAAUAAAAGUUAAAAGUUAGUUUACCUCCUGAACCAUGCCUUCAUUUGUACCCCAUCAUGUUGUAUGAUACCAUCUGAGCAAUCCGGUUCGACUUUCAAAUUUCGGUUCCAAUCUCAUCCUCUUGCGUAUUAGUUAGACAAAACUAGUCGCACCAGUCUCUAAACUAUUGUCAUUGCACCAUUUUAGUCCCUCAAUAACAUAUUAUCACAAAUAAGCUCCUUAAUAAAAUAGUGUCACGUCUGAGGUUUUUUUUUUUUUUUUGGGUCAAAUUUACUCUUUAGAGUCAACAAAAUGAGAGGUAAAAGUGGUAAGUGCAACCGAAAUUAAAAGGUGUUUUUGCCCAAAUACUUAAUAUAAUCAUUGGGACCAGAAUCAAAAGGGUGAAGAUGAAAAAUACACUUCAUUAUUUAAUAUUGCAAAAAUAAUGAAUCCAGUGACGGUAAAAUGAAGUGUUUUCUUCUUCUUAACCCUUCCAAUUCUGGUCACAAUAGUUAUAUUAAGUGGUUUGAUACCAAUGUUCUUUGAUUCUGGCUGCACUUAGAAUAGUUGAAAGUAUAUAUUUUUAAGGGAUAAUUUCAGAAACCUCAGGAGAGGUUUCUGACAGUCUCAUUCACCUCCCCUGAACUUUACAAAAUAUCAGAUACCUCCCUUGUCAGAUUAUUGGGCUCUAUUUGUGAUAUCAUUGAUCAUAAAUUGAUAGAUAUACCCUCAUAACUUAUGAUAUAUUUUGAAGCUAUUUUGACAGAAUUAGUUAAAUGAGUAAUAGAGAUAUAACUUUUGAUAUAACUUAUGAUAUACCUUCUAUUCCACUUUACACUUUUUAUUCGCAGUACAAUCACCAAUGAAGAGUUUAGCACUAGUGUUACCUUUCUCUAAAGUCAUGUAUUUCAUGUUUUUUUUUUGUAAGACAAUUAUCUAGUGUAACUCAUUACUUAUAUUUGGGUAAAUUUGGUUUUCAAAAAUUCAAUGACGUAAAUUGUAUAUUACAUCAUCUCAUAAAGUGAUGCGACACAAUUUGGGUUAUUGAAUUUUUUGAAAAUCGGAUCUACCUAAGUUCUGGUUUUCAAACGAAGCUUGUUGAAUAAAUUUGACUAACUACAGUGUGAAUUAAUUUUUUUUUUAAAAAAAUCUCAACUAAAGUAUCUAGCACUAAAUGAAAUGAAGUAUCUUGCUACUUCAUUUCAUUUUCCACAGAGAAAAUCGCAAAAAGAGUUAUUAAACUAUUGAGAAUUUGGUUAUUUGAUCGUUACACUAUUUAUUUAACUGCAAUUGCCAUUCACUCAAUUAACCAAAUAGUGAAAUUUUUUUUGUGACUUAACUAGUAAAAAUUUAUACUUUUAAUCACUCAAAUUAUAAAACUAUACAUUUUUUUAUAUCACCAGAAGUAUGUUUCAAUUAAUUGAAUGAUCAUAUUAGCUAAAUAAAUGUCUAAUAGCUAAAACAAAAAAAAAAUAUAAAUAGCAUGAUAACAUUGCUUGAAGAAGCCAUUUGCAUUUGUCUCUAUCUGGUUCAACUUAUUACUUCUUUUUUUGGCUUUUGCUUUAGCUCGAGUUGUGGAUAAGCAAAAAAGGGCAUAUGUGGAACACAAAUAUCAUCUCACUCCUCAAAAUAUUUUUUUAAUGCUCAUUUUUCUGACAUGGGCUGAUCUUGUUACUCCAACUAUAAGUUCAGGGGAGGUAUCUGAUAUUUUGCAAAGUUCAGGGAAGGUGAGUGAGACUAUCAGAAACCUCAGGGAGGUUUCUGAAAUUAUCCAUAUUUUUAAUUGUUCAGGGGUUGUUCUAAGACAAAAUUUAGAUUAGCAGCUAAAACUUGACAACUCUCUCUUUUAGUACUACUCAAUCUAUUUCUCGCAUAAAAGAUAAUGUCAUAUCCUUUCUAACAUGCAUAUUAUUCUAUUUUGUCCUAUUAUUUGUAGGUUUGUAGUUACAAAAUUUGUUACCUAUAGUCUGCAUGUAUUGAUUCCAAUGUACACAGUUGGUUGCUUGUCACAUUUUUUAAAAAGAGUGUUUUAAUUAAGCAAAAAAAAAAGAGUUUAAUUAUUUAUUGAUUUUAAACAACGAUUUUAGUUAUUAAGGCUUUAAUUGAACCUAUGAACGAUUUUGACAUAUCUUAUAUAUGUAGUGAAUAGCAAUUAAGCUUUGCUUAAUUUUUCUAGUAGGACAGGAAAGAGGCAAGUUUUUAUAAUUCUUGAUGAAUUAAUCUCGAUUUGCUUAGCUUGAGAUAAUUAGUUUGGCUCUUAUCUGUUUUGGUCUUUGGUUCUCUUUGUACACUUCAAAUCAAUUUCAAGUAUUUUCCAUGCUAAAGCUUGAUUGAGCUCUUGUAUUUUCCCUAAAAAAUUUCUCUGCGUAUGGUAUGCAGUACACUACAAGAGUGGCUAUCUAACACGACAAGUGAAGCUUGAUGCCUUGAUCUUUUAUUUGUCAAAAAGAAACGGGUACUAGUACUGUAUUAAUGGUUAGCUUAAUCUUAACCACAUGCUAUACAAAUGAAUUAGUUACAUUUUUGUCAAGCCUACUAAGAUGACAUUAGCAUAGUUAGCACAUUGAUUAUGUUCAAGAACUUAUAGUAUGAAUUAUGCUUGUGAACACACACACACACACACACACACACACAUGGGAUAAUUUUAGAAACCUCCCCUGAGUUUCCUGACAAUUUCAUUGAGCUCCCUUGAGAUUUGAAAAAUUACACAUACCUCCCUUGUCAUUUAAAAUGACAAUUUUACCCUUAAAUAUUUCAAUGAAAUCCCCUUAUUUUGUAUGCUUAUACUUUGAAUGAGUUUUAAAAUUAAUUUUUAUUCUUUUUCCUUCUUAUUCCUUUUUUUUUAAAAUUUUUCGCCAAUAAAACUGUAGAACUACCACUAUUACUUCUAGUUUUUAUUGUAACCAAAUGUCGAACUAGUGAUUUUUUGAUGAGUUAAUUUUAUAUAUAAUCCAAUGCUUUUGCUAAUCUUUGAUUUUUAUUUUUUGGUACUAAAAUUAACAAUAAAUCAAAAAGAAAUGGCCCAAAAUCAUUACCAAAUUAUAAUAAUCCCACUACCCGAAAAAUUCAUAAACUCUAAAUGAAUUAUUUCAAUAUUUUCUUUUCUAUCUUAUAAAUCUAAAUCCAUAAUAAAGUACUAUCAAAAGUAUCCUAUCAUAGUGAUAAAAUUAUUAUUAUAGUUGUUUAUCAAAUAGUAGGUAUGGACAUGAAAAUUUUGGCACCUUUUCCUUGUAAUUAUACUAGAUAAUCUUAUAAUUGCAUAGGAAAAUAAAUUAAAACUAAUUUCACAAGAGUAUUUUUGGGUAUUCAUUUAAAAAAUUGACCAAUUCAAUAUUAUUUUAAGAUUUUGUUACUAAAACUAUUAAAUCAAGGGAGGUAAGUGUAAUUUUUCAAACCUCAGGGGAGCUCAAUAAAAUUAUCAAAAACCUCAGAGAAAAUUAUCCCUCUAUAUAUAUAUAUAUGUAUGUAUACACACACACAAACACACACACGUACAUACGCUCAAUGAGAUGUGCAUAAAACUCAUCACAAAUUGAGCCCUCCAAGUAUAUACAACUCUGUGAUCAGAUGACCGCUACUAUAGAGAUAGUGUGUUUGGUGGCUUGAAUGAAUUCAAGUAGGUUGCUUAGAGGACUAAUACUAUUUCGUCUUUAACGUCUUUUGUCCACAUAUUAAUACUUCACGUUUAUUUUGACGUACUCUUUAUUUCUUUACGUAGAAUCAGGUUACACAUAUGUGGCUGGCCAUGCCCUCAUCUAUGUAUAUACAUGCAUGCAAAUAUUGCGGCCGAAGUUUGCCAGAUUUUGCAGAUUCUAUAAAAGCUAAAAACGUGGAAUUUGUUGAACCGAAAUUGAUUCCUGGAUUUGCUUUAACAUGUGGUUUCUCCGAAAUGCCUUGCUCAAGCUCUUAACCGCCGCCAUUAGCAUAUCCAGCCCCUUGCCCUGAUUUCAUGGGGCCGCUGCAUUUGUUACUCUUUUCCCCACUAAUGAUUUGAUUAUCGAUAGCUUAAAAGUAAAAACUUUCGUAUUUAUCUAAUUCUUUUCUUUGACAAAAAUGGAUAGAUAGGGGGAAAUUAGUAAGGUAAAGAAGAAAAAAAAAUGAUGCUAUAUUUGAUCAUAUUUUUGUCUUGCAAACAAUUCUCAACCUAAUAUAUGCUUAAUUCAUUCUCUUUGAAAACUAUUACUAGUAAUUAUAUUUUCCUUUUAUAUAUAUAUAUAUAUAUAUAUAUAUAUAUAUAUAUAUAUAUAUAUAUAUAUAUAUAUAUAUAUCACAUCCCAAAAAUAGCGACGUUCUAAUAACAUAUACCAUGUUAGUUGAAAUUGGUAAAUAUAUUGUGUAUCUGAGUUGAUUAGGAAGUCUAAUUAAAAACUUGCAUAUUAGCAUAAUUUUUUUUGUUAAAACCGAGAAGGAUUGGUGUUACUUUGUGUGCCCCAAAUGAUGUUGUACUAAAAUGUAAUUAAAUUUAGGAAAUGAAUCUUAAUUUGUUUUUCUAAUAAAAAAAAUAGUGGGACAUGAUUACUCAAGUAAUGACUCUAUAUAUAUAAACAAGAAAAGCCUAAUCUAAAGAUGGAUUACUUGGGUUGUCUGUAAUUUGUAAUUGCAUUACCUUAAUCCCAAAAUUUCACAACCGGCCGGGUUUUCCAAAAUCGACCUUUAUUUCCUUAAAAUGGACUGAUUUCACCAAUAAGAGAUAGAUUACUUCCUAUUCACCAUUUCUUAAUUAGUUCAUGAUGUAGGGCAUCAAAUACAAAUACAUAUUUCUAAUUGUAGAAUGCCUUAAUAUCUGGAAGACUACUUUAUCUUAAAGCCUAGCCCUUUUAAUUUUAGAUACAAUGAAUAUUUUUCUAUUAAUACACCAUAAGUUGAUUCUUAAUUUCUCAUAAAAAUGGGAUGGAUGGGGUGUACUAGUUAAGACUCAAGAAAAGCUUCUUCUUGUUUUGAUAAGGAUUUCCAAGAAGUUAAGCGGGCGAGAAUGCUGGAGAUCAGGGAUAACAAGUUACCAACAGUUGUGAUUUUUUUUUUAAGCUUUAUUUGUUUAACUCUUAUUAUUAUUACUAUACUAUUGAUAUUCUUUUUUUUUUUUAAUUACUGUUGACGUCAAUAAUGUAAAGUAUUAAAAUCAGUGCAAUGUCUGAAAAAAGACCUGAAAUACAAUUAUUAAACAUCAAGAUUCGGCACAUAAAAUUAGGUCCAAAAAAUAAAACAACCUUCAAGCUUGAAAUUAUGAGCAUACACAUGAAAACAUGUCUGUCAAUAUGAAUGAGCUAUUGAGCAUGACAUCUCUAAAAGAAUCUUGGGUAGAACAUAUUGAAGUUAACGAUAAUUUUUCUCAACAACCUUUCAAAAUUUGCAUACAAAUCUAGUGUUAGCAGAAUUAGUGUUCAUAAAGUGAAUAUUAGUCAAUAUCCCGUUUAUAUUGUUUGGAUUGUGAUUUUUCGCAGAAAAUUUUUUAUAUAUAUUUCAUGAAACAUUUUCUGAUCAUCUUUUUUAUCUCACAUACAUCAAAUUGCUACCGUACAUUUCUGUAUAAAAACUCCUAUUGUGACUUCCCUUACUCCUGUUUUGAUUUAAUUUUCAUAAUGUGUUCCUAAUAUACAUUUUUUUUUGCCUUUCAUGUUUUUCCUUAGAAUUUUUCUUUGGAGACUGGAUUGGUGAGGGACAGAUGAAGCCUUCAAAUGUACAAUUAUAUAAAAUUUAAAGCCUUCGGUUAUGCUAUACAGGUUCGUUGUAUUAAAGAUUUGGUCGGUCACUCAAACCAUACCAAAAAAGCAAUAUAAUCAUCCCCUAUUCCAUAAAAAGUAAUGACUUUUUAAAGAGAGUUUAUAUAUAUACUCAAUUAAUUACGAAACUAAGGUCUUUCAUAGAAGCCACCUCGUAUCCCAUUAUAGCCUUAAUCUUUGCAAGCCUAUUGGAGAAGUCUCUCUCUCUCUCUCUCUCUCUUUCUCCGAGAAACAUGAUCAAAAUAGAUGAGAUCAUAAUAUGAAACUAGAUGGAUGACAAAAGAAAGACAACGUGAAACACAAGGCUUAAAACUGUCAUUCUACUGGCUUUAAAAGGUUCAUUGGCCUAACAGAUAGAUUAUCAAGUUCAGAUGCUAAUUUGUAUCCCUUCAUUCCCUUCCUAACUCUUUCUUUUCAGGAUUUAUUACAGUUUGCCAGAAACUCUCAUUUGGAACCCAGAAACUCUUCAGUUUCAAUUCUUUUCAGAGGAAGACAGCCUUAAACCCUCUACCUCACGAGUUAUAGAUAAAGAAAUCGAGAUGUGGGCCGGUAUCAGAAGAUCAAAAAACAAUCAAGGUUCGACUCUAUGAGCUUCAAUCUCAAUUUUUAGUUGUUCUUGUUAUUGUAUUUUGUUUUUUUGCCUCUUUGGGGUUUUGCUGCAUGAUAAGAGAAUAUUACAGUGCAUAGGAUUUUAUUGUCCUGACAAAACGUUUCUUCAUGGAGUCAAGUAAUCCUCUAGUCUAGAAAAAGUUAACAGUUUUAGAACUUGGCACGAAGCUUAGCUAUUUUUGCUUUUUGGGUAACAAAUUUCUUCUCCAAAAUUUGCAGAUGAAUAUACUGAAAGAAUCGACAUUAUCAAUCAAUAUUUUCCAUGAUUAUCUAUCCCAUGUAAUGAAUUGUUCAACAAUUCAUGCUUACCUUGUGAUGACAAUAUAUACCUCCAUGCAUGAAUAUUAGCGUUUGGAUAACUUAAAUAAUCUAAUCUCAAAACACUUCUGCCUUUAUCCUAUGAGUAGUUGCUAUCUAGUUCAAUUGGUUUCAUCUUAUUUCUUGAUCAUCUUGUAUAACGUUAGUGCAAACCUUUCAUUGAUUUUCCUCAGAUAAGAAGGAGAUGAUAAGGGAAUCAUGUAGAAAUCUUAGUGUGAACGAGGAGUACCUUGGAGCAUUAAGAACAAAAUCGUAUACAGAAUUUUUCAGCAAAGCUCAGACUCUAGUUAACCAGCCAUCUUCUCUUAAUUACUGCAAUCAGAGGUUUUCAGAUACUCUUCUUGAACCCGGGCAAGAAACCAUAGCAACAAUUCUGGAAUCAGCAGUAUCUCUUUCAAGAAAAUCUGAUCUCAGAGCCCUUCUCUUCAAUUACUUUGAUAUUAGUGCUGAGGCUUCAAAAAUUUGCAGCCAUCUUCUCAGAAGCAUUAAUCAACUUCAAUCCAAUUACCAGCUUGUUAAACAAGUUCUCGACACGAUCGAUGACUAUUCCCCCGAGCAAUUAGGAUUUAUCGUUUCUGAGCUUCGUGAACUAAUUUCGCUCAACAAUCCAUUAUCUGGUCUGAAUCAACAAGAUUUCAUCCGAAUCCACGACAAGUAUUCAUCAGUCCUACAACAUUUGAAAGCAAAGCGAAAAAGAAUUGCUCGAAAAAUCAAGCUAAUAAAAUGCUUCAACAAGGCUUCUGGAGCAUGUGUCACGACAGCCUGUGGUGUAGUUGCAGUUGCAGCACUAGUCCUAGCAGCAGCACACACAGUUGUAGCAUUGACAAUGGGACCAGCUCUCUUUACCAUGCCACUGCAGCCACUGAGGAAAAAACUUCUCAAAAUUAGUGCUGUGAAGUGUGGAUUUCUAAGAAAAGUUGGAGAACAACUUGAUGUUGCAGCAAAAGGGACGUACAUUUUGAAUAGAGAUUUUGAUACAAUGAGUAGACUUGUGGUCAGGCUCCAUGAUGAAAUUGAUCAUACCAAGGCAAUGAUACAAUUCUUUUUAGAUAGAAGAGAAGAUAAAUAUUCUUGGCAAAUACUGAAGGAGCUUAAGAAGAAGGAUUUUGGGUUCAGGAAACAAGUAGAGGAGCUUGAAGAACAUGUGUAUUUGUGCCUUGUCACAAUUAAUCGGGCUAGAGUUUUGGUUGUCACUGAAAUUGCCAAGUCUUGCCAGGAAAAUUCAUUCUAGUAAUUUAGAAACCAAUUCUUUUUCAUUUCUAAGCUGCCAGCCACCAACUCCUUGUUUAUUAAAUAGCAAUCUAUUUGUAGAUAGGAUAUCAGGUUUAUUCCAUUGUAGAUAGUAGUAUAUCUUAUUUGUUUCAUUUAUGGAGUGAUAUAAUGGCUAUAUAUUCUUUGAUUUUUUUUUUUAACAAUAUUUGUACCUGCACAAGUUAAGGAGCCAUACUCAGAGGCAUAUUCUUUGACCUAAACAAGCUCAUGGCAUUCAACAAAGAAAAGCGAUUGAAAAUAUCAAGUUUGUUCCACGGUUAUAAUUCCACAUUUACAAUAACAUGUUGAAAUUUUACAAAAUUUGCAAUUGGCAUUUACAUCAGAUAAAAUUUUAUAGAUAGCACUAAUGAAGCAUAACGUAGGAAACUAAUCAUGUUCAAGUCGAACUCGAGCAAGGCAACGUUGAUACCUAACUCCAUUUACUUGCACUCCUCAUGUAAUGCAAGAAGGUGUAGACUAAAAAGCAGGUCCCAUAGCAUGCAUUUAUUUUUUGGUUAGCUGUUGAAAGAGACUAGCUUAUAAAGAUUGAUUGCAGGAUUGGAGUUUUAAUGCAUAAUUAUAGACAAUUACCACAUAGCCCUAGAUGAGGCAUCUAUCCAUCCAGCAGGACCAGCACCCGCGUAGUAUUUUGUCUACAAAUGUGAAACAAGUUAUUCGGACAUUUUGGUACUUCCACAUCUAAUUAUAUACCUAUUCAAGUGAUUCCCCCACCUAUGAAUAUUCAUUGUUUGGGAUAAUUUUUCAAAAAAUAUACUAUAACACGGUAAUUUUUUAAAAAAUAUACUGUAACACUUUUUCUUUUUUUUUUUAUGUGAUGUAUGUAAGACAGAAAAGGUAAUCGAAAAAUGUGUUGAUGAUAUAAGCAAAUAAAUUUUUACAAAUAAAUCACUAUCCAAACAAACCCAUUUCCUUUGCUAGUUUUCUCAAAAUUUGCUAGCAUUUUACUCUAUUGAUGCUAAAAUGGUUAAAAAAAAAAAAUAUUCACAUCGAUUUAUAAUUUUGAUGGCAAAAAACAAAACAUGGAAACAUCAGUUAGACAAAAAUCACUAUAGAUUAGAAAAUUCGAAUUAAAAGGAUUUUUUCGGCGGCCGGUGUCUAGUUUAUUGGACAGUCAUUAACACAUUUAAAUUGUACCUAACUUAUCAAAAUUAUUAAAUGUAUUUAGAUACUUAGAUACUUUUUCAAAUUAAUUACACUUUUUCAAUAAAUUAACACUUAAGACUCAUAUUGAGUUUUUUUUUUUUUUUUGCCACAACAAUAUGGGUUGGUCCAAUUGGCUUUUGACAAACAUUUAGUACAACCUUGUUCCUCUUUGAGAUCAUCAAUGUUUACCGUGUGGGAUCUGUCUGUCUGUCAAAACCAUAGGCCAUUGGACAUGUAUCAACCUGGUUCUAUUUCUUGAGCAUCUUGAACUGCUGGCCAACUACUAGAAGAAUCUCUUUUCUUUUACCCAAAUAAAAGAAAAAGAAAAUCUCAAUCCUCUAAGCGAAUCAAAAUUGCCCCAGAAAAUAAAAUGGAAAAGGAAAAACUUUCUUAACUUUCAGCUGCCAAUUAUUUUUUUGUAUGCCAAGCAUUAAUAUCUAAAUAAUGCGAGAUUUUCUCUUUUCUACAAUUAUGCAUUUUCCCCUCGAUCACAGCCUACUCAACCUGCUUGAAUGAGACCUUAUUUCCCAUAUUUUUUUCUAUUCUUGGCUUUUUCAGUUUCAACCAAAAGUCCUUCUUCUGCUCGUUUCUUUUCCUAUUUAAGAGUUAGAGAAUAAAUUAUAGAGAACUUUUCACUUGCUUUUUCUACUAAAUAAUUUUAAUUAUUUUCUCCCCCUGCGUCAUUAGUCAAACUCAUUAAACUUCUUGAAUAAGUUUAUUAAUCAUCGCUUUCUCCAAAACUAAGGAAGCUUGCAGCUUUUUUCUUCUGCUCCAUUUCCCUCCGAAAGGGUCUACUUCAAGGUAUUAGCUCAACCAUCAACCCCGAAAUCUCAUUUUCUAAUUCAAGAAUUGUUCUCUUUUUACUAGUUUUAAAGUUUAGUGCUCAAGUAUUUAUCGCAUGUUUCUUGAAUUAUUCACUGAAAAUAGGAAAGGGAAGAUUUUACUUGAUUGAUCUUGACGGUAUAACCUAUUUGAAGCCCUUUAAUCUAUUGAUUAAGCAGUGUUUUUGGCUGCUGGGGGUGUAAAGUGUGAUUCUUUAUUGGUGUUUGUGAAUAUCUUUCGAGGUCUAAUGCUUUAAUUGCUGUACCAAACGUUCUACGCGUGAUAUUGACUGGUUGAUUUGUAGUAAUAUUUAAGUUAGUUUAUGAGCAAAAAGGUUAGUUAAUGAGGAAAAAGGACAGGCUAUACAGCUUGAUUUGCUUCUUUUGUUGGACUCUUAUUGGUUAUCUUGCUUGACCAUUUUGGUGCUCUUUCCCAUUUUCAGCCUCCCCUUAAUUUAUAUGCUUGCAUAUUCGAUACGUAUAAGGAUGAGGAAUUUUUUUUUUUUUUUGUGAAGGGAUUUUGGAGUUCUGGGGUUCUCGCAUUUGUUUGUGUUCUGCUAGUUCUCUGUGUUGGAUGUAAAGAACUGAUUUUGGAGGGUUUUGGUGGUGUUUCAGCAUCAAUUUUUCGUCGGUUGCUUACCUGAAGUAUUUUUGUAGGAAUCUGAAUUCGAAAUGUUCGUUUUAUAAGCUUUCUGGAUCAGUCAGAUGAAAUGGAUACCAAUGGGUCUGCUAAACCGUCAGUUUAUGUGGAAAACGAAGGGAAAAGGGACCAGGUGGUAGAGAACAAGUUAGACCAAACCCAUGAUGGUAGUAACCUAUUGGUUGGCUUAGAGAGGAAGCCUAAGGGUGAGCGAUGUAAUGCUGGUGCAGCAAAUGGAAGAGGGAGAGAGCAGAAAUAUACACUGGAAGAAGCUGCUGCUAAUUCUGCAGGGAAGUCUAGUGUCAGGUUGUUUGAUGGAUUAGAUGAGCAGGGAACUAGUAGAGGCGACAAUAGUCUUUUGGAUGAUGAGCAGUCUGAGGCAUGUUCUACUCCUGAAGUAGACUCCCAGAGGAAACCACUGCAGCAGCAUUCAUCAGUCCUUGAGAUUUCCCACUCGAAGGACCCUCCUGUGAUCCGAUCACAGCGGGCACGGAGAGGUUAGAAAUUGGAAUUUUCUCUUUGUCUGGAUAUUUUUUUGCUUGCUUUUCUUUUUCUCUUUAUUUUUCCUUAUUGUCAUUAUUUGGCUUUCAAUUCCUAGUCCCAUAAGUUCUGAUUCUUCACUUGGAAAAUAAUUGGUCUUGCCCUUGUGGUUGUCCCUCAAGAACUGGAGACUUGUCAACUAUGUAUAGCAGGUGAGGAGAGAUGGAACAAAGAAUAAAAAGGAUUUUCCAUCCUUGAGAACAAAGACUAUUGUUUGCUAUAUGAUUUUCAAUUGAAAUUUCUCCAAAAAAAAAGUCAUAUGAAUAUUGGGAAGCAAUUUUUCUGAAUCUAGGCUACAUCCAUCUCAUAUAAUUUCUAUUUCAAUUAGAUGCUUUUGUGAUUAGUUGGAAGAAGUAACUGCUCAGUGCUAAAUAUCUUUUCUGUUGUUCCUGAUUACCCAUCCUUCUGGAAGAAGCCAAUAGCAUCAUCAUGACAUCUUUGCCCCUUUACAGUGUUAUUUGGGAAAGUGUAGUUCUUCAUGCCAACCAUCUGAUGAAACAGGCUUUCAGAACAAUCUCUUAUUGAGAUUUAGAGCUUUCAAUAAGACUUCUAGGUUGAACUCUUAUAAUUUGACCUGAUAACUACAGCAUUCAGUUUGCAAAUUUGAGAUUUAACUGUCAAAAACUUUUUGUUUGGACCAUCCGAUUAAUGUAUGCUCAUCAUGAGAUUAUUUCUUCUCUCUCCUCCUCCCUCCCGCUCUCCCUCUCCGUCCCCUCCUCCCUCCUCUCUCUCUCCUCUUUUUCCCCCUUUUCAAUCUUAAAUUUUGUUUAUUUGAUUAUUUUUCAAUCUACCUUAAGGUUUUGACCGAUGCAUCACUGACCUUAUGGGAAGUCCUAGAAAUGUCUCCCUUGGAAGCCGAAGAAUUGGUUAUUCAAGAUCCAUGGUUGAGAAGAAAGGGAGUCCUAUGUAUGACCCAAAGCUGGAUAGGCUGUCCAAAAGUGAGAAGGUGACCAUGGAUAUCACUACUAUUUUUUCAUUACAAUUUCUUGUUUUCUGUUCAUUUUUAUCGUUAAAUUUCAAGUUGCAUAAUUGCUAUUUUAAGGAUAUUGUUUACUUCUUUCACAAUGUUAAACGGCCUUCUAAGCACUUGCCUAAGUAGUUAAGCAGGUUGCAAAUAUAUCCCCUUUUAUAAGAGAAUAAGAAUAUGUUUUUCUGUUUUCUCUUCCCUUAGGUGUGUAUGGUCAUGCAUACUCGUAUUACUUUUUGUACAUUGGUAAGGGUACUGUGUUUGGCCUUUCAGGAAUGGCUAAUUAUGGACCUAGUGAAGUUCCAAAAUGACGGGACAGUGGAAGUUGAUCUGACUAGGGGUUCACCUGGAGCGUCUGAACUGUUAGAGCUUAGCUCACUUGAAGGACCUCCUCCUAUUUUAGAUGAUAUUGUCACUGAUUUCAACAAAACAAUUCCCAAAUUGAAGAUUGCUAUGCUUGUGGUUGGAACAAGAGGAGAUGUGCAGCCGUUUCUAGCCAUGGCUAAGAGACUACAGGCACGUCAGGUGUUGGUUUCCAAUGAGCAUUACAGCUGUCUAUGCUUGGUUUUUUAAUUUCUUGUAUUGCUUGCUAUGUUCUAAUUGUCUAAAAAGGUGACAACAGAUUUAUAUGGAUGUUGGGAUAUGUUCUUUUACUGAAAUCUGUACAGUCAUAUCAGCUUAAAGUGUGAAGAAAAAUUGAUUUACGGGAGUUCUAGAAGUCUAGGAUUAAGUGUUGUAAUUUUCUUUUCAUCUUCAUGAUCUGUGGCAGUUAAGGUUUCUUCCCUUGAGCUUAAUUAGAAUUAUGGGAAACACUCUUUGCAGUGAUUUUCAAGUAAUUAUGAUAUAGUUCAGAAUUUCUUGACUUCAUGUUCUCAAGAAGAAAAUGAAUUAAGAUGACCUACAGUUGACAAGGUGAAGUUGUGCAAAACGAUAGUGCACAAUGAUAAGUUACUUAAUCUCCUUUUGUUCUACUUGGAAAUCACAAAAUUUAUUAUAAAGCCCUGGACCUCAUAUAUUUGUUUUAAAGAGCAAUGUGAUGCUUCAUGCUUGAAUCUAUGCCUUGUCUGCUUUCACUUUUGUGGUUUCCUAGAUUCAAUCAAGAUAUGUACAUGCACGUAUGAACUAGUGCAAGUAGGAAGUGUUAAUUUUUGUUCUGUAUCAUGCAGGCCUUGUAGUUUGGUACCUUUAUUCAUUGUCUUAUAAGUGUCUGUAUCAGCUUUCAAAGAAUAAGUGAAAGUUACACAUAUGAACUAGUGCAAGAGGGAAGUGUAAAUUUUUGUUCCGGAUCAUGCAGGCCUAGUAGUUUGAUACCUUUAUUCAUUUUCUUAUAAGUGUCUGUAUCAGCUUUCAAAGAAUAAGUGAAAGUUGUGCUUGCAAUAUAAGGAUUUAUCAUGCCUUUUUCUUUUCUUAUUCCAAUUUAACUCAAAGAUUUUAGUUAUUAUAUUUACUUAUGUAGUGAUGUUUUCUGUGAUUUUUUGUUCCUGAACAUCAACUUUGAGGGAAUUGGUCUACAUCAUUUUCAGUUUUAUAAUUGUAUAGCAGGGGACCAAAGAGUUAAAUGGAGACUUUAAGUUGAUUCGCAUGGGGUAUCAUGUUCUGUUGUAAUGUAAAUAUAUGCCUACAAAUUGCUCUAAUUUUGGUGUUAACAAGCACCCAAUUCUGCAGUUGUAGGUAGUUAAAAGUGCAAAAAGGAAGAUAAAUGAAAAAGUUGGCUUUUCUGUUCGUUUCUUCCAUGUAAUCUCGGUAAUUAUAAUUUGAAAUUUUGAUUAUUUCACAAGUCAAUAACUUUUCUUACUGUGAAAUAUUCCAUGCUACCCAUUUGUAUGAAUUAUUAGAAAAUUAAAUUUGAUUAUUUUUCUUUUGGAGCCUGUGGUCAUUUGAUUUGGUUCUGUUAGGGCAUGGACUCUUUAAUUGGUCUAUAAUGACAUAUUGAUCGAUUAUUGUGGUCCAUAAAAUGGAAGAGUGGUCAAUGUAUUGCUUUGCUUAUCUUCUUCCUGACAGUUAAUUAUCUUAAUACUUCUGUGGUGUAUUUACUAUUUGCUUUGAGGUCUCACUUCAAGUUUGUUGAGUUGUCAAAUUGAAACAUAUCUCUAGUUUUCAAUCAUACCGUAUUAUAUUUAUGGUGUAAUUUGUCUUUGGACAUUCUGUAGUUUAACAGCAUGUAUAACCUUUUCAUAAAAAAAGUGGGUUCAUUUUUGGACCUUCUAACUCCAAGUGUACUCACAGGAAUUUGGUCAUCGUGUUAGGCUGGCAACUCAUGCUAACUUCGAUGAUUUUGUGAAGUCUGCUGGCGUAGAGUUUUUCCCUUUGGGCGGUGAUCCUCGUGUAUUAGCAGGAUGUAAGAGGUCCUUGACACUCAAAUACCUCUUUUUAACCUGAAGAUGUAUUUAUUUAUUUUUUCUGUUGAUAUAGCUUUCAUGAGUUAUCUCUCUCUUUUUUGGACCUCACUUGUGAUUGCUUCUUUUACUUUCCUGUUGUAAUCAUAUGGUUGGUAUAUUCAGUUUAACAUGGUAGCUAGAUUAUGAGAAUAGAAGUUGAAGUCAUAUUCAAAAGGGUUAACUAAUUCAGUGUCUCAGCAGUACUCUUUCUUGCUACAAUUACAUACACCUAUAUUUUGUAAUGCAACCUGCUUGGUUUUGUGUAAAAUUCUAAUUGGUUGACUAUGGAAGUCUUUUCUAUGUAAUGAUGAAUUUGUCUCCUGCUUCUGUAGAUAUGGCCCGCAAUAAAGGUCUAAUUCCAUAUUCACCAGGAGAAAUAUCUAUUCAGCGAAAACAACUGAAGGCGAUUAUUGAAUCUCUUCUUCCUGCUUGUACAGAACCAGAUCUAGAAAGCAGAGAGCCUUUCAGGGCUCAGGCAAUCAUUGCGAAUCCUCCAGCUUAUGGUUAGUUUAUCAAAUCUGAACAGACCUCUUUCCCCCUCCCCCCAGGCGGUCCUUAAACAAAAGGAAAAAGGAAAAGAGGAAAUACUUUUGGUGGACCAUCACCUGUAUGAACAAGGAUUCGUUUUACUUUCCCACCUAGCUGCUCUAGGUAGGGUGUAAGUCCUGGGUUUUUUUUUUGUUGGGGGGGGGGGAGGAUAUCUGUUGGUGUGUCUGUUUCUCGCAGGUAAUAGAUUGGCUUGGAUGUACUAGAUCUUUCUUUUACUAUUGUUGAAUUCUUACUGGAUGUUGUCAUCUUACUCAUCUGUCUAUAGAGUUCAGAAAUGUAUUGCUCUUUGUGUAUUUGAUAAACCAGUACUAAUUCAAAGAAAUUAGUGAGAAUUUGGACACUGGGCAUGAGGCAAAAUUGAGAUUUUAUGUUCUCAGUUGACAGAUGAUUCCUGAAAAUGGUUCGAAUAAAAGAUUGUUUCAGUUGGUGGCAUCACUGGUGUAGUUAUGAUAAUACUUUUAGCAGACAUUAGGAUGAGUAAUUGAGGAUAACAGAAGGUUAAAUUUUAUUUUUACCACAAAUGAACACAUACAUAUAGUCUGGAUGUACAAAUUUUGCGAUAAACUUUUGUCUAUUCCAAGCCCUGUUGGCCUGAAUUUAUUAUGGUACUUGAAGUAUAUUCUUGUUGACAGGACAUGUUCAUGUUGCUGAAGCUCUUGGUGUACCCAUCCACAUCUUCUUCACAAUGCCUUGGACGUGAGUGCAGUCCCAUUUUCUGCAAUUUCUGUCCUCUUUUGUUUUUCUGAUUAAUGAGCUUAUGCAGUUUCCUUGAUAUCCUUACAAUCAAUUAAUUAGUCUCAACUGCCCUUAACUCUUGGAAUGUCCGAGUCAUUUUCUCAUAAAAUUGGGACUAAACUUGGAUUAAGUUUUCCUUUGCCUUCUCUUUCAAAGUGUUGAUGAAUAGGACUCCCCACCCGUUCUGCUUUUAUGAGGAGUAAUGUGUUAUUUUUUAUAAGUAGAGAAAAAUUUUCAUACAAGAGAUGCUCUUAGGUGCUCAAUAUCAUUUUCUUUGACAUUCAGCUCAUGAUGGAUUAUAUCUGAGCUUUCUUGCAUUUGGUUAUGAUGGGCAGGCCCACAUGUGAAUUUCCUCACCCAUUGGCACGUGUACCUCAAAGUGCUGGUUACUGGGUAUGUUUCUGUAUGUCCUGCCAACUUCUAAGUUUAAAUCAUGAGUUGUUCUAUCUAAUUUGUUCUUGUUCUACCUAGCUCUCCUAUAUAGUUGUGGAUUUACUUGUAUGGUGGGGAAUACGAGGAUAUAUAAAUGACUUCAGGAAAAAGAAGCUGAAGCUGUCUCCUAUUGCAUACUUCAGUAUGUAUCAUGGAUCAAUAUCCGAUUUGCCAACAGGCUAUAUGUGGAGCCCCCAUAUUGUGCCCAAGCCACACGGUAUGUCUGGUCCUUUGAUUGUCAAAGUGGUGCAUUCUUGUGUUAGUUAUGGUCUGUUGGACUAUAAUUUUUGGAAUAUUCUGCAUUAUUUUUUCUGCUGAAUACUAUUUGUAGCAAUUUUUGUACCCUUUUCAGCAUCUUGUUUGGAUCCAUAUUAUGCUUGUUUAUUUACAUAAAUGGAUCUCUUUUAAAUUGUAUGUGUACUAUCCGACAAAAUGACAUUAAGAGCAUUAUCACACUCCAAAUUUAGUGUAUUAAGGAUUACAAAAGAUGAGUAUCUUGAGUGCUGACAUCUAUAGUUUGGAUUUAUGUAUAAUUUUGUUGAGGACAAUGAGUCUCUAUUUUUGCUUAAGCAUUGUGUACUUAGGUCAUAAAGCCCUAAUAGGAGUUUUAAUGAACUGAACUGAACAAGUUGAUGAUUAAUAUUGCUAAAACUUGGUAUAUUACCUACCAAGUUUCAACAAGCUGUGUUCCACCUUAAGUUAUGUGUCAUUUGCUUCGUGCUUGGGUGAUCUUCUGCUGAACUAUCUCGAGUAGCUUAACCACCUUCAAUAUGAUUAUUGUAUUAUAUGCUUAUGGAGUUGAGAUAAUAAGCUUAUUAAGUAAAUGUCGCCAACGGUCUUCAAAUGUAGUUGGAUUAGUUUGCUAAUCUGUAUAGAAGAGUUCUUAAUGGCUGAAAUCUCCAUAGCUAAUUUCAAUAGUUCUUGGUCCCUCUGAUAUGUUUUUGUAACUUAGCCCAAUGGUUAAGGAAGUGGAGAUUAACUCAAUGUAUGGGUGCCAAUGCUCUUAACUUCGAUUUGUGAAAUGUAUUUGGAAUCCAAAUUUGCGAAUAAAGUUUGGGAUUGGAGUUUGUUUGAACAUUGAAAAAGAUGUGUAUUUUAUUAUUCAAGUUUGGCAUGUCAAGGGAUGUGAGAGGUAUGAUUGCAGAAAUAGAUUCACUAAAGUGUCAAACAUUUCAUUAAGCCAAAGCAGCUGGUGUCACAAGUUCAACCAGGAUGAAAGGAAUAUAGUUUAUGAGAUGAUAUCCUUUGAUGGGUAGGAGUUUACUAACUGAAUAUGGUUUCACUGACUUUUUUCAGGAUUUUCCAUUUCCUCCACUCUUGAUUUCCAUUCUUCACAGUUUCCUCUGAUUGUAGUUUUUGCAAACACUUCAAAGAAUUUAGUUCAUUGCAGCAGCAUGACAUAGCUGUUGAGAAAAAAUCAUUGUGAAAAUUGUUGGUUCACCAUCAUAUCCUUUGAAAAAAUUAUUCAUUUAAUUUAUUACCUUGCAGAUUGGGGGCCUCUUGUUGAUGUUGUUGGCUAUUGUUUCCUAAAUCUUGGCUCAAAGUUUGAGCCUUCGGAAAACUUUGUUAACUGGAUCCAAAGUGGACCGAAACCUAUAUAUAUAGGUUUUGGAAGUAUGGUAUGCUAUUUUUGUUUGAAGUUAUUGAUGUGCUUCAUCCUGUAUAUAAAUCUUUUUGUUUUAGUAGGAAAUCAAGUGAAAGAGUUAUAUCCUUCUUAUUUGACACUUGAAGAAGAACUGAAAUAUUUUUUUGCUUUGACUUUUUUUUUUGACACUUUCUCUGCUCUAAGUCAAAAAACUAGUCAGCAAAGUUUGGGUUGGUGAUUUGGUAUCGAUACUCUGCCAUGAAUAACUGAUGCAUAUUAAUUAAACAGUUCUUAAGCUUUGUGGUAUGGACAUUUUGUCUAUGAAAUAGAGGAUUGUGCAGAGACCAUUAACUUCUUUAUGAAGUGAUGUAGGUGCACGUGGCGUAGCUCAUGUCUUAUAAAGUUCUUUGUGUUUUGCAUUUGCAUGCUAUAAAUUUUUGUCACAAGUUCCUUAUUUUUCCCUAUUGCUUGUGAAGCCUCUUGAGGAUCCCAAAAAAACUACAGAAAUCAUUUUAGAAGCACUGACGAAUACAGGACAGCGGGGAAUAAUUGAUCGUGGAUGGGGAGAUCUAGGUUCUGGUAAGUUAUUUGGUUCAAUCUUGUCCCUUCAGUUGCCUCUUGCUCAAAUAUAAUGUGCUAUAGGUUCUUAAAAAUGUUGAUUCUCAUUUAGCAACUAAAUUGGGCUGAUCCAAUGGCUGCUUUUGCAACUUUCCCCAGCCCCUACUCCACCCACCCACAAGGGAAGAAAGGAAGAACAACACAAAGGAAGUAACAAAAGGACAUAGUGAGAGGUCCUGCCAAUCAGAAAGUGAAUUUGAAGAAGAAAAUGCUUCUGCUCUUUUUGAAGAAGUCACCCUUAAAACCUAGGGAAACACACGCAACUGAAAAAGACGAAGCCAAUUAGAAGACAUGCAGAAGCAUAAGAAAAAUUAGAAAAAACUUAGGCUUUCAAAUUUGCUCUCUUCUUUGGAAGUAGAUGCUCUAGAUGCAGCUACUUGUCUUACAGCCAUUACAGUUUUCAGUUUUUUACUUGUCUUAGCUUUUUACAGUCAUUAUAAUCAUUAAAUUUACCUAUCCUUGUAUAAUUUUUGGAGAAUGGCAGUCUCACAUCAUAUUAUGUAUGCUCUCCAAAUUGUUUUUGAGAAACUUGUUUUUCUAUAUUCUUUUGCAGUGGAAACUCCUGAAAAUGUUUUUCUUCUUGUUGAUUGCCCCCAUGAUUGGCUAUUCCCUCAAUGUUCAGCUGUGGUAAGUUCUUUUUUAACUAAAGUCUCUCCCCCUAUUAAAUAAGUAAAAGAUCUGUAUUGUUGAGCUCCUGCUGAGUUUGUGCAUAUAUAUAAGCGUGUGAAAUGUACAUAGAUCUAGCAAUGUCACACCCUUCUGGCUUGGAGUUGAGAGGCAGAGAGGAAAUGCCUUUGAUAGAUUACUCCGUGUUGACUGCGAUUAUUGAUGGGAUACUUUUUUGGGCCUGUCCAUCUUGCUUUUGUUUGAUCUUCUAAUGCACCUGUCAUAUACUGGGUAAUGCUGCCAUUCAGGUUCACCAUGGUGGUGCUGGAACUACAGCUACAGGAUUGAGGGCAGGGGUAACUUUUCUAUAUCACUGGCUUUUUAAAUUUAAGUUUUAGCACUUUUACAUAUCUGUGUCUUUUUAACUGUCUUUUCACAGUUUAUAUCAUGUCAUAUUCAUAGCAAAUGAUUCUCUUUGUGAAGCAAGUAGUUGUUCAUUUCAUGUUUGACCUAUUACACUUAAUAGUGCCAUUUCCAUUUUCUACAUUUUAUUAUUUUAAGGUGUAUUUUGUCUCAUGUAAGUUCAAUUAUGUGAUAUGCAGUGUCCAACAACCAUAGUUCCAUUCUUUGGGGAUCAGUUUUUUUGGGGUGAUAGAGUUCACCAAAGAGGACUGGGACCUGCACCGAUUCCCAUAUCUGAAUUGAGUGCUGAAACCCUCUCAGAUGCCAUAAGAUUUAUGCUCCAGCCGGAGGUUGGCUGCUAGUUGUGCUAUUUAUUUACUUAUUUAUUUAUUUAUUUAUUUUGUUUUGCAUCUCCUUUUUCUCAUGUUUUCUUUGGUACGUAGCAUAAUCAUGUUAAAUUGGCGUGAAAUGAGGUUAUUUUUAAACCUCCCACUAGUACGUUUUCGGAAAACCUUGUCUGUUAUUCCUUGUAAAAUAGACUUCUUAGCAAGACAUUUGCAUUCCUAUUUCUCAUUUUAACAUCUGAUGUUGAUGUGUCGUAAAAAUUGCUUCAAUAACGGCAUUUUCUGCUCUGAAGUAUCAUGAUAGGAAUUUAGCUUUCAAUGAUCAGGGUUUUGAUCGAUUCUAAUCCCCUGCAGACAAAAUACCUUUUAGAGUAAGCAUAAACAUCUUCAUGAUGUUUGCAUUCCCUAUUGUUAACAAAGCAAGUUUGUGUUCUCUAUUUUUAGACAAAAGAUUAUGUAAGACACAGAACAUGAAGACAGAAAGAGGUUAUGUUUCAUAGAUUAGUUAUGGAGUCAUUAGGUAAUCUUAUCAGAGCAUAGAAGUAUGCUCUUGUUGAUAUAUAAACCGAGAUGCAUUGCAAGCGUAUAAUCCCUGGUUAGGAGAGGAGAUAGGAGUGGGUUCCUUGGCUUUUCAUGGGACGGAAGGCCAACAAGGUUUAGUAAUAUACUGGCUUGGGGUUGAGAAUAUUUUUGAUAACGGCAUUCAACUUAGUUACGAUGAACGAGGUGCUGUGUUCUUCUACAUGUGUGGUUAAGAGGAUCACAAAUUACUGGAUCUCUAUAUGUAUGAAUGACCUGAAGUUAUCAAUUUAAUAGAUCUAAAUGAUCUGUGGGUUUCAUGAGCUUUAGAUGUGUAGGACAAUCUGCUAUCAUGGCUGAGGGAAUUGGCCUCCGAUGACCACUUUAAAGACUUGGAACAGGGAAAUAAAAUUUUUGCAUUUCUGUCAAAGUUCAACAUACUCUAUCCUUGCAGAAAAUUUGCCUUUUUUCUUUGUUUUCUGAUGAAACAUUCGGCAUAUCAACUAGAAACUAUAAUCCCCCAUCCCCCUCCCUGCUUAAAUCCCACCCCUCUUCUUCUAGAAAAAAAAUUAACAAAAAAUCUAGAAACUGUAAUCCCCUAUAUACUAUGUUCUCCUUCUCAAAGAUGAAUUGUUUACGACUUUACACCUUCAUCAUCCUGUUCUUUCGUUGUUAGUUGUAAACUCUCUUUUGGUAAUCACCAUAUUUUGACUCACAUCAGCCUGCUCCUGUUUGAGAGAGGUCUGCAAUAUCUAUUGCCUCUAUAUGCUUGCAAAUAUUAACUGAAUCUCUUCCAGGUAAAAUCUCUGGCUAUGGAACUAGCAAAGUUGUUAGAAAAUGAAGAUGGUGUUGCGACUGCGGUUGAUGCAUUUCACCGGCACUUGCCUCCAGAAUUACCAUUACCAAUUGCAUCAACAGAGGACAAUGAUCAUCCAAAUUUCUUGCAGUGGCUGUUCAUUCAAAUUGGCAGAUUAUGCUGUCUGCCCUGUGGUUCCUAGAAUUUCUGCUGCAACAUCAGUAGUGAUUUUUGUAGAUAUAGUUGUAUGAUUUGGUCUCUAUUGAUAGUUGAUUAGUAGUGUCUUAUUCAUUCAUUUUAUUGAUCCACCCUUCUGUGGGGUUGGACAGUGGUCAGUAUAUAGGCUUUCAAACUUUUUUUUUUUUUUUUUAAAAUUUUGGGAGAAAGGCUAGAGUGGAAUAGAAGAACUAGAGUAUUGUUUUGACUAGUAGGUUGAGGCAUAGAACUUGAAAAAAGGAAAAAAAUGAGACAAUUAUUCUGUAUUAUACUGGGUGCAGUUUAUCACUGGAUCCUAGUUUUGUCAUUUCCUUCUUGUGUCAUUAUCUAAUUUCCAUCUGUCCCACUUUCAACACCGUUGAUAAAGAACCCAAUUUUCUUUUACAUGAUGCUAAUUUGGUAACAUAAUUGUUUUUGUACAAGAAGUUUUUGACCACCACCAUCUAAUGCACCUUAGAUAUAUAUGUGUGUGUGUGUGCAUAUAUAGCAACAAUCAUUUCUUAUAUAUCUUGAUAUCUCUCCACCUUGAUUCCAUGUAGCUGCUUGAAUUAGCUGGUGCAGCAUAAACUCCACACUUGAAGUACAAGUCACCUGGCCCCUGAUCAUUCUUCACAAAUUUUUGAACACCAUCGAUGAAAACAGUGAUUUUUCCUUCAUCUACGUUGUGGAUUACGUUUAAUCGAAACCAUUUAUCGUAUAGAUUUGUGUUAACCACUUCAAACUUGUAAUAUUUCAUGUCACCUUCGUAGAUCCUCAGUUGGAGACUUGUAGCACCAACUCUUGCACCAUGAAUUUGCAUUACUGUCACUCCAGAAGUUGCUUUAGGAACGUAUGCAUGGCCUUCAAAUUGCCAAACUCCAGAAGAGUAGUCAAGACCCUAGAGAGAGAGGGGGGGGGGAAAGAUCGGUAAAAAUACCGGGUAUUAUAGGAAAAAAAAAAAGAAUUAGAACACGAGUUUUUUUAUUAAAAUUGGAUUGUCUGGAAUCUUAUUUUUACUAGUGAUUAAGGUACGCUCGAUGGGUUUGCAUCUAAUAAAAUUAAAAAUAUUUAUAAUUAUCAUUUUCAUUCCAAAUGGAAGUAUUAAAACGAAAACAAAAUGGUGUGGACUAAGGUGAUUCCAAAAAUAGGAAGAAAGGAAAAGAAAAAAAUAGUCGUGACUAAUAUUAUUUGUUUUGCAUUUUAACAUCUCUGCCAUAAAUUGAAGCUUCUGACAAACUGUCUAAUUUUGAAGAGCGCAGAAAAAGUGGAUAAAUAUGAAUGAGUUCAAAACACAAAAGAUGGGAAGAUAAGAAGAAGUUAAUGGUAGAUUUUUUGUUCUUUUUUUUUUCUGUUAGAAAAUUUGACCAUUUUACAAAAAGGGAAAAAAAUAAAAAAUGACGUAGUCUCAGGCUCUAUAUAUAUAGUCAAUCUACAAAAAGUAACUGAAAAUCAAAAUUAUGAUAUUUUUAAGUGAUAGAUAUAAAUAUAAAAAUCUCUAAAAUCAAGGAGGUGGAUCAUCUUUUAGUUUGUUUCUGUCACUUAAAAUCGUAUGCUGUUUAGUAUAGGAUUUCACACACACACACACACACAUAUAUAGAUAUCUUUUUUAUAACAAAGUGGUGAGAAAAUAUACAGAAUUACAUGGUAGAAAAGUGACCUUAAUUCGGACUUCAGUGCGUGGUCUGGUAGUAGUAUCAGGUUUAAAGGGCUUGUCAUUGGUGUAAACCCAUAGUCUCCUCACUCCAUUUUGAUAGCUGUAUCGAUCAUUGAGCGGUACAUUGUAUGGCUUCUGCAGAUCAAAAUUUCGAUCAGUUAAUGGUAUCUCAGUGAACCCAUCUGUGGGAUCAGCAAGACAUGACAGAAUUCGACCCGUUGAGGAAAUCAAAACUAGGAAUAACAGUAGACUAUACAAGCAAGAAAUGCCCAUUUUUCUGGAAAUUCUUGAUCUUUCUUUUAACUCUUUUGUUUGAUGAUUGAAGUUGAGAAAUUUCAUGGCUCCAUUUAUAUAGGAGGAUUCUUAUUGUCUGCAUGAAAAGGAGAUGUUUCCUAAGGUUCUUCUCCGCAAUCAUAUUAAUUUCUAGGUAAUUUGUGUAUUACUAAACGUGAAUGGUACGUAAAUUUGUUGAAAUCCAGGAUGAAUUUUUGGGUCUCUUCAGAGACGGUUGACAGAUAAUAUUGUUGCAUUGCCAGGGUGGGGAAUUGGGGUAACAUUUUAUCUGUUGUAUAAUUUUCUGGCAUUUUAUAUAAAGGGUCAUUUUCUCUGUUGUAUAAUUUUCACCAAUGUGAAACAGGGGAAGAUUGAAUAUACAGACAACUGCUGUGCCUUAUUCUCUCAACCAUUUGUUCUCGUACUUUGUUCCACAUUAAAUUUGUAGAAUUUUGCAGCGGCCUUCAUUUAAAUUCAAGAACAUGGAAAGAAAUCCAAUUAAAUUCUCUAGGAUAAACAAUUUUUUCAGACUAAAACCCAUAUGUCAUGAGUGCACAAAUCACUUGUAUGCCUUGAUCCAUAAUAAUGAACGAUGCAUAAUUAUUCAAACUUUUUUCGUACUUCAAAAAAAGAAAAAUCACUUGUACAAUAUCCUCAUCUAAAUGGUCUUCCUUUUCUGAGUUCAAAGUUUAGUUUGUAUCACUCUGAGAAAAUGAUUAUUGAUCUUGUAGUCGGAAAAUGAGAGAGAGGAGAUUGAUAUUCAACUGAUAUUUUUAAUGAGGAAAAUAAUAUGGAUCAUGAAGAUUUCAUGCCUAAGAAACUCUGUGCUAUAAAUAUUUUGAUGCUUCUACAAUUGUAUAGGGAGUUAGUAUUCUUUAAUUAUAGAGGAGGUCUUUCUCUUAUAUGAACCAAUAAACAUAUAUGAUUUUAGGAUUUUUAAGAAACCAGGGAUGACAUAGCACAACCUUCGAAGUCUCAACCCUUAGGAUAAUAAGCUGAAAUUUCUUUUUUCUUUUUUAUCAUUUUCUACAAGAUGGAUUUAGUCAUAAAUUGUGAAGUAGGAAAUAUUGCAAAAUGCUUUGAAUAGAACCAUUCCAAGCAUAACUUGACCUACACUUAAUGAAAUUAACAACCAUUCCAAGCACUAUGGAAUAGUUAUUCAAUGCCUUAUUAGAAAUUCAUUUUCUAAUUGUGUGUUAGUGGUGAUACUUUUGAUUGCUUUAAUUCAUGUCAAUUUAAUCUGAAAUAGAACACAAGCACGUAGAAUAAUGAAUUACCACCACCUCACAGUAUUUCGCAACACAGAUGGAAAACAAGAACUUCAAUCGCAUCACACGAACUGAUACAUAUUAGGAUUUAUAUAAACUCAACAACAUUCUUCUUACAUAUUAGAUACAACUCAAACAACAAUUGGACGUACAUUUGGUGCAAACUCAUAAUUUCCAUCUUGAUGGUAAAUCACUUCUUGUAAAUCUUGAUAUCCCUCCAACGUGAUUCCAUGUAAUAACUGAUAUCUCUUGGUGCAGCAUAAACUCCACACUUGAAGUAGAAUUGUGAACGCCCUCGAUCUUGUGUCUGAAACUUUUGCUGAUCAUCAAUGUAAACUGUGACCGUGCCUCCCUCCACAGCAUGGAUGAGAUUGAGCUUGAACCAUCUGUCGUACAUGCCAGUGGCAAUCACUUCACCGCUGUAAUACCUCAUGUCACCAUUGUAGAUUCUCAGAAUUAUGGUGGAUGAAUCAUGGGCUGCACCAUGAAUUUGUGCUACUGUUGCACCAGAGGUUCCAUUCGGCACGAAUCCAUAGCCUUCAAAUUGCCACACUCCUGAAGUAUAGUCAAGUCCCUGCACAUAAAUUUUUUGUUAAAAAAAAAGGAAGAAGAAAAAAUCAAAACUGAUCAUAAGUUCGUACUUUAGAACCAGUUACAGGUUCACACUCACAUGACAAAGGCUGGUGUAUUUUUUACUCAAAUGGUAACUAUGGAAAGAAUGUACUACUACUUGGUAAACUCCAAAACUAAGGGAAAGUAGGAGAUAUUGAGACUCUAGUCAAGCAAAAACUAUAGUUAUGAAUAAAAGUUUUCACCAAAUGCGUACUUCACCCUCAGGAAGCUAGGAACUUGAAUAGAAAAUGUUGAUUGAAUUUUUUGAAUGACACACGAAAAUCCCAUGUUCUCAAGAAUUACUACUGUCGAAAACAAAAUAUCUUGACUAACGCCUCCGCCUGUUAAAACGCAAGCGAACAGGAGAAAAGAUAAUAAGACUAUGAUGCAGUGGUAUUUGAAGCAUUGUUAUGGGGGAAAAAAAUUGAUUUACGUGAAUGCGAACUUCCGUGCGUGGUUGUGUCUCGCUAUUAGGGCUAUGUGGCUUAUCAUUAGCAUAAACCCACAUCUUCCGAAUCCCAUUUUCGAAACUGUAUCGUUCAUCCAAUGGCACAUUGUAUGGCCUCUGGAUUUCAAAGUUUGCUUCUGUUAAUGGCACAUUUGUGAAACCAUCAGUGGGAUCAGCUGAACUUUGGAGAAAAGAAUUGAUGACCAGAAAUCCCACGAAGCAGACAACAUUCUUCACAGAAGAAUUCAUGUUUCCAAACUUUUUGCCCUUUUCCCAACAAUUGCUUAAGUAUCUUCUUCCAAGAAGCCGCGGUCUAGUAAAUAUAUAUAGGUAAGAAAAUGGAACAAUGAAAUGUACUACUAGAGGUUGGAGUUGGACUUACCUGGACCUAUGUUGGUAUUUCCUUGCGUAAAGAAGCAUAUUUUGUGAUGGUGACCUGGUUGACGAAAUUAUUGGACGUUUCACAGGAUAAUGUUUGUGGAAAAGAUUCUUUUUCCAUCUUGGGUGGAUCUAGUUGCGGGAACAUUCAUAGUUCAUCAAACUUCAGGCCAAACAACAAGAAGGGCUUAAAGUUAUUGGUGACAAGAACUGGUAUUGAACAAGAGAAGAAUAAAUCUGGCUUGCAUACAACUUAUUAGGCUAAAAAACAAAGGCUAAUAUAUUUUAUAGGGAAAAUUACACUUUACCCCCCGGUGGUUUAGUAUUUUUUACAUAAGCCCUAUGAUUUCAAAAGUUAUAUAUAAUUUUCUCAUGGUUUGGAUUAAAAUGUCAAAGUAACUGAACUUGGAAUCCAUAAUGAAGUCACUUAAACUGUCAAAAAUACCCCUAUGUAACAUUGAAAAUUAUUUAUUAAUCAUAGGAGGGUUAUGUGUAUAUUUUGAAAAUCAUAAGAGAGUUAUAUGAUAAAACAUUAAAUUAUAAGAGAGUUAUAUGGUAAAAUAUAAAAUCAUACAGGGUUAGUGCGUCAUGUAUAGUAUGUUUAUAUAUUUUGAUCACUUCAAUCAUUUUAAUUUUUAAAUAAGGGUAAUUUCGACAUUUUUAAAUGUUCCGUUACGAAUGAUGUUUCCGUCACUUUAACACUUUAAUCCAAAUUAUGAGGGAAUUAUGUAUAGUUUUUGAAAUCAUAAGAGAGUUAUGUACAAAAAUACUAAAUUAUAGGGGUUAAAAUGUAAUUUGCCCUAUUUUAUAUACACAAACUUACUUCGUAAUGCACCACUCUUUUUAUUAUUAUUAGUAUUGGAAUGUGAUAUUAUUUUAUCUCCACUGUUCAAAAGCUUUGCAAAAACCCAAUUUUUGAAUUGUUCAAGACCGCUGGAGCUUCAAUUAUCGACCUUUAAAUUAACCCACAUGAACUGAACGAAGUGGUCCAUUAGGUAAAUUUUUUUUCCCCCUAAAGACAGUAGAGAAUAAAGAAAAGAGAAGACAGACAGAAAGGAAGCAGAAAAAAGAAUAAAAGGCUACUAAAGUUACAAGUUGUUUCGAACUUAUAAUGAAUAAGAUAAUUUGUGUGAUAUGUAAAAUCUAAUCAAACCUAAUUAAAUCGGGUUAUAUAACUAUCAAUCCAAGUUCACCCUUUAUUUGUCAGCUUCUCACGGAUACCGUUUAAUUGUGUUUUCCCCAACUGAUGAAUUUAAGUCAUAUUGCAGUAAAUUUACUAGUCGUAUCCAAAUCAAUUCUUUUUUGAAUUGUAUCCAAAUUAUUUGAUAGAUUAAGACACAAAUACUUAAGUAAUCUUUUGGCUAAUUAUGCAACGCGUUAUACUGCCCAACCACAAGAUUUAAAUUGUAUUCUACAAAUUGGGAGUUCAUGUCCUUUUUUUUCAGAAGAAAAAAAAAAUGAGAAAGUAGCCAAUAUAAUAUGGUGUUUUGCAAUCAUCUUCUUUUAAAUAGAGCAGCAUGGAAACAAAUAUUCCACAGGUUAUUGUCCCAUCUGCAAGGUUUCUCGUAAUCUCUGACAGAUUCACCUUUCAUACAAUUUGACUGUUAGGUGAUCAGCUAAGAUUUAAAGAAAUUCAGAUUUAUUGGUGCAUUUUUUUUUAUCAAAAGAAAAAAAAAUCUGGAAUCUCGCUCACUAUGUAAAUAUCUUUCCAAAUUGAUUUUAGGGAUAAUUUUAGAAACCUCCCCUGAGGUUUCUAACAAUUUCACAAAGCUCCCCUUAAUAUUUCAAAAUUGCACAUACCUCCCCUAUUGUUGCAAAAGUACUCUACUACCCCUAUAUGGGAUACUUAAUGACAUUUUUUUUUUUUGGAAAAUUUCAGAAAUUCCAAGAAAGACCAAAAUUGACUUUGGCACCAAGUGAUGGAUUUAAUUGACUUGUGUAGUAAAUGUAAGGGCUGGAGUUACUGGACAUAAAUUAGGUUGUAGUAUUUUGAGUGCUAAAAUUAUUGGAAUUUAUCUUGAUUUAAAUUGGGGUGUUAUUUGACUUUUGUGGUGGCGUUGCUUGAAAGAAGGCAAUCAUCAUAGUUGAAUUUUUGUUCCAAACUUUUAUUUUUGGCAGAAAGAGUUUGUUUGCUUAGGUGUUGGAAGAAAGGCAAUUAACAAAUCUCUUUUUAUUUUUCCUUUUUAUCUUUUUGACAAAAAGGGUAGUUUAGGAUAUUUGAAGGAAUUGGUAGCCUAUUAGCAUAAAUAGUGAAAGCAAGGGAGGUGAGUGUAAUUUUUGAAACCUAAGAGGAGUUUCCUGAAAUUGUUAGAGACUCCAAGGGAGGUUUAUGAAAUUAUCCCUUGAUUUUAUUUUCAGAAUGUUGGUUCCUUCUUGCAAUGAUUGAACGACUGCUCGACUACGAGUAUCUAUGUUUUUCCUUUUGAUUGAUUUACAACCUUAAUUAAUUUCUAUUAAUUAAGCCAGAAUUCUGAAGUUCAUUUGUACUCGAAAGAUUUCUUUACUCAUAAUCUACCAAGAUUGAAAUUGGAACCAUCCUCGUCUAUGCCCAGCAUGCAUUUUCAGGGCUUCUACUUUCUAGAGUAAUUCUUUUUGUUUUGGUACUCCCUUUUCUUGUCUCAUAAACUCUGCAGCUCUCUUGCUUUUGUGCAAAAGGUUUUGGGAUAAUUUCAAAAACCUCCCUCGAGGUUUCCAACAAUUUCACAAAGCUCCCUUAAGGUUUGAAAAAUUACACUUGCCUCUUUUGAUUUGAUAGUUUUAGCAACAAAACCUUAAAAUAAUAUUGACUUGGUCAAUUUUUUAAAUGAAUACCCAACAAUGCCCUUGUGCAAUGAGUUUUAAUUUAUUUUCCUAUACAAUUAUAAGAUUAUUUAGUAUAAUUAUAAGGAAAAUGUGCCAAAUUUUUCAUGUCCAUAUCGACUAUUUGAUAAACAACUAUAAUAAUAAUUUUAUUACUAUGAUAUGAUAUUUUUUAUGAUAUUUUGUUAUAGAUUUAAAUUUAUAAGAUAGAAAAGAAAAUAUUGAAAUAAUUCAUUUAGAGUUUAUGAAUUUUUAGAGUAGUGGGAUUAUCAUAAUUUAGAAGUGCUUUUGGGCUAUUUCUUUUUGAUUUAUUGUUAAUUUUAAUAACAAAAAUAGAAAACAAAGAUGAGCAAAAACAUUAGAUUACAUAUAAAAUUAAUUCAUCAAAAAAAUCACUAGUUCGAUAUUUGAUAGUUCUAGAGAUAAUAGUGGUAGUUGUACAGUUUUAUUGGCAAAAAAUUAAAAAGAAUGAAAAAAAUGAAAAAAAAUUUAAAAAUCAUUCAAAAUAUAAGCAUACCAAAUAAGGGAAUUUUAUUAAAAUAUUUAAGGGUAAAAUUGUCAUUUUAAAUGACAAGGUAUGUGUAAUUUUUCAAAUUUCAGGGGAGCUCAAUGAAAUUAUAGAAACUUUAGGGGAGAUUUCUGAAAUUAUCCCAAAGGUUUUUAACCUUAGGAUUUGAUGCAUUUCUGGUUCCUCUGUUCAUGUAGUGAAACAUAAUAAUAUUAGCCAGCAAAACAAUUAAUAAGAGGAAUGAAGAAAUCAGUAAUAUGGUCUUCACGAGUAGAAAGAUGUGCUUAAUAAUCAACUUCAACAGAGACUACUUGGAUAGAGUAAUUGCGUGAAAACUAUGCCAAAAAUUAGGAUGCUUGAUCAUGUAGCUACGUCUAGUCAGAUUUAUGAUAAAGUAUUUGCUGUUCAGUAACAAAUGGAAGCCAUACAAACUAAAAAAAAAAAAAAAAAAUUUAUGGAGGCUGAUUAAUAGUAAGAAUAAUUUUUACCACUUAAAAAAAAUGAAAGUAAAAACAUUAAUUAUGUUUGUAUUGAGCAAUAACUAGACAUCCAUAAUUAGGGCUGUCAACGGGCCGGGUCCGGGCCGGAAUUCAUUAUUCCGGACCCGGACCCGAAUUACUAUGCCGGACCCAGACCCGACCCGUUUAUCCGACGGGUCUUUUAUUCUAUGUUCCGGAUCCGGAUCAGGCGGGUCCGGCGGGUCCCGGAUCCGGAUCCGGGUCUACCCGAACAAAUUUAGCAAAAUUUAUAAUUUCUAAUAAAAAUGAAAAAAAAUAUAUUUGUAAACUAAUUUUUAACUAAUGCAAAGAAAAAACCAAAUAAGAAAAGAAAUCAAAUUAACUUUAUUAAAAUACAUCACUCUAAUCAAAUUAUAUUGAUAAAUAUAUAUAUUUAAAAUUAUUAAUUCAUUUAUAUCCGGAUCCGGGUCUAAUACGGGCCGGAAUACUAUAUUCCGUAUCCGACCCGUUUUUUGUUUGACAAAACGGAUCCGGAUCCGGAUCCGGAAAACGGAAUUAAAUCCCUACCCAUACCCGCAAUAAUUUCACGGAUCCGGUCCGGAUUCGGGUCUAGACCCGACCCAUUGACAGGCCUAUCCAUAAUACUAGUUGCGAGGAUCCCAUGACUGAGAAUGUGUCAAAACAGAGAGAGGGAUUGCGAGGGCUAAUAUGUGUAUUGCUGAAAGUCAUGAAAGCCGGUACAUAUACUGUGUCUAUAAUAUGUUAUCCAUUGUUUUUGAACUAUAUCACAAAUUAUUCAGAUUCUUCGGACAUCACUCUUUAUUUCAAGAAAAAAGAAAGAAAGAGAAAAAAAAAAAAAAAAGAAGAAGAAAGGCUGGCCAGAAAACAUCUUCAGAAAAUUUUUGUACAUGAUUAGGAGAAUUAUUUUCACUUUUUGUAUAUUUUGAUAUCUCUCCACCUAGAUUCCAUAAAAUAGCUAAUAUUGGUUGAUGCAGCAUAUACUCCACAUUUAAAAUACAAAUCUCCAGGCCCUCGAUCUUUUGUUUCCGCUUUUUGUUCCCCAUCAAUGUAAACAGUCACUCUUCCUCCAUCCACAUCAUGGAUCAAAUUAACUUUGAACCAUUUAUCGUACAUUUGAGUAGCCAAAAUGCCCCUAACUGCACCACAAUAAUAGUUCAUGUUUCCAUCGAUGAUUCUUAGCAUUAUAGUUGUUGCCCCAUGGGAUGCUCCAUGAAUCUGAACUAUUGUAGCGCCAGAUGUACCAUUUGGCACAAAUCCAUACCCUUCAAAUUGCCAUACUCCAGAUGAGUAGUCAAGUCCCUGCAUGUAUGGAAACGAUCAAGAUAUAUAUAUACAUAUACAUACAUGUAUAUAUAUAUAUAUAUAUAUAUAUAUAUAUAUAUUGACACUAAGCAGUUUUGGUGAUUUCAACUCCAAUCACCAUCACAAGUUAGGACAUGCUUUGCUUUCAAGUGAUGAUCAAGAUUAUAAAGAUCAUGCAUAAGGGUUAUGCUAUACUCAAAUGCAAAAGAAAAAGAAAAUCAACUAUCAUUCGGAAUAACCAAUCUAUAAUCCUAUGCUAAAUAUUUAGCUUAAUCAAGAUAACUGUUUCUAUGCUAAAAAGAAAAAAAAAAAAAAGAUAACCGUUUCUAUAGAGUUAAUUGUUUUUUUAAAAAGUACUAGUUUCAAGCGGUUUCGAAUCUUCUGUUCCCAAAUUAGUCUCUAUCCUCUCUGUCCCUUCUUUGUAUAGUUGCCACGUGUUUCUAACUUUUUGAUAACCCAAACUCAAACAAAUCGAAAAUCAUCAGUUGACAAGUUUACUUAAAACCAAUUAAAAUAGAUAACUCAAACUUUUUUGCCUUUGGAUAAAUCAAGCGGUUCCAAUAACUCAAAACUAUUUUUUUUCUUUGGAUAAAUCAAGCGGUGGUUCCCUAAUUAGAAUUUCUUCAACUCUAGUUUACAUGAAGAAGAUUGCAAGUUUUGGUUUUGAGUAAACUUGUCAACUGAUUAUUAUCGGUUUGUUUGAGUUUGGAUUAUCAAAAAGUUAGAGAUAGGUGGCAACUAUACAAAUAAGGGACAGAAGGGAUAGAAUCUAAUUUGAGGACAAAUGAUUCGAAACCGUUUCAAGCUGCUGCUUAACAGAAUACAUCUUUGAAAAAACGACUUAAUAUAGUAGAAGUAACCUAUAAAGCUACCACAUUGAAAAUCAAAAGUUUUUCAAAGAAUAGAAAAGUUAAUAAGACAUAAUGCUUUGGAAAAUUGUCAAAUUUGCCGAGAAACAUCAUAUAUAUCUAACGACAUUAAUAUGAAGCAAGCAUAUUAUUAGGCAGGAGAAGGUACAAAAGCAAUUGACAAGUUCAGGUUUGGCUUUUUCCUUGCUAACGAAAUUGAGGGUAUCAAAUUUAUUUAUUACGGUAUCUAAGGGACCAGGGUCAAUAAUAUCCUCUCGAAUUUUCCAAUUGAAGCGAAAACAAGAAAAGUCAAGAACAAUAAUAUCCCAUUCUGUAAGAAUAACGACAUGUAUAGGUACUUAAUUCUGAAUAUACAAACUAUAGAUAGCGGAGAAUUUUGAAUGCAAAAAUAUGGUGAUUUUUGAGGGAUGAGAUAUUUACCUUAACUAACCUUUAUAAAAUGUUAUCUAAAAAAAUAAAACAGAGAUUAAUUAUUCGUCAAUCAAUGAGCAGAUACAUAGAGGAAUAAAUUAAAAUGCAAAACUAUGGUCAGUUCUGAUGAAUGGGAAAAAGUUACCCUUAUCCGAAUUUCAGUCCGUGGCAUUGUGUGACUGUUGGGAUUAUGUGGUUUAUCAUCAGCAUAAACCCACAACCUGCGAGUUCCAUUUUCAUAAGAAUACCGCUGAUUCAAUGGUAUAUCAUAUGGCCUCUGAAUCUCAAAGUUGUAUUCUGUUAAUGGGACAUUUGUGAACCCCUCAGUUGGAUCAGCAACAGAUUCCAUAAAGACAUUAGUGUAUAAGCUCAUUAAUGAUGUUAAGAAAACCACAUUUUGUAUAGAAAAUUUCGUCAUUAUUUCCACCCACUCCACUUCUUUACUGGAAAAAUUUUGAGGAAGAAAACUGUUGAGCUAUAUAUGGUUAGGCAAUUAUCAAGUAUUAAUAAGGGAACAAGAUUUGAACGUUUGAUUUUUUAAAGUGUGAUGGUGUAAAAUUAAAUUUAUUAAUCAACCUACUCAUCAUUGCGUCACAAUAAAUUUUAUUUAGGUACAAAUUGAAAAUGCAUGAGCCAAUUGAUUGUCUGAUGCAGGUUAGUAGGACUGCACGAGCACUUUAUCAGUGUUUUUUUUGACUGUUUUUAGCGUUCCUGCUCCAAACCCUCUAAUCAUUUGCAAAUAACUAAAACAUAUGACAAUGACAGGGCAAAAGAUGAUGACCCAAAGUGGCCAAAAAUUAGCAUCUAACAAGUUAUUGAUUGGACUUAUUUAAGAUUUUUGGUAGAGAAAAUUUCAAACUUUGCAGUCUCAAUGUGAAUGAGUAUAACUUUUGGUGGAUGCAUGAUCUACUGUGACAUAAGCAUCUUUGGAAAAUUUCAACUUAUUGUAAUGAAUAAAAUUCAUUACUAAUUUACUAUGACUAGUCCUAGUAUUGGGUGGUGUGGUUCGUGAACAAUACAAAUAGAGUCGGUAAUGUAUAAUUUUUUGCAUGAUGAAAUCAGGUAUACCCAAAUCCUUUCAAUUAUUCUGCGAAUCUGAAGCUUUCUUGCUGGAUUUAGCAGUAUGUUUGUGCCCCUCUGUAACAUUGUCUGGCUGUUAGUCACUUUCUGGGUCAACAUGUUGAGGCAUGCACACCCGUGAUUGUGUAAAAUAUACUUGCUCUUUGAUCCCUGGGACAAGAAAUGAUCAUUGCCGUAUCAACGAUUGCUGAAUUUUUUACCAAUUGAAGUCAUCAGGCUAAAAUCUUGAGUAUUUUUUAACAAUGAUCAAAGAUUUAUGGAUCAAAUUACUCUUUCACUAUUUUUGACUCUUUGGCUUUUUCCUCCUGUGGGAUUUGUUUGAAUCAUUGGAAAAAAAAAAAAAAAAAAAGAACAGACACAGAAAGAAUAGUGAAUAGAACCUAGAUUUUCUGGUCAAAAGAUUGGCUCCUUAAUCCAUCCUUGCAGCAUUGGUCUACCAUUAGCUCAGAUUUCAAUCCUAUAUAUCCACUUAGCUUACAUUUGUUGCUUCGUAAAAACUUUUAUUAAUGAAAUUUUAUAGGGUAAAUUACAUUUUACCCCCCUAUGGUUUACCCUUUUUUUACAUAACCUCCCUAUGGUUUCAAAAGCUAUACAUAACCCCCUCAUAAUUUGGAUUAAAGUGUCAAAGUAACAGAAAUAGUCACUCGUAACGAAACUUCUAAAAAUGUCGAAAUUACCCUUAAAAUACAUGACACAUUAAUCCCGUGUAAUUUUUAUAUUUUACCAUGUAGUCCCCUUAUGAUUUAAUGUUUUACCAUAUAACCUCCUUAUGAUUUUCAAAAUAUACACAUAACCCCCCUUGGUUAAUAUAUAAAUUUCAACUUUAUAUAAGGGUAUUUUUGACAUUUUAGGUGACGCCGUUAUGAAUGAUCAUUCCCGUCACUUUGACACUUUAAUCCAAAUCAUAAGGAAGUUAUGUAUAGUUUUAUGUGGAAAAAAUGCUAAAUCACAGGGGGGUAAAUUGAAAUUUGCCCAAUUUUUUGUGUUACGGAAGUCUGUAACUAAUGUUCAUUGGGACACAGAUGGUAUAGCCACGUUUAAUCUGUUUGAAUUUUACCAGAUGAGAAAUUAUUCCUGCAACAUAUAAUUUCUACCUUAAUUGGAGCACCAGAUAAUUAUUCACUUCAGAUAAUUAUUCACUUCUUACUACUGUUAGAGCCAAUUAGCUAAGCGAUUAAGGUUGAGAUCUCAAAAAUUUGAUGUACCAACUUAAAGUCUAUUCUAAUUAGAUAAUAGUAAGUGCUCAUUCCACUACUUGCGGAUCAACUGGUUGUAGUGGUACUGUUCAAUUGUAAACAGUACAUAUUGAUUUACUUUGUAAUCAUAUCAAUCAAGUAUUAAUCUUCUUGGAUUUCAGGUUUAUAAUUAGUUGCAUGAGGACCGUUUUAGGACAUAGCACCACCGUAUUAUAAAAUGUGAAAAAAAAAAUGUACCAGUCCUAAGUACAGUUUAGACACAAUACUUGCACUGGCAUAAAAUGCAAGUAAUAAUUAAACAACAAGGAUAAUUUUAUUUUCUCAAGCAAAAGAAAUACAGUUGUAAUUAAUUCUUAUUUUUCCCCUGGGUAAAUCAUCCUCCCUUUUUUGUAUAUUUUGAUAUCUCUCCACCUUGAUUCCAUAUAAUAGCUAAUGUUCUUCGGUGCAGCAUAGACUCCACAUUUGAAGUACAAAUCUCCAGGCCCUUGAUCAUGAGUCUCAAACUUUUGUACACCAUCGAUGAAGACUGUCACUUUUCCUCCAUCCACAUCAUGGAUCAAGUUAACCCUGAACCAUCUAUCAUAAAGGCCAGUGUCUACAAGUUCACUACUGUAAUACCUCAUGUCACCGUCAUAAAUUCUCAGAAUUAUAGUUGUUGCACCGUGAGAAGCUCCAUGGAUUUGCACAAUUGUUGCACCAGAUGUCCCAUUUGGCACAAAACCGUAUCCUUCAAACUGCCAAACUCCAGAUGAGUAGUCAAGCCCCUGCAUGAUGAUUGAAAUCGAAACUAUUCCUAUUAGAUGAGUCUAGCUUCCAAUUCAAAGCAACACAUUUUUGCAUAUGUGGCAUGCAUUUACCUAUAAACUUGCUGUUUUAAAUAGACCUGACCUUAAGUCAGUAUUCUGAAAAGGAAAAAAAAAAAAGGUUUUGGUUACCUGAAUUCGAACUUCUGUUCGUGGUUGGGUGUGACUAUUGGGGUCGUGAGGUUUGUCAUCAGCAUAAACCCACAAACGGCGAGUUCCAUUCUCGUAGCUGUAUCUUUCUUCGAGUGGCACAUCAUAUGGCCUUUGAAUUUCGAAAUUAGCUUCUGUCAAAGGGAUGUUUGUGAAUCCUGUUGUGGGAUCGAUAGAACAUACUAAGUAUAGAUUGUUUGAUAUGUAUAAGCAACUAAAUACUAUGAGGAAAAUCGCAUUUCCUUUUGAAGAACUCAUAGCUUUAAGCUUUUCGCUUGCUGAGCUCCCCUUCUUCAAGUAGUAGAAGGAUGAGAGCUGAGUGAGGAAUGUAGCUGUGAUCUUAAUUUAUAUAGCGGAACAACAUAGUAAAUUUUGCUUUAUAAUAUGCCUUUUUUUUUUUGGAGGGCAACGAACUAUGGAAACGCAAGGGAACAUUUAAUAUGAUGUAAAUCGUGUUAAAGAUGACUGAGUAAAAAAUCAAUGUGAAACCCAAAUAUUGCCGUAUCAACCCAGUCCAUUUAUUUGUCCCUACUACAAAAAAAGUUACCUCGCCUUAGCUAAAAAUAAUCGUGCUUAAUUGUAAUUUGCAUUUCUUAUUUGGAUUUACUGGUUUUUAAAUCAAUUCUUACAUUGUUUGGCGGAAAUUAAAACAAUAAGCCUAAUAAGAAAAUUUUCAGCAAUAUGUGGGGAAACAAUUUUGCACUGUAAGAGAAAUUCAAGCAAAAUUCAAGAAUCUUGCUGUAUUUAGUUCAGUUGUUCAAAUGCAAAUAAUUUUGAUAGGUCUAUAUUAGUACCUUUUUUUUUUCAUGGCUCCAUUUAUAUAGGAUAACUAUCAUAGUCUGCAUCAAGAAGAGAUGUUUCCUAAGGUUCUUCUCCGAGAGCAUAUUAAUUGCUAUGUAAUUUUUUAAAAUAAAUUUUUCUAAUAGGGAAAGAGUGAGAGAGUAAAUGAGAAAUGAGAAACAUUGAUUUUUUUAAUUAGAAUUGAGAGAGGAGAAGGAUAUUCAAGCGAUGUUUGAUUUGGUAAAUAAUGUUGAUAAUAUACUUUCAUGCUUCCAUUCGUAUAGUGAUAUGAAGAUUGCGAAGUAAUAAAUCCACAAUUGGUAUCUGAAGCUAGUAUUCUUUUAUUUUAGUGGAGGUCUUUGUUAUGUGAAACAUACAUGAAUUUCAGGCUUUUAGAAAAAAAAAAACAGAUAUUACAUGGCAUAACUUUCAAAGUCUUCAUCCGGCCAAUGAGCUGAACUUAAUUUCUCAUACUUUUCAGUAAGGUGAGAUUUGAAGGAUGCCGGAUUUUUAUAAUCGUCAGUAAAAAUUGCACUACACUAUAUGUUCUCUGACAAAGUGCCAAAGGAUAAGUUUUAAUUUUUGUUAGGGAUAAUUUCAGGAGUUUUCUAGCUAUUUCACUGGUCUCUCUUCGGGUUUUAAAAAUUACACUAACCUCCCUCGAGGUUAAUUAUUUUGUAACAUUUAGGUCUAACCAACAAAUAAAAAAUAAUAUUAGGAGAAAGAAAAUAAUAUGAUUCCACCAUUACCUUUCAUCUACUAAAUUGUUUAAUUAAUCUAAUACCCAUCCAAAUAUUAAAGAAAAUACUAGAAUUUGCUGUUUAAUUUAAAUUGUUUAAUUUAAUACCCUUCAUAGGGGCUUAAAUCACCUAUGACAUAAAAAAUAGUACAUUAUUCUAUAUAUUUUAUUAAAUAUAAGAUCUAAAUUACUCUUUUCAAUUACAAACUCAUAGUCAAACACGAUCAACAACAAAUAAUCAAAAAAAAAUCUAUAACCAAAAUAUUACAAAGAGUGAACUUUAAUACCAUAAAAUUCUCAGGAACUAACCUUAAUAUGUUAAUAAGAAUAUUUAUGAUGUUAAUGUUUAUUCUCUAUAAUAUUUUGGUUGCAAAUUUUUUGAUUAUUUAUUGUUGACCAUGUUUGAUAAAUGGGUACGUAACUGAAAAGAGUAAUUUCGAUCUUGUAUUAAGUGAAAAAUAUAACAUGAUUUACUGUUUUUUAAUACUAUAUAUAAUUUGAUCCCUAAUGAUAAAUAGCAAAUUUUAUAUUUUUCUUUAAUGUGUGGGUUAGUAUUAAAUUAAUUAAAUAAUGUAAUAGCUGAUAGGCAAUGAUGUAAUCAUAUUAUCUUUUCUAUCUCACUAUUACUUUUUAAUUAUCGAUUGAGUUUAAAUGUUACAAGAUAAUCAAUCUCAAGGGAGGUUAGUGUAAUUUUUGAAACUUGAAGGGAAGCCAGUGGAAUAGUCAAAAAUCUCAUGAGAGGUUUUUGACAUUAUCACUUUUUGCUAUACUAUUUCUCACAUUACCGGAAUUAGUGCUAAAUGUUCACUCAAUGUGAGUGCAAUAAAAAAAAUACUUAAUAUUAUGGUCAUAUAUUUUAUAUAAAUUUUCAUUGCUGAAGCAAACCUUAAUCUUUUAAAUCUUUUUUAUAAAAUAAUUCUAUAUUGGUAGUUAUAUUAAAAAUAUAUACUUAAAUACUCCCUCCGUUCCACUUUGAUAGGUUUGUUUUUCUUUUCAUCCGUUUAAAAUUAUAGUCCACUUUCUAAUUGAAGAAAUUUAGUUAACUUGUAGCUUAUCUAAAAUGCCCUUAUUUAAUGUAGAUUGUUAUUGAGUAUAACUUAACUUAUUAAGUGUAAAGUUAAUUAGUCAUACUCCAUUUAAUGCAAGCGUAUUUUAGGAAUAUAAUAAGUUAGAUUUAUUUUUUCCAACAAAGGUAACCAACUUUUCUUAAACUGUGUGGGGAAAAAAUCAAACCUAUCAAAGUUGAAUUGAAGGAGUAAUUAAAAGUAAAAAAUAGUCAUGGAUAGUUAUCUUAAUCGCAUAUGUAUAGGUAGUUAAAGUAAGCAUAGUUUCCACAAGGGCAAAAAUGAAUGUUUAUAAAGUGAUAAUGAAUGUUUACCCUAAACCCCUUCCUGUACUCUUUUAUACUAGUUAUAAGGGCACACUUGAUGUAUAUGCGCAUUUAAGAUAAAUCACUUUUUAUAUGGACGUACGAAAUCAGUACAAAAUUUUCAUAAAUAAAAAUAUAAACUUUGAUCUUUUAAAAAUUUUUUGAUUAAAAUUUCAAUGAACCUGGUGGUUACAAUAUUUGUGGGUGGUUAUGGUGAACCUUGUGGUUGUAUUCAUUAGCAAUAUAAGUAACAUGUGAUAGAUAUCAAAGGCAUAAUUAAGUGAUUAUGAAAGUAAAAUAAAAAAAUCUAAAAAGUGACAAAAAGGGUUUACACCGAAUAAAAUGCUCUCGUAUUGUGUAUAGCUUGAAGUGCUUUUUCUGCAAUUUUUCCCCCCAUUAUGUUUCGAACUAUAUUUCUUUCUGUGGCUCGGUUUUGCUUGGUACUAGGGUUUUGAUUUUGAUCAGACUAUAUGUAGACUCUUUAGAACUGGCGAAGUUGUGUUUCCUUUGGGGUUUGAUUUUUCUCCUGUACAUGAAGUGUGAAGUACGACCCAACUUAGUUUUAAAGAAGGUGGAUUUUGAACUGGUCCACAACUGUCCUAUAGGUACUCACAGGACAGAUGCAAUUAAAGUUUGAAAGUACCCACUGCAGAAAGCUUGAAAAUUACUGAUGGUUUUUUUGGAUUUUACCUUGCAAUUGCAUGUGAAAAAUUUUGCAAGGUGCAUUCCACCUUUAUGUGUAUCCAAAUGUAAGUUCUCCACAAAAAUUGGCUAUGAUUAUGGUGGAUAAUGUAAGAAAUUUGCUUAUUCCAAGCUAUAGUAAGAAAACUGAACUCCAGACAUGAAAGCUUGCGUGUUCCAAGUUCCAACUUGUGAUCAUUCAUUUGGUACUACGUGGUUUGUAAUUCAUGCACACUUACUUUAAUGGUAUCAUCUCAUGUCAUUUGAUUGAUACUUAGGUGGCACAAAAGUGUCCCUUUUUUGUAUUAGGAUUAAUAGAAAUGUUCCCUUUUCUCUCUUUGGUAGGAAGUUAGCAGGAAUGAUUAGGAUCUCUCUUUGGAAAUACAUGUCUUUUCUUGGAGUUUUUGCUUUAUUAAUUACAUGAUAUUCAAGGUUAAAGUAUACUAGCUCUGUGCUCUAGUCAAGUUGAAAACAUUAUUGUCAGACUCAGAUUAGAUCGACCAGUCGAAUCAGAAAUCGGCCAGGUAGUCAGUUCGAGUCAGAUUAAAAACUCGAAAAUUAUAAAAUCGGUAAAAUUUGGUCAAAAUUUGGGUUUGACUAGUGAACUGGUAGAACCAUAUCAAACCUGAUUUUUCCCUCCCCAUUUUUUGCCUUUUUUUUAAAAAAAAAUUAGUAAACUUUGUCUUUAGUCCUGACUCUUGACUCUGUCUAGUUGACCGAUUAAACAAGCAAAAAAGAGGAAAAAUAUGGAAAAAAUAACAAAUCCAACCCAAAGUUUUCCAAAGGCAAAUUAGGGAUGACAAUUAGGGCGGGUGCCUAUGAGAAGCUAAUGAGGUGGGGCGAGGGGGAAUUUUUUCCUCAGUUUAGAAAAUCCCCCGCCCCGCCACCCAUUUAAAAAAUAAUAAAUAUAUAAAUGUACAUAAUUAUAUAUAAUAUUUAAUUUAAUUAGUUACAAACUUAUAAUAAUGAUAUUAUUAUUUAUAUGUAUUAUAUAAUGUAUGAUAUUCACCAAUAGUGAUGAUAUUCACCAAGUCGUCACUAAUGUAAUCCCCAAUAAUUCCCAGCCACUCGAAUCUUGUUGGCGGGAAUGUAUUUGUGAGGACAAAUCCAAGUUGUCACAAAUUAAUUAACUCUUGUAAGGCAAUUGUGAUGACUUUGAAAGUUGUGGUUAAAGACCUCAUUCUGUGACCACUUUUCUGUCGUUGCUAAGAAAUAUUGCCACUGAUGAUCAAAUUUGUUGUAGUGAUCAAAGUGACCUAAUUUGUGAUUAGGGGUGCAACUCAAUCACAGUAGUUGGACUCGAGCUCACAGGUAGUUUGAUAAACUACUCGAUUCAAACUCGGUCAAUACUCAUAUGUGACUGUAAUUCAAGGUGAUUCUAGAUGGGGUACUUAAUAAUGGGACAAGGCUAGAUGCUUCAAUCUUUUUCCAUUUUUGUUUUUGACAUUGAUGUAUUCUGAUGCAAUAGUUGUUGAUAAUUGGAAGAUCUGAAUGUAGGAAUUUGUAGUACUUUUAGCUUACGGCAAGAACAUUAAUGGCAAAACGAGUUCAUAAUGGUUAUCAUUAAUUAAACUAGGAUGCCAUACCCAGUUCGAAUCAUCUCCUUAAAACUAUUUUUUUCGAUAUAAUAUUCAUAUUAUCAUCUUCUUAUUAAUUUGUAUUUUCUUUCUUGAGCUUUUCUAACAGUACAUAAUGGACAUUCAAUUAGGCAAACUCGUCGAGAAUUUUUUCAUACGCCCAUUAGCUAAACCCUCUUUUUUCUUCUUUUUUAAGGCAAUUAAUGUUAAAACUAGUUAAUAAAAUGAUUAUCAUUAAAUAAACUAGUUCACCACAUGAUUAUCAUUGACUAAACUAACUUGUGUUAGUAACAUGAUAAGACUAACUGAACUAGUUGGUAACAUGAUUAUCAUUAAUUAAACUAGCACGUUAUAUUUAUAAAUAGGUAAAACUUCAUCUUAAGAUGCCUUGUGGAGAAUUUUUUGAAAGGGAAAAGAAAAAAAAACAAUGGUAAAAGCAACCAAAAAAGUAAUUUGAAACAAAGUCAUAAUAAUACCUUAGGGUCUUGGCUCUACCACAGCCUUCCUCUCCAUAAUUUUGCGGAGGGAAAGUACAGUUGAUUUAGGGAGGAAAACAAAUGAAAUGGAUGGAUAAGAGACACACCAAAAAAGCCUAAAAUUUUCAUCCUAGAAGUGGAAAGAAACAGUCGGAUACGAAACAGUGCUUAGUAGAACUUUAUCAAGUAGUAAACUGAAUAAAAACUUCCCAGACCAAACUACUUUCACUCUUUUUACUCUUAAGAUAGCCAUCCUAUAUAAUCUUCACCACAAUUGGAGAAAUAUCAGAUAACCUCUCUUGGGUCUCUUCAAUGGAACAAGAAAACAAGCUUCCUUGAUUAAAUAAACUAAGAGGACAUGCGUAAAUUGUAAAAAUGUGUUAUCCAACUUUCCAACUUCCAAACAAAAGGGCAUUGUUUCUUUACUUUUCUUUUCUUUGUUUGAACUCCCAAACAAAAAAUGUACAACCCUUCUCUUCUCUUCUUUUUUCUCCUAACUUACCAUUUUUCUUGUUUUCAUUUCUCAUUAUAACUCUCAAACUAGGCCUAAGUAUUCAAAGAUGUUCAGUUGGUCUUAGUAAACUCCAUAUAAGAUCCUCCUAAAAGGAAAUUAGAUAUUGUCUCCUCAAAAAUGAAAUGUUUUUUCUCUCUCGAAAAACAGUGAAAUGUUUUGGACUCUGACAAUAGACAAUGUAAAUCGUGUUAUUGAUGCACUAAAUGGUCUACAAAAUAAAUAAAAUAAAAUUUCACGGACUAUUUUGUCUAAAAUGCAAAUUGAGGUGACGAAUUCAGACUUGACAAUCAAAAGAGUGAUCUAAUUUGUGAUACACUCACAAGAUCCGUGUAACUAGCCCUAAUAUGUGCCAAUACUUAACAAAUUUUCACUUUCUAGCACAUCUUUUUCAGAAACAUUCAAUUCCAUUCUCGAUCCUAUUGUCUUUCUUUAGAUUGGAGAGAUGACAGUUUACUAUUACGAUACUGAGGUAAACACACUAAUAUUAUUAAAAAUAGUGCAGUAAAAGAGUGAAACAAAAAGUGGAUUAUAGGAUCUCCACAUGAGUGAAAAAAUAAGAGUUUUUUUUUUGUCAAUUGUCAUUAUCUACACCUAUUUUUAUUCUAACUUAUUCUAGGGAAUAACCCAACAGGGUCACGGAAAAUCGACGGAGACUGAACCACCAUCGAAUCAUACAGUUGUAUUACACACCUAUAUGAAUUUAAGAAAAAUCACGUUAAGUAGCAACUUUAAUGGGUGGAUUUAGUUGGUUAAAAAUGGGAUAAGUGGUCAUGGGAUACUCUAUACACACACACACACGUAGUGAAAAUAUGGGAUAUAAAUUAUAAUGGUAGAUUGAGAGGACCAGAAUAUGUGGAGUGGAUGAAAGAAAGUGGGAUACUGGAACCUGGAUUCUUAGCUAAAACCCUGAUCUCUGUGUUCAUAUGAGACGCCCAAUGAUCCAAUCCAACGUGAUUCAAGAUGGGAUACUUCCUCAAUAAUGGGGAAGGCUAGAUGCUUCAAUAUUUUUCCAUUUUUGGUUUUGACAUUGAUGUAUUGUGAUAGUAAUACAAUAGUUGUUGAUAAUUGGAAGAUGUGAAUUUAGGAGUUUGUAGUACUUUUAACUCACGGCAAGAACAUUAACAGCAAAACUAGUGCCUAAUGUUUAACCAUUAAUUAAACUAAGGAUGCCAUACCCAGUUUGAAUCAUCUCUUUUAAAACUAAUAUUUUCUGGCUUCUAAUUAAUUUGUAUUUUCUUAGUUGGGAUUCAAUUAGGCCAAUUUGUUGGGCAUUUUCUUAGACACCGUCAGCCCCCCCCUCCCCUCCCCCCCCCAAAACAACACCUUUUUUUUUUUUCCUUUUUUAAGGUAAUAAAUGUUAAAACUAGUUAAUAAAAUGAUUAUCAUCAAAAAAACUAGUUCACAACAUGAUUAUCAUUGACUAAACUAGCUUGUGUUAGUAACAUGAUAAGACUAACUAAACUAGUUGGUAACAUGAUUAUCAUUAAUUAAACUAGUGUUCAAUGCACAUCCAAUGUGUGUGCAAUCAAAAAAUACAUUGGUCAUAUAUUUUAAAUAAAAUUUUUAUUGCUGAACUUUAAUCUUUUAAAUAUUUUUCAUAAAAUAAUUUUAUAUUAGUAGUUAUAAUAUUUAGGAAUAGUUGUGUUGAAAACAUAUACUUAAAUAGUUAAAAGUAAAAAUAGAUGGGUAGUUAUCUAUAAUCAAAGUAAAAAGAGUUUUUAUAAGGAUAAAUUCAUAAAAUGAUAAUAAAUAUUAAACCAAUGUUAAUAACAAACCUCUUUUCUCAAGUUUUAUAUAUAGUAUAUAUAUACACUAGCACGUUAUAUUUGUAAACAAGUAAAACUUCAUCUUAAGAUGCCUUGUGGAGAAUUUUUUCAAAGGGAAAAGAUAAAAAAAAGGAAAAAGAACAAUGGUAAAAACUACCAAAAAAGUAAUUUGAAGCAAAAGUCAUAAUAAUACUCGUUAAACUUGAUCUUGACAAAAGUCAAAUUUCACCAAACUUGUUUCGUGAUUCUUUUACUGUCACCGAAGGCAUCGGAGUCUCUGUCUCAACUGUGCUUACACUCGACAUGGGGCUGUUGCCGGCUUGGCGGUCCGUGGUAUUCAAGAACCGGGGAAGCGGUUUAGGCCUUGCCGCAAUAGCUUAUGUGGGCGUGGACUAUUUCCGCCACCUGUCUCCGCGGUGGCACGAGCGAUUGCAGCCAGUUUUGUGGACAUUUUUAGCCAUUGCAGCUGUUAUUCGUGUUCCUUUUUAUAAGCACUGGUCAUCUGAGCUUCGUUCUGCUCUGCCCUUCAUAUUUUCUUUGAUUUUUAUGCUCUCUGCUCUGCUUUUGGAAGCCAUCUCUGUUCGGUUUGUCACGGUUGUUCUUGGCAGUGAUUGGCACAAGUAUGUACUGAACUUCAGAAAGUUUUCUUUUUUGCUGUUUUUGGGGUAAAAUUUGCUGGGUUUUUGGUUUUGGUGGUUUGCUUUGAAGUUUGAACUUUUCUGGUUGACUAGUAGUAAAGAUUUGUGAUGUGGGUUUUGCUUUAACUGUAGUUUUGGUUUUGUAACGGAUUAGCUUGCUACAAAUUACCAUAAUUAGAAACGAAGAAAAUCUGAUCUGCAUUUGUUAGUGUUGGAUCUCGUUAUUUUAAGCUAAGAUCUGCUUGUCUUGAAGUGCAACCUGGCUUGUUUAGUAUAGCGGUUAAGUUUAUUUUUCCGUUAUGUAAAAGAUUCCAGUUUGAUCUGUCAUCUAAUUGAGGAAAUGCUGGUGGUUUCGAACGGUGGCUCUAGAUUUUGCUUUUAGUACUCGUGCAUAUAGACAAGCAAUGCCUGGUUGUUCAUAUGUAUGUUACUUUGUUGAUAAAGCUGAAGCUACACUUGUUAUUGUUGGCAUUUUUUUUCUCCGUCCAAAUUUUGAUCAUUAACCACGAACGAGGUUAAUUUUAUUCUAAUUAUGUUUUCUUUAUGACAAGCUAGAACUACUUGGGAUCUUUUUGCUAUCCAGGGGUUUAGCUUGGAGCUGGCAAAAGCAUGCAAACAAUAAAUAAGCUUGUAAUAGUUGAAGCAUUAACAUGAACUAAGCUAAACACAGUAUGUAAAAGGGAUAUGAUUAAGAGACCCAGUUUUGGUUAUUAAUAAAUAUCUGACUACUUGAAAGGAUUGGAGUUAAGUUGAAUUCCUUCGUUCUGUUAAAUUUCAGUUUGUGUAUCAUAAUACUAAAAGCUUUAGGAAAUCUAUUUAGGGUUACUAAGGAAAAAAUGGCAGCCAAGGGAGCUGAAAACAAUGUCAAUACAGAUGAUAAUACCUUUUGCUGCUAUUAGAUAUUGAUCAAAUAAGAUUCAGUAACCAGAAAGCAAUUGAUAGAAGCUCCUAAAUUUUCUUUCUUCUUGUUUUGGUAUCUGAUAUGCGAAACAACUUAACUUUUAUUAAUGAGGAGGAAUCAGGGGAAUUGAGGAUGGAUUGUCAGUGACCUGUUUUUUCUCGAGUAAGGUUGCUGGACUGCAUUUUCUUUCCUGACUUUUAGAAUCAGUUUCUGCACGAGCGGUUGUACAACUUGAGGUGCUGCUUGUGUUGUUGGAUUGCAAUUAUUAAAUUGUGCUACUUUUCCCACUAAUGAGUCUUACUUUCCAAAUAUAAGAAGGAGGAACAGGAAACUGAUUGAGUACAGCUUGCUAAAUUGAAACUGUUGAAGGAGUUGUAUACUUCUAGCAUUCCUAGGAAAAUAUUUGGAACAGAUAGGUAUUGAAUCGUCAUGUUCCACAAAAACAUUUACUUGCAAAACACAGUUUAAUAUGCAGCGGCUGUGCAACACCCUGAAUUUGAUUACUUGCUGUGGCUAGUUUAUCCUAUAUAAUUAUAUUUGUAAUGUUGAACAGUUCUGCUCAGGCUCUACCUGAUGUUGGCCAGUGGUUUCUGCUUGCAUUGAACGAGAAGCUGCCCCAAACAAUGGUCAAUUUGUUGAGAGCUCGUAUAAUUGGACUGCACCAUUACCUGAUGUUGUUUGUCAUGCUUGGUUUCUCUGUAUUAUUCAACUCCAUUGAAGCUCCUGGUCUUGGGUUGGGUGCAAGAUACAUGUUUACCAUGGGUGUUGGGCGACUUCUUCGAGCCUUGGCUUUUGUUUCUACAAUUUUACCAUCACCUCGGCCCUGGUGUGCAUCAACUCGCUACCAUAUACCUGCACACGCUCAUCGUUGGGCUCAAAAGUAUUAUGUUCCAUAUGCAACUGAUUCAUAUGCUAUUCGCCAAGUUAUUCAUUAUGAUAUUGCCUAUGGUAUUUGCCACAUUUGAUAUAUCUUAUACCUGGCUCAUUCUUUAGUUUUUCCUACUUUCAUCUGCCCCUCCUGAUUUUUCUCCUUCAUAACACCUUAAAGCUUUGUCUAAUUAAUAUUUUGUGGAAGGCUUGAUCGGUGGGAAGAGGGGCCAUGUCAAAUUAUGUGUUUUAGAUGUGAAUGUUUGUUUUUUACCUGCUUUUAAUUCAGGGUUUAGCAUCUUGUCCUAAGGGCACCUUUGCUCAAUGAACUUCCCAAUGAAGGGUUAAUCAAAUGGCAAAUAUGGGAACAUAAUGCCCAUUGGUGUGUGCAUGUUUCAUUAUUAUUCCCAGUCUGGCAUGUUCUUAAGCCACUUAUGAUGUUGGACCUUUUUUUCCCCGAAAAAUUCUUUGAUGUUUUACUUUUUUAAGGGAAUUAAUUGAGAAAUGUUGUUCGAUCAUGUUUUGCAGCUGAUCCUGGAGACUAUCAUGUUGAAUUCCAUCCUAACUGGGGUUUGAUGAGCUUCCUCAUUGAUUUUCUACGACCUACACCUCCUGAUGGUUCUUCUCCAUGGUACCAUCUACUAAAGAAAGCAGGGGGUGGCUGCAAUGACCUCAUAUACAGUGGCCACAUGCUUGUAUCUGUACUGACUGCUAUGGCAUGGACGGUAGGUGUGCAUAAUGGAUUUUAUGUUUACCCUUCAUUUAGCAGCUUCAGCUACUAGGGACCAGAUAAGUUAGUUAAUCUGCUAUUCAUAUGCAAGUGCAGGAGGCAUAUGGUGGCUUAAGCUCCAUUUUGAUUUGGCUGCUUGUACUGCAUAGUGCACAAAGGGAAAUUCGCGAGCGCAAUCAUUACAGUGUUGAUUGUGUGUUAGCCAUCUACAUGGGGAUCUUUUUGUGGAAGUUGAUAGGCAUUUUUUGGCCAACUAAAGAUGCAUCCAAGAAAAGAAGGCUAAUCAAAUUGGAAAGAGUUCGGGGUAGACUAACGCAAGCUGCCAAGGACUCUGACAUUGAUAGAGUGAGAGAAAUUCUGAAAGAGGUCGAGUUAAGCAGUCAAGUAAGGCAGAACCCUAAGAGCAGGGCUAUGUGGCUGUUUUCUGGUGCAACCAUUUUCUGCACGAUAACCGUGGUGCUUCUUGCCUUCAUGUUGACAUCUGACGGGUGAUUCCCUACUUAAGUUAUACGCUGCCACGAAAUUUACGAGUCGAUUGCAGUGCUCUUAACUGCAUUUUGUUGUGUGAAAACACGAGUAGAUAGAAACCAAACAAAGAUUGUGUUGUACACUAUCAAGAUAGACUGUUAGGUCUGAGGCCACGCUUAUAGGCUGGAUGUUGUAAUAUGGACCUUCACCAGUGAUGUUCCAAUGUAUGUGCAAAGUUCCACAGGUAAUGUCAUUUACCGAACUGAAGUGGCUAACGAGUUCCAGUUUUCAUGGCUGUAAUGUAACACUGGAAAUUUCAUUUAUAUUAAAGACCAUUUUGAUUUUGAAUCAAGUCUAUCUGCCUUUCAAAGUUUGUUUAUUUUGUUUUCUUAUUUUUUUUUGGUGCAUUUAAGAUUUUUUUUUGCCCUAUGCCCGAACACUCUAGUGAGCAUUGCAGUCAUACCAUUUUCUAGGGCAGCUUCAUUAACUAAAGUAGUAAUGUGAUCGGGUCAAGCUUUUGAGUAUUACCACACUCGAGUUCAAAUUGAAUACGAUCUCAAAUAGGUAUUUUCUUGUUUGAGCUCGUCGUGUAUGCAAUUUUGAGUUCACAUUGAACUCAAUCCUGAAUAAUAGGUAUGUUCGAGUUUGACCUUAGUUAUUAUAAGGUAAACUUCUUUUACCAUUCAGCCAAUAAGAACAUCAAAUGCUCUAUUAACUGAAGUAACUCUAAAAUGUUCACCACAAUAAAAAUGGCAAAUUUUCUCGACCUACUGAAAUUUCCUAAUUACCAGUGUACUGGGCUCUCUUCUCCUCCGCUCCCAUAUACUAGACUCUCUGGUCUGAUGCCCCAUUGCCUGAAUACGAGUACAAGCCGUUCUUUCCUCUUUGACGAAGCGGCGUAGCAUUGGGAGAACAACCAGCUUCACGGUUCUUCAUAAGCUUUGCUUAAAGGAGAAGGAAAAAAACCAGUAAUUUAUUUCAAAAUUUUAGCUUUUUUUUUUUUGGCUUUUGUGGAUUAAUUUUCUGUCACGCAAAUGGUUGCACACCACAUGUUUGAUUGAAUGCCUGAAUGUGUAUCAACUGCAUACAGAUGCUGCUGAAGGGUCAAUACAUAUAUGUUGUAGUACCAUCCCGGGAGACGAAGCAUUUGCUUAUAGAUUAAUGUCAGUUUGAUUGCGAUGAUAUGAUUCGCUAGAUAGUGAUAAAAUUCAUCAUGGCACAUAAUUCUGCUACCACAUGUUUGAUGUAGGAUUGGCAGAGGUGUGGAUUGAGGUAGAUGGAGUCAAUGGUGAAAAAGUAUCAGCAGAAGUUUAGGAAGGUGAAAGAAGAGAUGGGUCGAUGGGAAGAGCUUCAAUCUCGGUUAAUUUCACAGUUCACCAGUGCUUCUGCCAUCAUCCAGAGAUUGCAGGUUUUCCCGCAGCAUCCUGUCUAGCCAUGUUUGCAUGUGUGUCUUUCUUCUUAUUGUUUGAUUCCUGAUGAUAUUGAUGUUGGGUUAGCUUUCUCAUUUAGUUACUUCAAGAUCCAAAAAAGUAUGGCGCAUUAGAAUGUGUUCAGGGCAUUCAAGAUGCUGUCUUGGCGAAGCAAUUGGAGUCACUGCAAACUAUUAUGCUCUCCAUGAAUAUGACCUUGUAUGGUUUCUUGUUUUACAUUUUCUUUCUCCUUAAAAGCUCCUUUUAUUGACCUCAAUUCAUUUUGUAACAAAAGUCGGAUAACAAAUUUUGGCAAGGGGUCUCUUCCAGUGUUUAUGUUUAUUUCUGAUUCAGCCAAGUUAGGAAUAGAUAUUUUAUCUUGUUUCUUAAAGAUUGUGUUCACCUGUAUGUCGAGACUUCUACUAACCAAACGUUAAAAGGCCAUUUGAUUGGCCUCCAGAUUUCUUUGUUCCCUUAAAUUUCAUUUCAUGGGUGCUGUCGACCUCAAGAACUCAUUCUCGACCUCAAGAACUCGUGUUUCAGCAAUUGGUUAUCCUAUGUAUGUGUGUGUGUGUGUUUUUGUUUUUUUUUUUUCCCUCCUUCAAUUGUCCCCUGUAUUAGUCUUGAUUUGCAUGUCACAGCACUCCCAUAUAGGAAGCUGACUUUCUGUUCUUCUUCUUUUAUCUUUUUGCUUAAUCCAUCCGCCAUUGAUGUAGGGAAGAUUUUCGUGGUGUUUCUUCAUCCCUUGAGAAAGUUGUUCGUGAUGGUAGGCAGCUAGUUAAAGGAGGUUCUACUGUUGCAACAGCAAAGCAACUGCAGCAAAGAGUUGGUAUCAAACCAAGUCUUGCAGAUUGCCUGGAGGGCCUUAGGCUUCUUAGCGAGAUGCACCAUUCAGAGUAUGCGUUAGAGGAACUUUACAUAAUUCUCAUAGCUAACUUUCCUGUAUGUUGAUGUUAACUCAUCAAGAUUGGGCUCUGGAAACAGAACUUGUUAUUUGUUUCUUUAUUUAAAGUUUUCUCAGAAAUGCAAUCCGAGAGAUGUCAAAAGUUGGGUUAAUCUGAUCAUUUGAUAUGAUUUUGUAGCUAAUUUAUUUUUUAUGGUCCCAGUUUUUUCAUUCGGUCUUCUUUACUAUCUAAGAUUCAAAAUAAGGUCACCCAUGAUAGUUUCAAAUGAGUGUUAAACUUCACAUAAUACGAAAAUAAAUCACUGCCGUUUCUUCUUCACUCUGAAUCAUUUUGUUUGCACUUUCCUGGGAUUAUCUGAUCUUGGUUACACUAAUAUUUUCCUUGACUUUUGAAAACAUUCGCAUUGCAAUUUCUCGGAGUUACCUUUAAGAUGUGCAGGAUAUUAGUGACCAGCUUCCUGGAAUCCAUGUUGUCCUUUUCUCCCUUCAUUUUUCACACUCCAUUUCCUAGUAACCAGUUGAACAUUUUAUUUCAGGUACCUUCUUAAGUCAUCUGUGAUAUCGGCACUUGCAAAGGUUUCCUUGACGCCAAGGUAUCUCUUGAUAGAUGUGGGUGCUUCCCCCACCCCAGCCACCUCUGUGUGAUUAAUUCUUUUGCAUAGGCAAUCACCCAAGUUAAUGUGUAUUGUAUCUUGUGCAAAUUAUCUAAACUUGAGAAAUAGGCAUGACUUGUUUUUGAAAAGUCUGUCAGAUUAUAAUUGGAGGUUAAGGCUGGAGAAGUUGGCCUAGAAUAUUUAGCAUAUUUAGGGCUUUCAGAUAUGUCAAUUAUUAGAAAUAAGUCAUGUUCAAGGUCUUUUAAAAAAAAAAAAAGAGAGGAAAAUUUUGCAGUUUAUGUUGGUUUAAGGCUUUUUAUUAACUUUGAAGGUAAUAAAUGAUGGCAGCCUGGAAUCACCUUUCACAACUAUGAUGCAUGAGAAGAGUACAUUCAUUAUAUAAAUAUUUGGACUUGAUCCUAUGAUUUAGUUAGUGUUUGAUUUUGGUUACCAUGAUACACUACAAAUCUUCUCAAAUUGAUGUUUGGACAGUAAGUAGAAGGGUGAAGCAGAAAAGUUUAACAGCUCCACCCUUAAAAAUACUAAAGUUUAAUGCUCCAAAUUAGAUUAGAAGUUGAGAGUGUCCAGUUUUAUUAAAUAGUGCAGCUCUUAUUUCUUUGUUCAUUGCACAGGAUGGCUGUGCGUAACAUUUUUUGCUGUUCUUUUGGUGUGGUAUAUUUGUCUUUUUCUUCUCCUUUUCCGCCUUUGCCUCUCUUUCCUUUUGGUGAAUUAGUUGUAUACUGUAAUUGCCUCUGAUGCCAUUGAAACAUCUUAGUAUUCUAAUUGUGACUAUGCCACGGCUGAAUUCUAAUUGCAGUGCUAGUGACGAUCUAAACGCCCUUCAGCAACUGCUCGUUGACCAACCUAACAUCCCUAGAGAGGAGGGUAGGUAGUUAAGAGUUUGAUGAACAGAAUUAAUUGCCAUGCUACUAUCUGCUUGUGAUAGAAUUAGGAAGCCCUUGCUAAAUCCUCCAUACGCAUCACAAUAUUGUAGAACUCAACUUUUUUAGAACGUUUCAGAAUUUUUAAUAUCUGUCCUUUACAAUGUCAAAUACUGUACAUCAAAAACUGAAUUCUGGCCUUUCUUGCUGCAGUACAAGGGAUAUUUGAUAUCAUAUUUGCUGAAGACAUCACUUGAUGUUUUGUCCUCGUAUCAAUUGAAGUGCAUUACAAAUCUGUGUUAAGGCAGAAAGAAAGGAGGCACUAGCAAUCAUUUCACCAUCUUUCAGGGAUACCGUUUGAGCAAAUGCAUCCAAUAACAUGUCAUGUCAUUCCUCGGUUAGUUAUGAAGCAAAAAGCUGUCAAAUUCAAGACAGGUUGCUUGUUUGUGGAUCAUUCCCAAGCACGAGUUCUGUUUCCUGAAGAUUAUAUAUCAAAGACUCUAAUCUUCAGUGGGUGGAUGGUAGUUUGGAUGAUUUUAAAGUGUAAAUGAAUCAUAGAUUGUCAUGACAAAGAGUCAGUCAUUUUAUAUAUAUAUUUUCUUUUUUUGGCGUAACUAAAUUGGAUAGAUAAUUUUCACACAUGAUUCAUGAGGCAUAAUCCUGUGCACCUUUGGAGUCUUGUUUGUGCACCUUUGGAGUCUUGUACAAUUUUUAUCAAAUUUGGUCAAUCACACUAAAGAACUCGUGACAGCGUAUAGCAAAGUUUAAGGUCCUGUUUAAUAAAUUCAUUCAGCACUUGAAUUUAAUAGAUUCCAAUCUUAAUAUGUUUAGACGCGUUUGAUAAUCAAAUAUUGAACUUUGAAUUAAUUAAGUGACACUCAAUUUUUUAGACAAAAUUUGCUCCUAAAAUUAAGUGAUAAACUAUUCACUUAUCACUGAAUAUGAUAUGCACUCAAAUGUAUUAAAUUUAAUAGUUAACAAUUCAAAAACUUAAUGAAUUCAGGCUUUAUAUUUCAUAUUUUAUUUUUAUUAAACGCGCCCUAAGCUUAAAUAGAGGCUUAGAAGGAAUUGAUUCAAUCGAGUUUAUGGCGCUUUCAUGAGCCAUAGCAUGAAGGCGUGUAAAAAAACGCCUUGGUCAGGAUAUUUCCUUCGCGAGUUCCGGAAUAGGAGAUAUGUGCCCUGAUAUUUCCACCAUAUCAACGGCUCAAAACCCAUCAAUCCCACCAACCAAACAUCCCAAAUGUGCAUAUUUCAACACCAACUUUUCUGUUUUUUUGUUACUGCAGCUAAAAUAAGCUUUCAUUCAUUCAUCUUGGAUUUCCAAAGUUCUGGGCACGGUUUUAACUGUUUAUCUACUUGGUCCUGAAAAAAUGGCUAUUUCUUUAUCAUCAGCAGCAAAAGUUUGCUCUUUGAAUCCAGAGCCUCCAUUUGCUGCGUCUUCAAAUUCAGCAGCAAAGCUUUCUAGCUUGUCUUCUCUGCAAUUCCCUAGAGAACUACGCCGUUUUCAUGUUGGAAACCGAGCUGUUCAGUCCGGGCAGCCCUCCCGAACUUUACAUGUGGUAUAACUUUCCCAACCCUAUUGGCAUUCGAAGAAAUGAAGAAAUGAAUGCUUUACUUUUGGAAUGUUCUUCUUUUCUGGGUUUACUGUUCUUGUUAUUUGAAUUUUUGUUUUUUUCACAUUUGGUGCUUGUUUUCUGGUUUUGCUACGGAUUUCUGCUUCAUCAAGAUUGGUGCUAUUUAUCGUAAUUCUCUUCAAGACUUAAAUUUUAGGAUGUUUAGGUAGCUUUAGUGAUGAAUUACCUGCUGAAUCUCCAUGGAAACCGUAACUUCACACUUUGGAAUUGGUUGGCAAAUCUGGAGUUUUGAUUGGGGAUUUUCUCGUUUCGUUAUCUUAUGUAAUUAUCUAUGUAUUUCUGUCUUCUGAAUUAUUUUUCUGUUGGAAUUUGUUGUAAAGUUUGAGAAUUUAUUAAAAUUUUAUUAUCGUCGCGAUUUAGUUUGGGUUUAUGUUUUAUGUUUGUAUGUAUUCGAGAGAGUGCAAAACAGUUUGACUAUUGGGACGAUUCUGUUAGUCAGAAUGCAGCUAUACACACAGAUUGUGUUAAUGCUGCUAUAUAGAAAGGAUGGGAUUGUCUUUGAUGUAUGGGAAUAAAGAUAUAGUUGUUGUGGAAGUAAAGUACAAAAUUGAAUGAGUAGCUACAAAUAACGAAAUUCAUGGGGAGAGAGAUUAGAUGAUGUUGUAGUUGUGAAACGGUAUGUGUUAUGUUUAAUCUUGAUAACUGGCCUCAUUUGGUGGUUAAGUGGACUGAUUGGUCGAUCGGGAUGAGUUGAUCGGUUUAGUUCCAGAAGGGAAUUUAUAUGAACUGCUACAGAAUAAGAGUAUUUAAGAUUUUUAGCUUAGGUGAUCAGAGUUAUUCUCACAUAUAGCAGUGCUUACUGCAUUCACAUUAGGGGCAAUUAACUUGCAAACAAGUUGCAGCAAGUGGAGGUGUAUGAGUUGUAGUGAACUUCCCGGAAGAUGAGUGGUGAAAUCAUCAUAAUAUGUAUUUUAGAGACCAAAACGAAUCAACUUCAUGCAGAUGGAUUUUACCUGCAGAGGAAGCAAUUCUAGCCUAUGGAAUAAGCUAGUCAUGGAGAAACCAAGUGAAAAGGCUACUGUGGUAUGCUGCUAAUGAAUCAGUUGCUGGGCAUUUUAGCAAAUCCACAUGGGAGAAUAAGGAGGCUCAAAUUCAUUUAUUUAUUUAGGGUCAGAUUUUCAAGUGGCUGACACAUUUUUCUAAUGGGAAAGCUUGGAAAACAAAAGUGUGAAGAGACAAACAAGAUACGAAUGAAUGACCAUAGUAUGAAAAUCUGGUCUUGUAGCAAUCUCUAAAGCCAGGUGAAAAGCUGAGAUUUGGACUCUUGGAGAAUGUCUCGGUGCUUAAAAGCUUGUCUCUUUUUGCUUGGGUUUUCCUUAUUCACAAAGAUUUGGGACUUUAGGCUCAUAUUUCACUUAGGGCUUGCCACAAACUUUUGUAUUGAUAGCCAUGCCUUGAGGCAUGCUCACAGUAAGCAUUAUUUUUCCAAUAUGCUUACUGCUUGAUGAAAUAACUAAUUAUUGGCAUUGUCCGGGAUGAAUCUAGCUUAUUGAUGAUACCUUUACUUUGCCUGAUUUAAGUGACAACAGAUGUGGGUUGUGGUUUUAAUUAGGUUAAUAAAUACAAUAAGAUAAAGAACCAUCAAAAUAGAUUGGACAGAGAGGGCGGGGGGUAUAGAGAGAACAAGCCCUUUUUUUUGUUGGGGGGGGGGGGGGGGGAGAGGAGGAGGCAGAGAUGUUGAGUGCUUAGAGCAUUUCAUGUUGAGACUUCUGGAACUGCUUACUUCAUGUUAUGAUUGUUGAUUUUGGAGCAUCUCAUAAGUAAAAGAAAGAAAAUUGACCUUUCUAUUGAAGGCAUUUUUUUGGAGAAGCCUUUGAAAGCAAAUUGAGUUUUCAGCUAUUGGCCUCAUAAUAAGUUGCUUUACCUGUUAUCAUGCUUGUACAGAACCUCUCUUUGAUGAUUUCCUUGUAACUUGCUUUGAUGCUGGUGUCAGUUCUUCAUUCAGUAGUAAUAUUCACGGCACAGUUGUAAAAGCUUACCUCCUUUAUGUUUUCUGCUGUACGAGUGUGCUUCUGCUUGACUGCAGGAGGAGUCCUUCCCCUUUUCAUGUUAUCAUCUUAUGUUUUGUCAGUCUUCAAGACAGAAUAUUUUGGUUUCUAUUGGUGGUAGCUGAAUAUAUUCGUAAUUAGGUGAAGGCAAAGAAGCAAACAUUUUCAUCCUUUGACGAUUUACUGAAAACCGCUGACAAACCAGUGUUGGUUGAUUUCUAUGCAACCUGGUAAGUUCUUUUGGUGUGUUACUCUUCCAUUCUUUUAUGUACCUUUUUGUGAUUCGCAAAAUUUUAACUGGAGAUCAGUUCCUAUGAGACAUCAAAGCAUCUAAUGCUGAGACUUGCGUGCAGAUCGAGAGGUAUUUGGCGUUGCAUUUGACCAAUUUAAUCACUUUAUCAAUCUAGUGAUUGGCACUCUAACGGGUCAUUACUUCAAAAAUGGGAAUAUUCUUGGAAGCAUCUAUAAACCAAGGGGAUUUUUUUACCUUUUACUGUGAUAGUAGUAACUAAAUCUGCUUGAUGCAUAAAUUUCUUGAGUCUACCGAUACAAUGACAAGCUACCCAUCAAAACAAUUUCAUUUGCGCAAAGCUAUAGUAGGAAUUAAGCAGAGAUAUGGAUUUGCAGGUGUGGUCCAUGCCAAUUCAUGGUUCCUGUUCUGAAUGAGGUUAGUACAAGAAUGAAAGAUAAGAUCCAGGUGGUGAAGAUUGAUACUGAGAAGUAUCCGAGCAUCGCAGAUAAGUAUAGAAUUCAGGCACUCCCUACUUUUAUCAUAUUCAAGGAUGGAGAACCCCAUGAUCGUUUUGUAAGUUGACUGCAUCUUUUCUGUAGUGUUUCUUACUUCUGUGCUGUUUCUUAAUGAGAAAAGAUGCAUCCCGACACGGAGUUAUAAAUGGGUUUUAGUCUAAAUAUUGGCUUUCUACUAACAAAUAAUAGUAGUAGACCACAUCUCUCGAACGUCAGUGACUUCUUAAGCUGAUGCACUGCCUAAGGAAACUAAGAUCCCCGCCAAGGGCUAAGAGGUUAAGUUCCUAGGUUCCCCUUCCCCUUUGCUUACUCUAAUGGAGUGCCCUGUUUUUGGUAGAAUUGGUAAGAGUACGGUAAGUUACAAAGUUCGUUGGAUGUGAUGGAUCUCAGAAUCAGUGUUUGCAUAUAAAGUUAUGUUUUAGAUAUUUAAGAUUUCAUGUGGUGAAGAAUUUAAAGAGCACUAACUCAGAACUAUUUUUGUGUAUGAACAAUCUCUUUCUAAAUUUCCAGGAGGGUGCACUUACAGCAGACCAACUAAUACAGCAGAUCGAGUCCUCACUGAAAGUCAAGCAGUAGCCAUGAUGGUGAUCUUUCUUUGUUUAUAUCCCUGCGCUAACUGAGUCCUGACAGUUGCACAAGGCUUUCCUGAACUCUUGCUCCUUUUUUUUUUUUGGCUUUUCCAUUCUUCUUCCCUUAUGCCAGAUCAAACGGUAGGGUGAUGUGGGUACCUGAGAUGCUGGAUGUUUAUAGAGCUUUAUUCAUUUGAACGAGGACUUCCAUUUUGUAUCUGGUGAUAUUCCUCAAGAAGCAAAUGGGAAUCAUCGUUUGCCCUGGGGUGUAUUCAUCAGUACUCGUUAAUUAAACUUGUUCGCUGCUGCAGAUAGACAGAUUAAUUGAGAUUGUAAUGCAUAUGUACUGAUGAAAUUGAUCUAGAAUCUCAAAAAGUUUUCGCCAUGAUUCUUAACACCUUGGACUGUAAUUCAAGAAGCCCGUUUUAUCCAAGUACUGUCUUUUUUACUGAGAUUGGAAGCCUUUAUGGUUGUCCAUACUUUGUACUGGUUGUCAAUCACCUCUGCGGGUUUAAAGUUUCCUCCUUUCAAUAGCUCAGGAGAGACUUUGCUUCUUUAAGCAGCUGCCAAUAACUGCUUGAAAACCUCAUUUCUGUGUAACCAUCAAUCAAAAUGGAAUUACAUACCAUACAAGAUUAAACAGUCAAACAAGUUUCUGCUGUGCUCAACUUGACAGCCCAGGCUGGUGAACAAAUUCCACAGUCCCCAAUAGCUCAUAGAUCAAAAGAAGCCUCGUUGAAAAUCCCCAAACAAAUCCCAAUUAUUAAGUGCUGUUUUGAGUAUGUAUGACUGCUGCCGCUGGGAACAGUUGCUAUCUUUCAAGAAACAGAAGGAAGAAUGGAGAUGAGAGCAGGGGAAGACAUAGGCAUAGGAGAAGACCUCACACCUCCACUCUCACCCCUGGCCUUCUCUCUCCACGAUUCUUUCCUACACUCCCACUGCUCCGCCUGCUCGUUUCCUCUACCAAAUGCGCAUUUUACUCCCACUUCCCCCUCAAAUUCACUACCCCUCCACUACUACUGCUCCCCCCGUUGCUCCGCCCUUGACUCACCUCCCUUCAUGUGUCCCCCUCCUCCUCUCGAAGACUCGUCCCACCUCCGCCUCUCCCUCCGCCUCCUCCAUAAACUAUUCCACUCUCAGAACGAUACGGUAGAAGCAAAACUGGAUAGGAUUGGAGGGUUAAUGACCAACUAUGAGAAAUUCUUGAAUUUGUCUAAAAAUGAGGAGGAAGAUGAGGCAUUGGAGAUGAUUAAGGAAGGUGCGAGGGCGAUGAAGCUCUUGGCGGGAAAAUUGGAGGGAGUGGUUGGGGUGGAGGAGGCGGUGAUGUGCUUGGUGCUGACGAAUGCGGUGGAGGUGCAGGAUAAGGACGGGAGAAAUGUGGGGAUUGCGGUUUACGAUUGGAGGUUUUCGUGGAUUAAUCAUAGUUGUUCUCCCAACGCUUGUUUUCGGUUUGUAACGAGGAAGACCAUACCUCCUCAACAAGUGGUGGAGGGAGAAUCCCAGCUCCCGCGGUUGAGAAUUUACCCUGCUGCCAUGGACGGUGGAGCUGGUGAUGGACUUGCUGGUGAUUGCAAGAGUGAGUGAGUUUUUGAAUCGUUGUGCAUUUUCUUGAGUUGAAAUUUUUUUGUUUUGGUUGUUAUGAUGAACUGGUUGAUUGUUAUUUGUGUUGAAUAAUGUGCAGGCAGUGAGGGAUGUGGUCCGAGCAUCAUAGUCCGGAGCAUAAAAGGAAUUAAGAAGAAUGAGAGGAUCACAAUUACUUAUACUGAUUUGUUACAACCUAAGGUAAAACAGUUACUAACUACUUAAACCAGUGCGUUAUUCCAGUUUUCAACAGGUUAAAUUUAGCAUAGCUAGAAAUUUGGUGCUCCUGCAUUCCUAGAAUACUAAAAUUACCAAACUUCUAACAUAACAGAGUUGAAAAGGAAUGACACCAUCGCGGAAAGUGUUAUUCUGGUUAACGAUGGUUUUGUUUUGAUGCACGGCUUUCUUUUUCUUUGUUUGGUGGUGCUGGCUUUUUCAUCACAGUGUUUUUCUUUUUUGGGACUGAUCGGGCUGGAGUUGAAAUCAGAUACAGAUGUGGUUAAGUUUGGUGGCUAAGAAAUAUUCGUGCAGGAGUUAAAGGCAUAAUAGUCUCUUGUAUACUGUUUGUUCUGGCUUGAUGGUGCUGAUUUGAGUUAAUAAUGACUUUGUUGAUGAUGACACAUUUUUGCCCUCUGAACUGAUUAUAAUAUAGGAUCCAAAUAGUUGCUUUUAUCUUUAUAAUUUAUGUUUCACAUGGAAGGAUAUUCAAUCCUCAUCUUUGAUACAUGUCACUACUUUGUUGCAAUUCAGUCAAGUUUAUUCAUACUUGAACAAGGUGGCGUCCUGAAAAUAUUACAUCUAUUAGUUAUACAAUGUUUAUUGUCGCUUGACUAACUUGCAGUCUUGGCUGGUUAACUUGUGCAUUGAUCCAGCUCGAGUUAAGUACUUGGUUACUCAGCGUUUGCUCUGACAUAUAUUCUUCAGGAAAUGCGGCAGGCUGAAUUGUUUACAAAUUACCGGUUCAAUUGUUGCUGUAAGCGAUGUACUGCAACUCCUGCAACUUAUAUUGAUCGUGCUUUGCAGGUAUCUUCCCCUGUACUUGGUUUUCUAUUCUGUUAAACCUACAAGUCCAAUUUUAAGUUCCUUUAUCCUGUGUGUUUCUCUUCUUUACUGCUCAGUACUCCAGAACUAUGACCGUAUCUAUUAACUGUUCCUCCACAUAAAUUACUACUAGCAGUGAAAAUCACUGGAGUCAUUUCUUGCUGUAUGUGUACGUUUUAUCAUUGUUCCUCUUGAAAAGCACUGGUCACGUACAAUUCCAUUGUACUUUACCUGACUAGCUGCCUUAACCAUCUGACAUUAGCAUGUUUCUGUUCAAAGUAUAGACCAAAAGAAAGGAAUUCUGAAAUCUUGUAUGGUUCAAUUGUCAUGAAUGUGAAUUUUCAUGAACAGACAACGUGGUUUUAACUGCUUAUUUGCUUUCGCCUUUUGUGUAGGAAACUUUUGUUUCUGGUGUUGAUGGUCUCAACUUGACUUCCAAUGAAGACUCAUACAGAUCCAAGGCAACUACGAAAUUCAUGGAUUCAAUUGAUGGUGCUAUUGAUGAGUAUUUGACCUUUAACAAUCCCGAGUCAUGCUGUGAGAAGCUUGAGGAUUUGCUUACACAUGGGCACCUUCAGGAGCCACUGAAACCAAAGCCAGAAAAGUCACCUCAAUGCAUAAGGUUACACUUGUUUCAUUAUCAAUCUCUACAUGCAUACACCACACUUGCUUCAGCAUACAGAGUCCGUGCUAGUGACCUCUUGGCUCUUAAUCCUGAAAAUCAUCAGCAUCAAAUGGAAGCUUUCACUCUGAGCAGAAUAAGUGCAGCCUACUCCUUGUUGUUGGCUAUAGUUACGCAUCAUCUUUUUCUUUCUGAAUCUUCAAUAAUUGUCUGUGUUGCGAAUUUCUGGAAAAAUGCUGGGGAGUCCCUAGUUUAUCUCUUUAGAAGCUCAGCCUGGGGUACAUUUUCCAAUUUACAGCUAUCUGUUUCUGAAAAUUCAUCCAUUCUAAGCCAUAAACGCUAUCAGAUUGUCCAACUGGAUAGCAGUGGAGCCAAUUCUUUUAUUAAUACUGAAGAUCAAUUUGCAAUGUUUGGGGACAUAAGUAGGCAGCACAUAAAUGGUAUUGUCAACUUAACAGAGAAAAUUUGGAGCUUCCUUAGUCAUGAAAGUCGACAUCUGCAAGAAGUUAAAGAGCUCAUUGAUUUUAGAUGGCUUCUCACAGUGGAAACUCCCCUUGAUCUCGGAACUCGUCUUACUUGCCGGGAUAGCAGAACUGUUUCCAGACUUCAAGAAAAGGAGCAUACCAACCUAGAGAGAGCAUAUCUCUUUCAGCUUGGUCUCCACUGCCUGCAUUAUGCAACAUAUUUGUCAAACAUCUGUUAUGGCCUAAAUUCCCUGUUGACAGGUGAAGUUUGUCAAUCUUCUAUACUCUGAAGGUAUGUAUAGUGGCUGGUUAAUUCAACCAAUUUGCCUGCAAAUAUUAUGAAAUAGCGAUGUAAAAAGCUCAUCAGAUAGUGAUCAAAAGCUCAAUUCAUCACUCGUAUAUACCGUAUAGUUGAGUGUAUCUUUCCAGGAUUGAAUUCUCAUCGGAGGUCUUAAGUGGCAAUUUAUGCAUGCAGCCAUGCAGGGGCCAAUAUUAUCGUCCUCUUUCCUUUUGUUAUUCUUUGGGCCAUUAUCCCAGAAAUAAGCAUUUGAUGAGUUAAUUUUGGUGUACUGAAUUAAAUUAGAGUGAACUUUUGGGCCAAAUCAGGCUCCAAUUUCAAAUGUGGGUGCUCUUAUUGGGCCUCAAGAGAUUGGAUAAAGCCUGCCCACCUGACACCUAAGUAUCAAGUCAAAUGACCUAAACAAUACAUUGCAAACAAUCUAACAUCUGUUCUCUGGACUCUAGUACUUUUAUUUGUUUAUUUUUUUUUGUCUUCAUAUUAUACCCUUUUUGCCUUUAUAUUGUCAGAUUCAGAAUUCGAAAUCUGAACAUCAUAAUUAAAAGAAUGCUAAGAGCCUUUUUUGACAAACUUUUAUUUAUUUAUUUAUUUACAUCUUCUCAUUCUUGUUCAUACCUUUUUCUCGCCUUUAUAUUAUAUCCUUUUCUCCUCCAUAUCGAGAGACUCAAAAUUCGAAAUCUGAAACUCAUAAUUGAAAGGACGUCAAGAGCCUUUUUUGACAAUUAAACGAACCCUAAUGGUUUUAGUACCCAUUUAAAAUAGUUUGUCAAUUUGUUGUUGUAGAGAGCUACAAUGACUUUAUGAAGGUGAAGUAAGCAUUAAGUUUGACGGUGAUGAAUUUUACCUUUUCUUUUUCCCUUUCUUUUUGGUAGUAUGAUAUUAACUCAACAUUAUAAGAUUUUCAUGGGGGGCAUAAAGAUUAAAGAGUCAUGAAAUCUGUGAUUUCAUUUUCCAAGUGUGAAUAUUAGGUGGAUGGACAAAUCAACCUUCUUUUUUCCAUUCUUGGGGGCAGAAUUUCUUCUGCCACAGAUGUUGCCUAUCCAUAUCACGAUAAUGUACUCUUCUUGAGCGAGUAAAUUAAUUUGGUCCCCAAAUGAAAAUUUAGUUGGCCCAUCUCACCGACCACCACGUUUCCUUAACAACAAAGAAAAGGAAAUAUACAAAUGGAAAAUCUGAAUCUAAACCUCCCCAGAUAACAACACUCAAGUAUGUGAACUCCUCACCGGCCAGUUGAAAUCUGAUCCAGAAAAAAAAAAACCCACGAGGAAAAAGAUUAAAUGAAUUUAGUUAUUGGAAACCACCUUAGAAAAUGAAAUUAAAGAAAUGCUUAGGCUCAAUGUAUCUGCCAAAAUGAAGCAAUAAAUGGUCAUGUCAGAAGAUGGAUAGCCAAUGCAUUUGAAUCAUUCAUGCAUCCAUCUUCCAACUUUGCUUAAAACUGUGAACAAAGGGGUGGCUAGAGCUGUUAAACCAAUCAAGUAGCUCGAAAUCUCGUUAGAGCUCGGCUCGUUAAGGUUUAACGAGUCGAGCUCGAGCUCGAAACAUGCUCGUUUAGUUAACGAGCCGAGUAAGCUCGGCUCGUUUGAUACUCGAGUAGCUCGUUAGAGCUCGUUAAUGAAGGGCAUAUUUGUCAUUUUAGAAAUCAAAAUUAUAUAAAUUAAAAAUUAUAGAUUUUUAUUAAUGUUUAUUUGCACGAGCUCGAGCUCGAGCUCGUGAAGCUCGAUUCGUUUGUGAUAAACGAGUCGAGCUCGAGAACUCGAACCACAUGUACAUUUAACGAGCCGAGUUCGAACACAUUUUAAAGUUCGUUUUCUUAACGAGCUCGAGUCGAGCUCGGCUCGAAUUAAACUCGAGUCGAGCUCGGCAGCCAAAUACUCGGCUCGAUUAACAGCUCUAGGGGUGGCAAACAACAUCAUAUCCAUGUGGUGGAGGGCCAUAUCUGUGAAUUGACCCUUCCAAACAGGCGUUAGAGCACAAUUGGUCAGAGAGGAGAAACUUGAAGGUGCUUAUGGCUAUGAGUUACAUCUGUAAAGUAAUAUCAACAUUAAUCGUCCAUUUGUAUCAAUAAUGGAUCAAUUGAAAAAAAUAACGCAAGUUGCAUCCUGUAUAGUUUGUUUGGGGAUGGGGUCUAUGUCAAUGAAUUGGAUGAAAGGAGAAGAAACUUCAAACUAUGAAUUUAUAAUUAGUGAUUGAGCUUAAUACUUCAACCCAACCAUACCAAACUUCUUGGUUAUUGGAGAACCAAAUUAUUUAAUAGUCGUUAGGUGGGGAAAAAAAAAAAGAAUUGCUUAAACAAUCUAGAAUACUUCUUUUUUUGGUAAAUAUCUAGAAAAUAUCUCUUUGGCUGAAGAUCACUAGUUGUUAUCUUGACCAAGAAAUACUGGUAGACCAUUUAACUUUCAAAAUGUUGAUUAUUGAUCACUAAGAUAUGUUUCAACCGCUUAAUCAUGAUUUGAUAGAGUUUUAAUUUCCCACUAUCCCUUGUCAAUCAGCAAAAUUGUGUUUGAUGACACGACUAAUUACCCUUCCAUAUAUAUAUAUAUAUAUCCUCCUUAAUGGUCCCAAAAAAUUAAACAGCUCUGAUAUCCCCCCAAAAAAAAAGACAGAGUUAAAAUCCAAAUUCACCUAAUUCAACGCAUUGAAAAUUUGUGGAAAUGAAUUUAAACCUCCUUUUUCUAUCAAUUUUUUUUUCAACGCCCGUUAAUCACGCUCCUAACACCAUCCAAUAAUUAAGAUUUCUAGCCGAUUACUACUAAAUCAUCGCCUAUAGGCUAUAAACAGCCUCCAGUCAACAAACAAACAAUCACCACCACUCAGAUCAGAUAUUUUUCAUAAGUUGUCCUAUUGUCAGUUUUACACCACUAAGAUCAUCAUGGCUGGAGAGAAGCACCGCCACCACCUCGUCCACCACCACAAGGAAGAGAAGCCUGUCGAGAGAAGCACCACUAAGACCAUCAUGGCUGAAGAGAAGCGCCACCACUACCACCACAAGGAAGAGAAGCACCACCACCACCUCGUCCACCACCACAAGGAAGAGAGAAGCACCACUAAGACCAUCAUGGUUGAAGAGAGAAGCACCACUAAGACCAUCAUGGUUGAAGAGAAGCACCACCACCACCUCGUCCACCACCACAAGGAAGAGAAGCACCACCACCACCUUGUCCACCACCACAAGGAAGAGAAGAAGCACCAGCACCACCUCGUCCAGCACCAGCACCAGCACCAGCACCACCUCGUCCAGCACCACCACCACCACCACCACCACCACCACAAGGAAGAGAAGCACCACCACCACAAGCCUGUCGAGAGAAGCACCACUAAGACCAUCAUGGCUGAAGAGAAGCACCGCCACCACCUCGUCCACCACCACAAGGAAGAGAAGCACCGCCACCACAAGCCAUAAUAAAAGGCAUAAUAGUCUCUUGUAUACUGUUUGUUCUGGCUUGAUGGUGCUGAUUUGAGUUAAAAAAGAUAAUGACUAUGUUGAUGAUGACACAUUUUCUGCCUUGGGAACCAAUUAUAAUAUAGGAUCCGAAUAGUUGCUUUUAUCUUUAUAAUUUAUGUUUCACAUGGAAAGAUAUUCAAUUCUCAUCUUUGAUACAUGUCACUACUUUGUUGCAAUUCAGUCAAGUUUAUUCAUACUUGAACAAGGCGGUGUCCUGAAAAUAUGACAUCUAUUAGUUAUACAAUGUUUAUUGUUGCUUGACUAACUUGCAGUCUUGGGUGGUUAACUUGUGCAUUGAUCCAGCUUGAGUUAAGUACUUGGUUACUCAGCGUUUGCUCUGACAUAUAUUCUUCAGUAAAUGCGGCAGGCUGAAUUGUUUACAAAUUACCGGUUCAAUUGUUGCUGUGUAAGCGAUGUACUGCAACUCCUGCAACUUAUAUUGAUCGUGCUUUGCUGGUAUCGUCCCCUGUACUUGCUUGUCCUUGGUUUUCUAUUCUGUUAAACCUACAACUCCAAUUUUAAGUUCCUUUAUCCUGUGUGUUUCUCUUCUUUGCUGCUCAGUACUCCAGAACUAUGACCGUAUCCAUUAACCGUCCCUCCUCAUAAAUUACUACUAGCAGUGAAAAUCACUGGAGUCAUUUCUUGCUGCACUCUUGAAAAGCACUGUCAUGUACAAUUCCAUUGUACUUUACCUGACUUGCUGCCUUAACCAUCUGACAUUAGCAUGUUUCCGCUCAAAGUAUAGACCAAAAGAAAGGAAUUCUGAAAUCUUCUAUGGUUCAAUUGUCAUGAAUGUGAGUUUUCAUGAACAGACAACGUGGCUUUAACUGCUUAUUUGCUUUUGCCUUUUUGUGUAGGAAACUUUUGUUUCUGGUGUUGAUGGUCUCAACUUAACUUCCAAUGAAGACUCGUACAAAUCCAAGGCAACUACGAAAUUCAUGGAUUCAAUUGAUGGUGCUAUUGAUGAGUAUUUGACCUUUAACAAUCCCGAGUCAUGCUGUGAGAAGCUUGAGGAUUUGCUUACACAUGGGCACCUUCAGGGGCCACUGAGACCAAAGCCAGAAAAGUCACCUCAAUGCAUAAGGUUACACUUGUUUCAUCAUCAAUCUCUACAUGCAUACACCACACUUGCUUCAGCAUACAGAGUCCGUGCUAGUGACCUCUUGGCUCUUAAUUCUGAAAAUCAUCAGCAUCAUAUGGAAGCUUUCACUCUGAGCAGAAUAAGUGCAGCCUACUCCUUGUUGUUGGCUAUAGUUACGCAUCAUCUUUUUCUUUCUGAAUCUUCAAUAAUUGUCUGUGUUGCGAAUUUCUGGAAAAAUGCCGGGGAGUCCCUAGUUUAUCUCUUUAGAAGCUCAGCCUGGGUUACAUUUUCCAGUUUGCACCAAUCUGUUUCUGAAAAUUCAUCCAUUCUAAGCCAUAAAUGCUGAAGAUCAAUUCUUUUAUUAAUACUGAAGAUCAAUAUGCAAUGUUUGGGGACAUAAGCAGGCAGCACAUAAAUUGUAUUGUCAACAUAACAGAAAAAGUAUGGAGCUUCCUUAGUCAUGAAAGUCGACAUCUGCAAGAAGUUAAAGAGCUCAUUGAUUUUUGAUGGCUUCUCACAGUGGAAACUCCCCUUGAUCUCGGAACUCGUAUUACUUGCCGGGAUAGCAGAACUGUUUCCAGACUUCAAAAAAAGGAGCAUGCCAACCUAGAGAGAGCAUAUCUCUUUCAGCUUGGUCUCCACUGCUUACACUAUGCAACAUACCUGUCAAGCAUCUGUUAUGGCCUAAAUUCCCUGUUGAUAGGUGAAGUUUGUCAAUCUUCUAUACUCUGAAGGUAUGUAUAGUGGCUGGUUAGUUCAACCAAUUUGGCUGAAAAUAUUAUCAAAAAAUAGCGAUGUGAAAAGGUCAUCAAAUAGAUGGUGAUCAAAAAGCUCAGUUCAUCACUCGUAUAUACCGUAUAGUUGAGUGUAUCUUUCCAGGAUUGAAUUCUCAUAGAUGGUGAUCAAAAAGCUCAAUUCAUCACUCGUAAUGCAUGCAAGCAGGAGCCCAAUAUUUCGUCCUCUUUCCAUUUGUUUUUUUUGGGCCACAGUCCUAGAAAUAAGCAUUUCAUGAGUUAAUUUUGGUCUACUGAAUUGAAUAAGAGUGAACUUUUGGGCCAAAUCAGGCUCCAAUUUCAAAUGUGGGUGCUGUUAUUGGGCCUCAAGAGAUUGGAUAAAGCCUGCCCACCUGACACCUAAGUAUCAAGGUCAAAUGACCUCAAACAAUCUAAUAUCCGUUCGCCAGUACUUUUAUUUGUUUAUUUUUUCUUGCCUUCAUAUUACACCCUUCUCGCCUUUAUAUUGUCUGAUUCAGAAUUCAAAAUCUGAAUCUCAUAAUUGAAAGGACGCUAAGAGCUUUUUUUUGACAAAUUUUUAUUUAUUUAUUUAUUACAUUCUUUCAUUCCUGUUCAUACCUUUUUCUUGCAGUCAUAUUAUACCCUUUUCUCCUUUGUACCGAGAGACUCAGAAUUCGAAAUCUGAACCUCAUAAUUGAAAGGACGUUAAGAGCCUAUUUUGACAACUGAACAAACCCUAAUAGUUUUAGUACUUACUUAAAAGAGUUUGUCAAUUUGUUGUUGUAGAGAGCUACAAUGACUUUAUGAAGGUAAAGUGGACAUUAAGUUUGGGCAGUGUCGAAUUUUACCUUUUCUUUUUCCCUUUCUUUUUGGUAGUAUGAUAUUAACUCGACAUUAUAAGAUUUUCAUGGGGGGUGGUUUGAAGUCUCCAUUUUGUUGCAACUAUUCAAAGAGUCAUGAAAUCUGUGAUUUCAUUUUCCAAGUGUGAAUAUUAGGUGGAUGGACAAAUCAACCUUCUUUUUUCCAUUCUUGGGGCAGAAUUUCUUCUCCCACGGAUGUUUCCUAUCCAUAUCACGAUAAUGUACUCUUCUUGAGCGAGUAAAUUAAUUGGUCCCCAAAUGGAAAUUUAGUUGGCACGUCUCACCGACCACGUUUCCUUAACAGCGAAGAAAAGGAAAUAUACAAAUGGAAAAUAAUCUGAAUCUAAACCACCCCAGAUAUCAACAUUCAAGUGGUGGAUAGUCAAUGCAUUUGGAUCAUUCAUGCAUCCAUCUUCCAACUUUGCUUAAAAUUGUGAACAAAGGGGUGGCAAACAACAUCAUAUCCAUGUGGUGGAGGCCAUACCUGUGAAUUGACCCUUCCAAACAGGCGUUAGAGCACAAUUGGUCAGAGAGGAGAAACUUGAAGGUGCAUAUGGCUAUGAGUUACAUCUGUAAAGUAAUAUCAACAUUAAUCGUCCAUUUGUAUCAAUCAUGGAUCAAUUGACAAAAAAAAACCCAAGUUGCAUCCUGUAUAGUUUGUCUGGGGAUGGGGUCUAUGUCAAUGAAUUGGAUGAAAGGAGAAGAAACUUCAAACUAUGAAUUUAUAAUUAGUGAUUGAGCUUAAUUCUUCAACCCAACCACACCAAACUUCUUGGUUAUUGGAGAACCAAAUCAUAUAUAUAUAUAUAUAAUAAAGUCGUAUCCUCAUUUAUCGUUUCAUGUUUUCUUUUUCUUAUGUGGCUUAACGAGAUAGCAAGUAAUUUUCUACGUGGCUUGCUUCUUUUUUGUUUGGAUUUAUAUCAAUUCUUAUUUCCUAUAUUAUAUGAUUGGUCCGAUAAAAUAUAUCAAUUCUUAGUCCGAUAAAAAUUGUUAGUCCGAUAAAAAUUGUGAUACAAAAUGGAUCAAUUGGAAAAAAAACCCCAAGUUGCAUCCUGUAUAGUUUGUCUGGGGAUGGGGUCUAUGUCAAUGAAUUGGAUGAAAGGAGAAGAAACUUCAAACUAUGAAUUUAUAAUUAGUGAUUGAGCUUAAUACUUCAACCCAACCAUACCAAACUUCUUGGUUAUUGGAGAACCAAAUUAUUUAAUAGUCGUAAGGUGGGAAAAAAAAAAGAAUUGCUUAAACAAUCUAGAAUACUUCUUUUUUUGGUAAAUAUCUAGAAAAUAUCUCUUUGGCUAUCUUGACCAAGAAAUACUGGUAGACCAUUUAACUUUCAAAAUGUUGAUUAUUGAUCACUAAGAUAUGUUUCAACCGCUUAAUCAUGAUUUAAUAGAGUUUUAAUUUCCCACUAUCCCUUGUCAAUCAGCAAAAUUGUGUUUGAUGACACGACUAAUUACCCUUCCAUAUAUAUAUAUAUAUAUCCUCCUUUUUCUAUCAAUUUUUUUUUUCAACGCCCGUUAAUCACGCUCCUAACACUAUCCAAUAACUAAGAUUUCUAGCCGAUUACUACUAAAUCAUCGCCUGUAGGCUAUAAAUAGCCUCCUCUCCACAAUCCAACAAACAGAAAAUUACCACCACUCAGAUCAGAUAUUUUUCAUAAGUUGUCCUAUUAUCAGUUUUACACCACUAAGACUAUCAUGGCUGAAGCCUUCCACCACCACAACCCCUUCCACCACCACAAGGAACAGACGGCUGCCGAAGCCGUUGGCUACUCCGACACCACCUACUCUGGAGGCUACGGUGGAGAGCCAGCACAUGAUUAUGAGAAAGAAAGAAAGCACCACAAGCACCUUGAGCAACUUGGUGGACUCGGUGCUGUCGCUGCUGGCGCCUAUGCCUUGGUAUAUUUCCGAUUUUGUGAUCCUUGCUUGUAUAACUCAGUUUUCAUGAUAAGCCACGAAGGCAUGCUUGUCUAUAAGAAGCCACAAAUUAAACUCAGUUUUUUUUUGUAUUAGUCCAUAAAGACUAAACAUUUUUGUUAUCAUUUCGUUUGAUCAGACAAUCAAAGAUUAUGUACGUCCAAUAUCAAAAGGGUUGUUCAGUAAAUCAGAAAAAUCUCUUUCGAAAAAUAAAAAAAAAAAGAUUAAAGAAUCUCUAGGGGGGAUAAAAUCGUAUGGUAUGGUCCAAUUAUAGUGUUGUGUUGAAUUUUAUGCUCUAAUCGGACUAAAAAUUUUGCAGUCAAUUGACUGUAUCAUAAACUCUUUUAAGUAGGACAUGGUUUUUGGCUUUACUAAUUUCUUGUUUGUUUUUUUUGUCGAAAUUUCCAUAAUCCAGCAUGAGAAGCACAAGUCCAAGAAAGAUCCUGAGCAUGCCCACAAGCACAAGAUAGAAGAAGAGAUUGCAGCAGUAGCUGCAGUGGGUGCCGGUGGAUUUGCGUUCCAUGAGCAUCACGAGAAGAAGGAUGCCAAGAAAGAAGAGGAAAAGGCUGAGGGAAAGCACCACCACCACCUAUUUUAGUUUAACCACUCGGAUUUUCAUUAAUCCUUGGGUGGUCUUUUUAAUAUUGUUCCCUUGUCUAUCUUCCAGUAUUGAGCUCGUACUGCCAAUAAUCAUGUUUAAUAAUCUGUUACUCAAAAAAAAAAAAAAAGUGUUGUUUUUCAUUUGAGUUGUGCGCCUGCUUUUGUUGGCGCUGCUGACUUUAUUAGAGUUUGUGUGAAGUGCUGUUGUUAUUAAUGAAAUGUUUGGUUGCAGUAUAAAAAUUAGAUAUCAGUUUGGAAUAUGCUCAAAGGAUGAUGAGUAUUCUUUUGGGCUCUAUCUGAUGAUCCGCAUAGAAAUUUGUUUUUUCCAAUAAUUUGUGACGUUACUCGAAAUGAAAUUUGUUAUGAUGUUGAUUGAAUAAUGAAUGUCUAUUAUACUUAAACAUUGAACACUAAUAGAACGUUGAGGUAUGGCCAUUUCUUGCGCCCCUUCCGUCUCCCGCGAUUAGGAUUUAUCCUAACUGAUUGGGAAAGGAUCAGGACCUAUAAAUAGCAAUGUCAUGAAAUUCCUAGCACUCACACUUAAUAACAAAAAAAUAUCAAAUUUUCAUUCUUAACCAUUACAAAUCGACAACCACAAUGGCUGAUCAGACUCAGCACCACCAUCUCUUCGGCCACCAUAACGAGGAAGAAAGGAAACACCACAAGCAUCUUGAGGAGCUCGAUGAGCUUGCAGCUGCUGCCGCUGGUGCCUACGCUUUGGUAAAAUUCUAAUGUUCUUGAUUUAAGCUGGUUUAUGUCCCCCAUAGAUUAAUCAAUCAAAAUAAAAAAAAAACAUGCUUUUUCAUUCACGGAAGAGGAAGAUCUAUGCAUCAAUUUUGGUACAACUAUUGUUAGACGUCUCCCCUAAAAAAUCAAGAUUGAUGAUGGGUUAGACAGUAGGGGACGUUCAUUUGUAUACUCUACUGUUGGGAGGAGAAGUUGCAUUUAAUUUUGGAGAAUGUCAAAAGCCAGUUUCUUAAAACCCAUAUGGUAGUGGGUUCAGAAUGGACUAGAUCUGCAGGUGGCUAAAAGGUGUUACAUCAACCGCUAUUUCUAAGAUAUCUAAAGAUUAGUGAUUCCUGAGCAAAACCAAGCCCAAGUAGUAUACUAAAACUUGUAGACAUAAUUAAUAUGGUCUGAGCCAAAAUAAUUUCUGAACUUUGUUAGCUCAUCUAUGGUGUGAAUUUGCAUGGAAUGAUGGUCAGCAUGAGAAGCACGAGGCCAAGAAGGAUCCGCAGAAUGCCCGCAGGCACAAGUUAGAAGAAGAGAUUGGUGCAGCAGCUGCAGUUGGAGCUGGCGGAUUGGCAUUCCAUGAGCAUCAUGAGAAAAAUAAUGCCAAAAAAGAAGAAGAAAAAGCCGAGGGAAAGCACCACCAUCUAUUUUGAAUUAUGAUAAGGGUUCCUUCAAUUUUCUUGCUAGUUCACAUCCAGGUUUCUACUUUGACAAGAAAUAAUUAUGUUUGUUUUUUCUCUAAAAACAAAAGGUAAUGUCAAUUUAUCUUGGGGAUUUCGUCUUGAUUUUAUUGGCGCAACUGACCUAGCACAUUUGUGGUGGAAUUGGUCUCAAUCUUACGUGCAAUUAUUUGUGUAAUAAUUCUAUCAUUAUGUUGGUAUCGUAUAAUCUAUGUAAUAAUUGAUGGAUUUUCUUAGCCAAAGAUAUAACAAAAUAGCCGACUGAUCACUGGUUAGAGUCAUAAAGGGAUAAGUGAAAAAUCACUGUUGAUCAUUUUUAAGGUAAAAAAAAAAGAAGUAAAUUUAUAGCAUUCAAUCUUUUCUUGAGGCUUUAUAUUCAUUUAAAGACUCAUGGAACAAUUAAACUUGUUGCAAAAAUAAUUUUGUUGGUUUUCCGACAUGUCAAUCUCAAUUGUUAAAAUUGUAAACUCUGAUUGGUGAGGCUGUAUAACAUCCAGCCCAUUUGGCGAUGUUAGGACCCAAAACUUAUCGUGAGGACCCUAUUGGAUGAGAGAGAUUCUUGAUUACGUUCCUUAUCUUCGUGAAGGUGACGGGCUAUCUACAUUAUUUCUCAAUUUAGUUCCUUUACCUUCGUAGAAAGUGACCAACCUAUAACAUUUGUGAUUUAACCGAAAAUUGUGGGAAACUAAAGAAUGAAUGAGUCACUUGAAUUGCUCCGAAACUAUUGGAAGGCAAUCUUUUAAGUGCCGAAAAAUAAAUAUUCUGUGGUGUUAAAGGAAUGAGAUGGGCGAACACUUGAGAUCCUCGGUAUCAUGUUUUUUAUGCCAAUCCAAUGCCACCUAUAGUAUUGCGCCAAGUGUUUUGUUAUUAUUUACACUUUAAUUUUCUAAUAAUUUAACUUGGUUUGGUUUAACACAAGUGUAAAUAAUAACAUGACACUUGGCGCAAUAUUAUGCGAAAUGGCUUCCUAAAAAAUAGCAUCCGCAUUUGUUUUUCAUUGAGAGGUAUUUCAGUUUUUCGAUCAAGUUAAUCCCUUAAAACUGUGUAGAGCCUUACUCCAAGGAUACACAGUCAGAUAACUCAUAGAAUCAAUCACGGAACCUAGCCUACUGAUAACUACCAGAUUACGAAACCAGUCAAAUUAGCGCGGGGCAAGCAUCCAUAUUUACAAAUGUGAAAUAUUGAUGCGAAAAGUUUUGACUGGCAUUCUGUAAAAGUUUUGAUGAAUAUGGCACUAUGAACCCUUAUUGAAAUAUUGCCGAAUUCCACAUUAUAGUAAGACAUCUAUUAGAAAAUUGAAAAUCUUGGUCCUUUGUCUUAAUUAACGUCACUGUUCUGUUAUCAUGGCCAUAGUCUUAGUCCCUUAACUAUAAAAAUUUGAUCAAUGUAGUCCGUUGAAUAGAAAAUUGGUCCAUAAUAAAUUUUAAAAAAAUUUAGUAGCAUCAGUUACACAACCUACACGACACGGCUAGAUAUUCCAGACACGAUACUUGACUAUUCUACCUGUGGCUUUCGUUAAUGGAGGAAAAAAGGUGAGAAGAAGACUCAGGGUCUCCGCCUGCAAGUACUGGCCAAAUGGUCAAAAUGAAUACGUAGCUGCCUGCCUAGAAUACUUGUUCAAUUUGAUGUUACAUAAAUUGGACAUUAGUCUUUGAUGAAAAUAGCUACUCAGCAAUGACAACGGUGUAUAGACACAUUAACACUCCACAAAGUAAAAAUUUUUGCCUCAAUUGGUAGGUGGAGGAGCGCCAUGUUUGUCUUUUGAUCAACAUAUAUUGUGGCCACAAAUCUCACUCCCAAGAUUUUGAUCAAGUUUGUCCCCGUUAAGGGCCAUAAUUUUGUGAUGAAUUUUUUUUUUUUGUCUUUUGAAUCAGUUUUAAAAAAUAUUCAAAUCAAUAUUGGAAGUUCCCAAGUUAUUCGUCAAAUCGCUUCUACGAGUUUCAAACUAUGUUAGCCGAACCAAGCAUGAAAAUUGGUUGUUUUAGUGCAAAAAUGAAGAGUAUAAGACUAAGAACGGCAAGGCAAAUUGAUUAACGGCUAAAUUUUACCAUUUAUUGUGUCUUGGAUAUGAUUUUUUUUUGGUCAAGCAUAGUUGCAAAAAUUGAUAACACGAAUUAGAGUUCAGACUUUAUAAUUUUACUGAAUCAUUUUAAGGAUUGAAACUGAGUAAAACUUUACGUCAUUUCAUUUUGCCCCCUUUCUCCCCCAUCUCCAAUUAAGGAUCUCGGGAUUCACAAGUUGCAUUUCGCUCCAUUUCAGAAUAAAAUGAUAAUUUUAAUUAUUUGUUUAUACUGUAUUCAAAUUAUUUACGCCAUAUUUAUAAUUUUCUUUUACACUAUAUUCUAACUCAUUUACACCCUAUUCUAACUCAUUUACACCAAGGACAAGCUUGUCUUGUGAAAACCCAUCCACCUCAAGUAAACGUCAACAUGAAAAAUCAAAGUGGGAAUGGGAAAUGUGGGGAACUCCAACCACACAAGAGCAAGAUGUCCAAUAGGAUGAUGGGGAAUACUAGAAGUUUACUAGUACACUGAAUUGAAACUAUAUAAUUUCUCAAACCAUUUUAGCAUUCUCGGCGUAGUUAGGAAUAUGUAGAACUACUGCUAGUUAUAUAUUGAUCUCAUGCCGUAUACUUAUCUGAUAGUUCUUUGGCCAUGGCCAGAACCGACUUCACGACGGGCAAGUUAUAUGUUCUCUUAAAGCUAGAAGGGCAAAUUGAUCUAUCGGGGUCGUUCUCAAUUAUCAUAGUUUCUAUGUGGAUCAAUUAGCCCUCUUGCCUUGAAAGAACAUAUAACUUCUGAUCCUGCAACUUCAAUCUUGGCAGAAAAUUGGUCUGCUGUAGUCUCCUUCAGCUACUGGAUUGGAGUCACUUGCAGCUCUCGCCACAAGGCAGGGUUACCGAGGUCAGUAUUUCGAACAUGGGUUUCGCGGGCAGCGCUCCUCCACACCUAGGAAACCUCUCGUUUCUUGUUUCUCAUAUCUUGCUUGUUUCUCUUGACAUGAGAAACAAAUUAACUGAAACGCUGUGCUGCCAGAAAAAAAUGGUUGAUUUGGGUCGAUUGAGAUACAUUGAUUAAAUUGGGAUACAAACAACUUUGUUGAAGAGGUACCAACAUGGUUCGGUUUGUUAGAUAAGCUUCAAUCCCUGCUUUUGUCCAAGAACCAGUUUAGUGGAUAUAUACCAACAGAAAUUGGGAAUCUGUACAAGCUGCACCUGAGAAUGUUCUCUAUAACAAUUUGGAAGGUACUUUCAUCCAUCUACUGGUCAUAUUUGUGCAAUUUGUCGCAAUCAAAAUCAAAUAAUAAAGUUUUUUUUUACAGACUUGAGAAGUAUGUAGUCAUGCCUACAUGCAAAAAAGUGGAACCAUGGUUCAAAGUCGCGGUCGCGGUCAUGGUCGCGGCCCGGAACGUUCCACGUCGGUCUCGGCAUAUCGGUCACGGUCUCGGUGAGACGCAAAUUUUAAAGUAUUUAAUAUUCUAAAAAUUGUUAAUAAUAUAAAAAAAAAGUAUGCUAAACAAAAAUAAUAAAAAAUAACAAAAGAAAUGGCCAAGUCAAUCCGUCACGGUGUAACUCGGCCGAUUUCUCGUCUUGACUCAGGAUAAUUCAGAGUGACUCGGUAUGACUCGGCUGAGUCAAUCCGUCGCGGUGACGUCUCGGCCGAUUUCUCGGCGAAUCAAGUAUCUCAGUAUCGUCUCGUCACGGUAUCGUAUCGGUAGAGGUCGAGACGGUGACGACUCGGCCGAGUCAUCUCGGUCUCGGCCGAGACUUCGAACCAUUAGUGGAACUGAACCAAUAUAAAUAUUAUCAAUUAGGUUAAUUACAUCUGAAAGCCAAGCAGAAGAAAAUAGCUAUAGGUUUCUGAUUCCAGCCCAUGUGCUAAUUUUUUCUGGAGAAGUUUACUCAAUUGUCUAGAUGUCAUGAAAAUUCUUAAUGUCAGAAAGUGAUAUAAUCUACAGUUUUGCAGGAGGAAUACCAAGAGAGAUUUGUAAUUUAACUGUGCUCAAUAGCCUGGUUUUACCAUUUAUGCAAUAACCACUUGACAGAUAGAUUAAUAACAAUAGUAUUCCUUUUUGUUGAUUAACCUUCAAAGAGGCUGAAUUAUCACGUUGAUUACCCCCAUGAACAUUCAUUUGCAUCAGUCUGUCUUGACUUUUUCAGUUGUCCAGUGACUGGUAGAUAGCAGCGCAGUUGUUUGGAUGGUAGCACUCUUGCAUUUUUUUAAAAAACUUUCUCACUUUUUUUUUUUUAAGUAAGAGAUAUUGAAUUCAGAAUCUUUUACAUAUAAUAUAAUCUUUGUUUUAUCACGUUAGAAUUAGAACUGACAUUCUAAUUAUAAUAUAAUACAAAGAUGAAAUAUCCUACAUCGGAUGGAGGAAAAGAAAAGGAAAUUAUAACGUCCAAUCCAUCAAAUUACCAAUAACUUUGGAUUAAUCAUUUUGAUCCCGUGGUUUUAGCUCAAAAAGAUAUUGGGUCAGUCCAACUGGCAUAGGGGUGUUACAAGUGGUAUUAGAGCGAAUUUGCAUGGGAUAAGUCUAAACCAGCAGGUUAUGGUUCAGAUUGCGCAACGAAGUGCAAGAAACAAAGUACUAUAUGGAGUUAAGGGUCACGUCGGACGUGGGUCAAUUUUAAAACCAUAUGAGACACGUCUAGAAUCCGCACAUGAUUAAGUGGAUAAUUUGAACCGUAACAGGCUUUAUGACAAUGCAAAGUUCUAAAGAGUUACCUCUAAAAUUUGCGGACAAGCUAACGAGUCACCUCUGAAAUUCACGUACGACUAAUGAGAAUGCAAAGUUCUAAAGAACCACCUCUAGAAUCUGCGUACAACCUAAAGAAUCACCUCUAAAAUUUGUGCACGACUAAAUGAACAGUUUGAAUUGUAAUAGGUUUUGUGAGAAUGCAACGUUUUAAAAGAUGGAGAGAGUGAAGUGUCCCACAUCAGACCCAUGAAAAGAAAAGAAAUAGUAUAUAACGUCCGAUCCAUCGAAUUACUAAUAACUUUGCAUUGACGAUUAUGAGAACCUAACAUCAGCUCAAAAACCUGUUGGGUCAGUCUAGUGGGCGUGGGAUGUGACGACCCCACCUCCCCCUAAGGCGUACCAAAGGGUUCGGCGGACCGCCUGCCCAGCUCUCGCCAGGACUCACUCACUAUCUCAAUCGAAUCGUAUACACACAUCCAUGAACCAUAAAUAACAUUCACAAUUCAAACUUAUAAUUUACAUUGAUAGGAAUCGAGGUACAAAGUCUUAAUACACCCAACUAGUUCAAAAAGUAUACAAUCCAAGUACAACAUGUUCCGUUCGAGGAAAAACGCGAGUACAAGACCAAAAGUCCGAAGUCAAAACAAAAGGCUACACUAGUCUUUUACAAGUCCCUCGCGUCACUCGUACCCCUGUAAGGAAAACAAACUAAUGGGGUGAACCAAAGCUCAGUGAAGUUCCCAAAUAUCAAAUUGGUCAACAACCAAGUUAUAGCAAAAUAAAAGUGAAAUAGCGAGCAAACAAGUCAAAUCAGGGAAAUAGUACUUCAGCUAGCCAAGUAGUCAGAUUCAUAUUCACAUAUAAGGAUACAGUACUCAUUUUCAGCUCCAUUCCAGCUUGGUUAAGUGGUAGUUGACACUCCGUCAACUUUCAAGUAAUAUCCAGUCCAAAUAAACUCCACUACACGCCAAUUUCCGUCCACCGAUCAACCCCCUAUUCCGGGCCCGCACGCCAUACAAAACAUGGGUGGUAAUACUCGAGUAUACUGUUAGUCGAGGAGAUAACACUCCACUCGACAUUACAAGUGACCCAGGGUUUGUUAUCUAAUCGACCAGGCCCUUGCCGGCUCGACUCGAUUAACUAGCCACAGGGUUUUCUGGAAUUCCAGGCAAGAUAUAAUUCAAGUACAUGUACAACAAGUCAAGUAUGAUCAAUAGCAAGAACAGGUCAUAUUAGGGCAAGUGCGAUAAAGUACACCCUUGCCCUUUCAUUCAUUGUCAUGUAAUCACGCAAGUCAAGUAAGGAGUACACAUAUCAAGUACAAUCGGAUAUUUGGAAGCACUCACCAAAAUAGUGCUUCUAGUGCUCGUGUCUGGGUGGUACUCCGAGUUGGGAGUCCAAAUCUGCGAUAAAACUUAACUUGAGAACUUUGAAAAUCAACCAAGGUUUGAAACUUAAGUGUUUCGUUCAAUAAGAAUCAAGAAAUUGAAAUUCACUUGAGAAGAGUCGUGAAAUAGUUGCUCGCUCUUUAAACUGAAAAAUUAAAUAACAUUUUUGCUUGAAGAUGACUCUUGAGUCAAAAGUGCAAGUAAAACGGUUUCGUAGUGAUUCAUAUCAUUUUCCUAAGGGUACAAGUUCGGCCAAGUCCUAACAUAUAACCCUCGAUAAACAAGUGGCAAAAGUCCUCGAUAGUUCAAGUAAUAAUCACUUAACCUUCACUCAAGUCGCAAAGAUAGUUUUCUAGACCUCGAGUAAAAAUUUGGGCAGCAUGCCCUUUGUGUUUACCUAAUUUCCAGCCAUUUAGGCUUCAUUAUUUUUCUUCAACAACAUCCCAACAUCAUACAAAUAAGCAAUUUAUGUCAAGAGCCGUUCCAUAGGCUCACAAUAUCAUAACAACACGAAUUGCAUCAAGUACAAGUGCAGAAACGCAAUGUAGUUCAAUACAGAUUUGACGUACAAAUGCGGUAAUACCAUACCUGAGGCUACGCUUAUCGGAUUAAAACGAAACCUACGCCGUUUCGAAGCUAAGGCACAGAGCUACAACAUUCAUGAAGGUCACUUAGUCCAUUUCCUAAUGUAACUUAGUCAAAAUCUCAGAUUACUAAACCAGAAACCAAUUCACCGGCAGUUUAAACGCAUUAUGCUGUAAUGGACCUAACUCAGUGUACACAAGUCCGAAUCAGGUUUUCUUUGAGGCAUUUUAAAGCUACUUCAGAACACUACAACUUUUAUGUUUUGGCCCAGAGCUAAAUCAGAAUGGAUCCUGGUCAAAAAUCGUGAUAAACUGGACUGAACUGAAGAAACGGACUGCUGGGAAAUUCUUAAAACAGUAGGGGUAUUUUGGACUUUUCACAUUCUGCGUUGCUCCGAUUGAGCUGAAAUUUUAUAGGCACCUAUAAAAUACCAUUCUCUACAACUUUCCUUCUUUGACCAAAGGCCAAUUCGGCCUCUAACAUAUAGAUACAAUUUCGGACAGAAUGCUUGGGAAAUUUUCCAGAAAUCUGGAAUUGUUUAGCUCUAAGUGAAUCUCAAAUUUCUGGUUCUAAUCACCACUAAACACCUUAUAUAACUUUAAUUGCAACAUUCAUGCAUCAUACAUCAACUUGAGCAGAAAAUCAGAAACCCUAGUUCAUCAAAUAAAUUGGGGAAAAACUUCUACACAUGCUAGCAUCCAUGAAUCUACCACCAAUCAAGCUACUAAGCUUACUUUAACCAUGAUUGAAAGAGAAAGUUAGAGAGAUAUCAUCCUCUUACCUUGAUUUGAGUCUCCAAGAUAGCACCAAGCUCUUCUCUUCCCAAAACUUCCACCACCAAUCACUAGAUAAUCACUCAAGAGUAGGUUUAAUCGGUUUACUUUGUUGAUUUUCUCACUAAGUUGUUGGAUUUGAAGGUGAAAUGAAGAAAUCUUCCUUGGUGUUUUCUCCAAGCUAAGUUCGGCCAGCACCAGCAGAAAUGAGGAAGAAUGGCUAAGUGUUGAGGUUAUAUGGAUGGUAAUGGUCUUGGUAAGAAGCCAUGAGGUGGUGACAAGUGUCACCACCACCACCCUUUCUUUUUCUCUUUCUUUCUUGCCUUUCUUAGCCACAAUUUCGGUCAACAUGCUGCCAAGAGAGAAGAUAUUAUGUACAAAAGUCAACAAACUUGUUGGGUAAGAAAAAUGGUGGUCAAGUGGUGCGUUCAAUCGGUAAUGCGCGGGACCCGCCGGUUCGCGCCGUUUUUCUUAAAAACUCACGUACUAGGGUUUUUACUUCCCAUUCACUAACCUUAUAUCAUUGCUACUACUUACAUAUUAUUUCUCACUUAAAAGUCACUUUUAAUCAUCAAAUUGAUCCUCGGCCAGUACCGAAAAUUCAUCCGGCGGAAAAAUCGCAAAAACCCUAAUUUUGCUCAAAACUUGAAACCAAAGCGUAAAACCUUAUUUUCUAGGUUUAUUUACACUUAGUGUGAAAUAAUGAGGUAGGGGCCUUAAUAAAUAAUAAUUUUCAAAUAAAAGGUAUUUUUGAGGAAAAAUGUAGGAAAUUUGCGGGUCCUCACAUCCUCUCCCCCUUAAAAGAAUUUCGACCUCGAAAUUCAUACCUUUUGUCGCGAACAGGCCAGGAUACUUUUCUUGCAUAUCCGUUUCUAGCUCCCAAGUUGCUUCUUCCACUUCAUGAUGCUUCCAUAGUACCUUUACUAAAGGAAUCUGCUUGUUUCUCAAGUCCUUCACCUUUCGAUCCAGUAUUUGAAUAGGUCGUUCUUCAUAGGUUAAAGACUCGUCAAGUUCAACAUCUUCGGGUGGCAAAAUGUGAGUCGGAUCCGGAUGGUAUUUCUUAAGCAAAGAAACGUGGAAAACGUCAUGGAUCCUAGAUAAGCUAGCUGGUAACUCAAGUCGAUAAGCCACCUUUCCUAUUCGCUGAGCACCUUGAAAGGUCCUAUAUAUCGUGGUUGCAACUUUUUCCCUUUUCCGGAUCUAAUCUUUCCCUUCAAUGGUGUGAUCCGAAGAAACACCUUAUCUCCUAUUUCAAACUCCAAGUCUUUCCUCCUAUGAUCGGCAUAGCUUUUCUGACGGCUUUGGGCGGUUUGAAGUCUCUGGCGGAUCACUCUCACCUUUUCAUAGGUUUCCUCAACCCAUGGUAUAGUAGCCGGAUCUAUGACUUUUCUCUCCCCUACUUCAUCCCAAUGGAUUGGAGAUCGACAUCGUCGUCCGUACAAAGCUUCAUAUGGAGCCAUUUGAAUAGAGGAAUGAUAACUAUUGUUAUACGCGAAUUCAACCAAAGUCAAGUAUUGGCUCCAACUUCCUUUAAAAUCCACAAUACAAGCUCUCAGCAUAUCCUCAAGAGUUUGAAUAGUUCUCUCAGAUUGUCCAUCAGUUUGUGGAUGAUAUGCUGUACUAUAACUCAACUUAGUUCCUAGAGCCUCUUGUAACUUCUGCCAAAAUCGAGAUACAAACCUGGGGUCUCUAUCCGAUACAAUACUCACUGGUACCCCAUGUAAUCUUACUACCUCAUCCAUAUAAAUUUUAGCAAGUUUCUCCAAAGGAUAUUUCAUGUUCACUGGCAGAAAAUGUGCAGUCUUAGUUAAUCUAUCCACUAUCACCCAAAUUGCAUCAUGCCCCUUUUGUGUUCGUGGCAAUCCUGACACAAAAUUAUCGUUAUGUGCUCCCACUUCCACUCAGGGAUCUCUAAAGGCUGUAACAAACCUGACGGCUUUUGAUGCUCAGCUUUCACCUGUUGGCACGUAAGACAUUUUUGCACAAACUGGGCAAUCUCCGCCUUCAUUUUCUCCCACCAAUACAGAUUCCUAAGAUCUUGGUACAUUUUAUUAUUCCCUGGGUGCACCGUAUACCUAGAGCAAUGUGAUUCCUCUAAAAUCUCCCUUUUCAAUUCCUCAUCCCUAGGUACCACGACACGAUUUCGAAACUUUAAAAUUCCAUCAGGGCUUAGAUUAAAAUUAGGUAACUCCCCUUUCUUCACUCUCUCUACCCACUUCUGCACUAUUGGAUCCUUCACUUGGCCCUCUUUGAUUCGUUCCAUCAAUGCCGAUUUCGCCUCAAUAUUUCCAAAAACCACCUUUUCCGGUUCCAAACGAGGUUUCCACUCACAUACAUCUUCCAAUAGGCUCCACUCUCUCACUAUAGAACUUGCUAGUUGAGCCUUCCGGCUUAAAGCAUCUGCUACAACGUUGGCCUUUCCAGGAUGAUAGUUAAUUGUACAGUCAUAAUCCUCUAAGAACUCUACCCACCGACGUUGUCUUAGAUUCAACUCCUUCUGGGAAAACAGAUACUUAAGACUUUUAUGAUCCGUAAAAACCUCAAAAGUUACACCAUAAAGAUAAUGUCGCCAUUUCUUCAAAGCGAACACUACAGCUGCAAGUUCCAAGUCAUGGGUCGGGUAAUUUUGCUCAUGAGUUUUUAACUUUCGGGAUGCGUAGGCAAUCACAUUCCUAUUCUGCAUCAACACGCACCCUAGCCCUUCUUUUGAAGCAUCGGUAUAAACCGUAUAACUAUCCUUUCCAUUGGGCAAAGCUAAAACUGGAGCCAUAGUCAAUUGUUUCUUAAGCUCUUGGAAACCAUUUUCACACUUAACAUCCCAAAUAUAUUUUCCUUGUUUCUUGGUCAGGUUAGUCAAGGGUCCUGCAAUUCUCGAGAAAUUCUUUAUAAAUCUGCGGUAGUAUCCUGCUAAACCUAGAAAACUUCGCACCUCGGUGGGAUUUUCUGGCCGUUUCCAUUUAGCCACAGCUUCCACUUUCGCCGGGUCUACAGCAAGGCCAUCUUUCGAAAUUAUAUGACCUAAAAACGCCACCUCUUCCAACCAAAAUUCAUACUUACUGAACUUAGCAAACAGUUGGUUCUCUCUUAGGGUUUGCAAUACUAUCCGCAAAUGUUGUUCAUGCUCCUCCCUUGACCUCGAAUACACCAAGAUGUCAUCAAUGAACACCACUACAAACCUAUCCAAGUAAGGUUUGAACACUCGAUGCAUCAGAUCCAUGAAUGCUGCUGGGGCAUUGGUUAAACCAAAAGGCAUCACUGCGAACUCAAAAUGCCCAUAUCGAGUGUUAAACGCCGUUUUUGGCACAUCCUCCUUCUUAACUCUCAAUUGAUAAUACCCUUGUCGCAGGUCCAACUUAGAAAAUACUACAGCCCCUUGUAACUGAUCAAAUAACUCAUCUAUGUGGGGCAAAGGAUAUUUAUUCUUAAUAGUUACUGCAUUCAGCCCUCGAUAGUCAAUACACAACCUCAAACUUCCGUCUUUCUUUUUAACAAAUAACACUGGAGCUCCCCACGGCGACUCGCUCUCAUGUAUAAACCCCCGUUCUAGCAAGUCCUGUAAUUGCACCUUUAAUUCCUUAAACUCAGCAGGUGCCAUACGAUAAGGAGUUUUAGAAAUAGGAGUGGUUCCGGGUACUAAAUCAACCUUAAAUUCCACCUCCCUUUCAGGUGGCAAGGACUUCAACUCCUCCGGAAAUACGUCCGGGAAUUCACUGAUUACUGGCAUGUCUUCCAACUUAGUCUUUUCUCCUGGAGUGUUAAUUAGGAAGGCUAGGUAACCACGAGCCCCACGACUAAGUAAUUUCCUAGCCCUUAUACCCGAAAUAAGUGCAGAAGAGGCUAUCAUACCCCUCACAUCAAGCUUUAGUGUUGCCUCCCCCGGUAUACAAAAUUCAACCACCUUCAUCUUACAAUCUACCCGAGCAUGAUAAUAAGCUAGCCAAUCCAUACCUAGGAUAACAUCGUACCCCUUAAUGGCUAGACUAAUGAGGUCCACUACCAAUUUUCGUUCGCCAAUCCAAAUAUCACAAUUCCUAUACACCUCAUUCGCAAGCAAAAUUUGAUUACCUGUAGGUGUUUUUACCUCUAAGUCACAAGGUAACCUUUCAACUUUCAAGUCAAUUCCAAACAUAAAUGCAGGAUUAACAAAAGAGUGAGUAGCACCGGGGUCUAUCAAAAUUCUAGCUAACCGGUGAAAAACAGGGAUUGUACCUUCUACCACCCUGGUUGGUUCAGGCACAGUUGUUUGAUCUAGCGAGUACACUCUGGCCGGUACCCUCGACCUGGCCCCUCCAGCAGUAGUCGGCUUUGGGUUUGACCUGGCAGUCGACUGAGUGUCAUUGAUUAGCGGACAAUUGACCAUCUGAUGAUCCGCACUUCCGCACCUCAAGCACUUCCGAGCCUUUCUCCAGCACUCGUCCUCAGUGUGGUUCGAUUUUCCACAAUACCCACAUGUCACUCGGGGAGUGGAGGUUUGACCUCCCUGAGUAAAACCUCUACCUUGACCUCUACCACCUUGGCCUCCCCUCUGGGCAUUCCCUCUUGGAGCACUGCCCCUAAACGUGUUUGAGAAUCGUCCACCUCCAGCUCCACGACCGGAUUUAGCAGGUGGCAUGCUCCGCUCGCCUCGUACCGACCCUUGGGCUCCACUAGGUGCCCCUUUUCGCUUAGCGUGGAAAUUCCUUACUUGCGUCCUAGCAGUUUCUAUCCUCAAGGCCUUCUCCAGAACCUCCGUGAAAGUAUUGAUUUGAACCGCUGCUAAGGUUUCUUGUAAUUCCACAUUUAACCCUUGUAUAAACCUUCGUACUUUCCUUGGUUCCGUAGCAAUCAAUUCGGGAGCGAAUUUAGACAAUUUGGUAAACUGAGUCUCAUACUCCGUUACACUCAUCAGCCCCUGACGGAGUUUAAUGAAUUCGUACUCUCUCUUCUCCUGGACGAUGGGUGGAAGGUAUUUUUCGUUGAAAUCCCGCACAAAGUUUAACCAAGUCCAUACAGUUCCUUCUCUCUCCCAUUUGGCCCUUAUCACAUUCCACCAAGCCCUAGCUGGCCCCUCAAACUGGAAUACAGCAAAUUGAACUUGUCUCUCCUCAGUAUAGUUUAGGGCAGCAAAGAUAUUUAUCAUGGCCUCCAGCCAUUUCUCAGCCUCAUACGGGUCUGGUCCUCCUAAGAAUUUGGGUGGAGAGAACUUCUGGAAUCUCUCCAAGGCUCUAUCUUGCCCUGAAUCAGGGUCUCUAGGUUGAUUUACAGAACCUUGACCCUGUUGCUCCACCAACCGAGUCAAAAUAUUGGUCAUCUGUUGGAUGGCAGUGGCCACCUGAUCUCCCCCGGCAGUCUGGGGUUCAGGUUGCUGCUCAACCGCUGCCUCCCUCUCCUCUCUGGGUUCAGGUACCGGUUCCUGUACUUGUUCACCUUCACGGCCUCGCCUAGAACCGCGUUCUCGGUUAGUUUUCUUGGUCCGACUCCUUUUAUCUUCUAUGUUGAGAGUUAACCAACUAGAAACAUAUAAACGGGGUAAGGUACGACUCAUAUAUCGCGUUGCAACAAAUAUCUAGAGGCAAGAAAACACGUAAGAAACAAGCACUUUAUUUACAUAACAAACAAGUCGUAUAUACAGGCCAACAAGUCACGUAGUCAAAGGCUAUAACAGCCAAGGAACAUAGAACAAAAGAUAUUUACAUCCACCAGAACACGUCUAAAACAAAAACAAAAGAAGACAUGUCGUUCCACUAUGUUUCUAACUAGCUCACAAAAACUCCUAAAACCCCGAUCCUAACAAGUGGUCUGGCUAGACGCCGACCCAACCGACUCCGAGGACGCGCUCGGCUCCUCCCCCAGGUCCUCUUCAGGAUCCUCCUCAGGAGUACCAGGGACCUCAGGAACUACAGGCGCUUGGCCUUCCUCGACCAAGUCCUGUAUCACAUCCUCUACAAGUGCUUCGCACUCGGUCAGGAUGCGGUCGGUCCGGUCGCGUAUAUCUCCAACGACACGCAUCAGACGUCCGGUCGUCGCAUGAGCCUGAUCACGGUAAGCAUCAGACUGCUGCUGCUCUGCCAGAACUGCGGCCUCCAACUCGCGUAUCCGAGCUCCCUGAUCUCGGAGAGUGGCCUGGAGACGCUCUAUCUCCGCAAAGCACCUACGAUUGGUGCUACCCAAUCGUCUCCGCUCGUCAUCCACGGCGAGCACUACUCGGUCUGGAUAGGAGUAGGUCCUCCAACAGUCGCAGCGCCGGAUCUUGCGCGCAGGGGACCACCGCUGUACUGGCCCGCCGGGAACCUCCUGGUAUGUGAUCACACGGCAUACAGGGCCCGCUAGAUAUGGCUCGACCACGGGAGCGUCAGUAGGUACGUCAGUAGGCACCUCAGACACAUCAGUAGGUAUCUCCGUCGGUAUGUCAGUAGGUGCGGGGUGGGACGGUCCAGCACCCCCAGAAGAGUCAGUGUCUGCCAUCACCUAGGUUUGCAAAUAACAUUGCAAGGGUAAGUACACAUCAAGCACAAAACAAGACUAAGGUUAAGCUCGAUAAUAACACCCUAGCUUAUCAAGUCAAGCACUCAAUCUAUCCAGAUCAAUUCAAGCCUAAGCUCUGAUACCACCUGUGACGACCCCACCUCCCCCUAAGGCGUACCAAAGGGUUCGGCGGACCGCCUGCCCAGCUCUCGCAAGGACUCACUCACUAUCUCAAUCGAAUCGUAUACACACAUCCAUGAACCAUAAAUAACAUUCACAAUUCAAACUUAUAAUUUACAUUGAUAGGAAUCGAGGUACAAAGUCUUAAUACACCCAACUAGUUCAAAACGUAUACAAUCCAAGUACAACAUGUUCCGUUCGAGGAAAAACGCGAGUACAAGACCAAAAGUCCGAAGUCAAAACAAAAGGCAACACUAGUCUUUUACAAGUCCCUCGCGUCACUCGUACCCCUGUAAGGAAAACAAACUAACGGGGUGAGCCAAAGCUCAGUGAAGUUCCCAAAUAUCAAAUUGGUCAGCAACCAAAUUAUAGCAAAAUAAAAGUGAAAUAGCGAGCAAACAAGUCAAAUCAGGGAAAUAGUACUUCAGCUAGCCAAGUAGUCAGAUUCAUAUUCACAUAUAAGGAUACAGUACUCAUUUUCAGCUCCAUUCCAGCUUGGUUAAGUGGUAGUUGACACUCCGUCAACUUUCAAGUAAUAUCCAGUCCAAAUAAACUCCACUACACGCCAAUUUCCGUCCACCGAUCAACCCCCUAUUCCGGGCCCGCACGCCAUACAAAACAUGGGUGGUAAUACUCGAGUAUACCGUUAGUCGAGGAGAUAAUACUCCACUCGACAUUACAAGUGACCCAGGGUUUGUUAUCUAAUCGACCAGGCCCUUGCCGGCUCGACUCGAUUAACUAGCCACAGGGUUUUCUGGAAUUCCAGGCAAGAUAUAAUUCAAGUACAUGUACAACAAGUCAAGUAUGAUCAAUAGCAAGAACAGGUCAUAUUAGGGCAAGUGCGAUAAAGUACACUCUUGCCCUUUCAUUCAUUGUCAUGUAAUCACGCAAGUCAAGUAAGGAGUACACAUAUCAAGUACAAUCGGAUAUUUGGAAGCACUCACCAAAAUAGUGCUUCUAGUGCUCGUGUCUGGGUGGUACUCUGAGUUGGGAGUCCAAAUCUGCGAUAAAACUUAACUUGAGAACUUUGAAAAUCAACCAAGGUUCGAAACUUAAGCGUUUCGUUCAAUAAGAAUCAAGAAAUUGAAAUUCACUUGAGAAGAGUCGUGAAAUAGUUGCUCGCUCUUCAAACUGAAAAAUUUGAUAACAUUUUUGCUUGAAGAUGACUCUUAAGUCAAAAGUGCAAGUAAAACGGUUUCGUAGUGAUUCAAAUCGUUUUCCUAAGGGUACAAGUUCGGCCAAGUCCUAACGUAUAAUCCUUGAUAAACAAGUGGCAAAGGUCCUCGAUAGUUCAAGUGAUAAUCACUUAACCUUCACUCAAGUCGCAAAGAUAGUUUUCUAGACCUCGAGUAAAAAUUCGGGCAGCAUGCCCUUUGUGUUUACCUAAUUUCCAGCCAUUUAAGCUUCAUUAUUUUUCUUCAACAAUAACCCAACAACAUACAUAUCAGCAAUUCAAGCCAAGAGCCGUCUCAUAGGCUCACAAUAUCAUAAUAACAAGAAUCGUAUUAAGUACAAGUGCAGAAACGCAAUUUAGUUCAAGACAGAUUUGACGUACAAAUGCGGAAAUAACAUAUCCGAGGCUACACUUAUUGGAUUGAGACGAAACCUAUGCCAUUUCGAAGCUAAGACACAAAGCUACAACAUUCAUGGAGGUCACUUAGUCCAUUUCCUAAUGUAACUUAGUCAAAAUCUCAGAUUACUAAACCAGAAACCAAUUCACCGGCUGUUUAAACGCAGAACACUGUAAUGAUCAUAACUCAGUGUACACAAGUCCGAAUCAGGUGUUCUUAGAGGCAUUUUAAAGCUACUUCAGAGCACUACAACUUUCAUGUUUUGGCCCAGAGAUAAAUCAGAAUGGAUCCUGGUCUAAAAUCGUGAUAAACUGGACUGAAUUGAAGAAACGGACUGCUGGGAAAUUCUUAGAACAGUAGGGGUAUUUUGGACUUUUCACGACCUACAUUGCUCCGAUUGAGCUGAAAUUUUACAGACACCUAUAAAAUGCCAUUCUCUACAACUUUCCUUCUUUGGCCAAAGGCCAAUUCGGCCUCUAACAUACAGAUACAAUUUCGGACAGAAUGCUUGGGAAAUUUUCCAGAAAUCUGGAAUUUUUAGCUCUAAGUGUAAUUUCCUCAAAUUUCUGGUUCUAAUGACCACUAAACAACCUUAUAUAACUUUAAUUGCAACAUUCAUGCAUCAUACAUCAACUUGAGCAGAAAAUCAGAAACCCUAGUUCAUCAAAUAAAUUGGGGAAAAGCUUCUACACAUGCUAGCAUCCAUGAAUCUACCACCAAUCAAGCUACUAAGCUUACUUUAACCAUGAUUGAAAGAGAAAGUUAGAGAGAUAUCAUCCUCUUACCUUGAUUUGAGUUCUCCAAGUAUAGCCCCAAGCUCUCUCUUCCCAAAUUUCCACCACCAAUCACUAGAUAAUCACUCAAGAGUAGGUUUAAUCGGUUUACUUUGUUGAUUUUCUCACUAAGUUGUUGGAUUUGAAGGUGAAAUGAAGAAAUCUUCCUUGGUGUUUUCUCCAAGCUCCUCUCGGCCAGCACCAGCAGAAAUGAGGAAGAAUUGGCUAAGUGUUGAGGUUAUAUGGAUGGUAUUGGUCUUGGUAAGAAACCAUGAGGUGGUGACAAGUGUCACCACCACCACCCUUUUUUUUUUCUCUUUCUUUCUUGCCUUUCUUGACCACUAAUUUUCAGUCAAGGCUGCUACAAUAUAAGAAGAUAUUAUGUACAAAAGUCAACAAACUUGUUGGGUAAGAAAAAUGGUGGUCAAGCGGUGCGUUCAAUCGGUAAUGCGCGGGACCCGCCGGUUCGCGCCGUUUUUCUUAAAAACUCACGUACUAGGGUUUUUACUUCUCAUUCACCAACCUUAUAUCAUUGCUACUAGUCACAUAUUAUUUCUCACUUAAAAGUCACUUUUAAUCAUCAAAUUGAUCCUUGGCCAGUACCGGAAAUUCAUCCGGCGGAAAAAUCGAAAAACCCUAAUUUUGCUCAAAACUUGAAACCAAAGCGUAAAACCUUAUUUUUCUAGGUUUAUUUACUCUUAGUGUGAAAUAAUGAGGUAGGGGCUUUUGAUAAAUAAUAAUUUUCAAAUAAAAGGCAUUUUUGGGGAAAAAUGUAGGAAAUUUGCGGGUCCUCACAUGGGACGUUACAAAAGAUCUUAAUCAUUGGAUCGCGUUCUCAAAGACUAAGUAAAAUGAUCCAACAUCUGGAAUCUGACGACUCGGUAUACCGAUGGGAUGUUAGUUAAUGAUACUCUUGAAUUAUUGCAGAAUAUUGGUUGUUGAAAAUUUUCAUGGGCGCUUAAAUGUUUAAGUGAUGCUGCCCACUCUUUUGCUAAUCUUUUAAUAGAUUAUGUGAGUAUAUGGGAUCCUUGGUGCAACUCAUACUACUUCUAUGUUUAUGUCAAGUGUGCUAUUUAUUUAAAUUGUCAUAUACUCUUUAAUUUUAUAAUAACUCAAAUUGAUUUGAUUUAACUCAAGUUUCCUUUAACCUCACAUAGUAAGUGGGACUGAUAUUGAAUUUAAUAUCAAAUACUGGUAUUGAGAAUCCCAACUCUUAUGUGGAAGAACUCCCCUCCAUUUUUUGCUAUUCCACAUAUGCUGCGGAUCUUCCUUAAUGAAAUCGGCUUUAAGUUUUUCUAGAAAAAAUAAUUCAUUGGACCGCAUGUAUUAGUAACUUUUAGUCCCAUAGCUUAUUCACAAGAAUUAAUGCUAAUGCUAUUAAUAAGCUAACUAGAAAUCAUCUAGUAUAAUUUGUUUCAUAAAAUUAGAAGAGGAAUUCUAUAAAAAUUCAGUUAGGCUGGUAGAUUUAGCAUAGUUUACUAAAGUAUGCAAAACUUUAUUUGCUCCCCUGAAAAUUCUUUGAAUAUCACCAUAAUUUUGUUCUAACAAAACCAAUCGCACGUCUGCAAUCAUAGGUUGUUUAGAUGGUACACUUGUACUUAGUGGCGGAGCCAGAAAAAAUUUUCAGUGGGGGCAAAAGCAACUGUAAAAUUUUUUACCUACUCUUUUUUUAGUUUUUUAAGGAAAAAAUAUUGACCAACAAGUACAAAUGAUGCAUAUAUUUCAUGAAAAACAUUAAAAGACAAACUGAAAAUUAUUAAUGUAAUAAUAAUUUUAUUUCAAAAGCAAACUAAAUCAUUUACAAUUGUUCAUGACGAGUUUUCAUAUUUUGAUAACGGUUUACAACCUUUUCAUUUUGAAUUCCACGAAAUAUAUUUUUCUCAAUAUAAGUAACUAAACAAUUAUUCAUCCAAGUGUCUUCCAUUUUAUUUUGUAACCGAUUCUUCACUAUAUUCAUCAUUGAAAAAACCCUUUCUAUGGUAGUUGUAACAACAUGUAAAAUCAAAGACAACUUUAAAAGUAUAUAAACCAAUAGAUACAUAAAACACCAGGGGCACACUUGAAAUUAUAUCAAAUUUUUAUAGGUAUCAUAGAAAUUUAAGGGGGUAGUGGGGGCCUAUAAACCAAUAAAUACACAAAACUCGAGGGGGCACGCUUAAAAUUACAUCAAAAUGUUAUAGGUAUCAUAGAAAUUUAAGAGCCCCCAAGUGUAAAUUCGCCACUACUUGUACUCAUUUGGCAGGUUCAAUUCGACAAGAAAUCAGCAACCUAUUCAAAAGGGGUAACGUGAAUUGCACGCGUUCUCCCCCUUAGGUUAGGAUAGUGUAAGAUAGUAUAGAUAAAGUGACCAUUGACAAAAAAAAAAAAAAGAAUUGCAUGUGUUCUGAAAAUAUUGAAAAAUUGCAAAGCUUAGUUCCUUAUCUUAAUGAGUAAAUCUUAUAUGCAUUGAUAGAAUAUACACUAUUACCGCUAUAUUUUUGACAUUUGAGCAAAACUUGAAUUCAAAUUCAAAUUUUGCGUGUUAUCAUUUAUCAAAUACUGACAGUGUAUACACUAUCAGUGUAGAAAAGAUUAAUCCUAUCUUAAUUAAGUCGUUGUUUAAUUACCACGGGAUUCAUCAUUCAUGGCUAACAAAUUCAGAGCUUUACUAUUAAAAAUUUGAUCAAAUUAGUCCCUUUAUUAGAAAACCGGUCCCUUAAAUUUAAAGAUUUGGUCAUUGUGACCAUAAAAAUUAUAAAAUUUACAUCAAUUAAUUUGCAUUGGACGAAUUUCAACUUGUAAGGCAAUUGAUACACCUACAUGUAUAGAAGACUUCGGUCAAAAUGAGUACCGUUGUAAUUGUUUAGAAUAAUUGCUCAAUCAGAUAUAUUGGGAGAUGUUAUUGGCUUAUUUAAAAAUGUCUUUGCUGCUCCAUUUCUCUCUUUAUGCUUUUAAAGCGAGGAUGGAGUGCUAAAUGCUUUUUUAUAAGUGCUAAUAUCAUAAUUUUCUCGUAUUCUUCCAUUGAUUAGACAUUAUUGGUCUUUGUUGACGAUAGUUACUCACCGAUCAGUAGGGUCUGCAGUUGAAAUAGACGCAUCUCUACCAUGUAGAAGUGUAGAAGAGAUGAAGGUCUUAUGAAUAGCAUGGGCGUCGUCCGCUGACUUGCUCUGCGAGGCUUACUUUUUUUUUUUUGGCCUUUUUAUCAUAUGGGUUAUGAGGAUCCACAAAGAGCUCACGUUCAACUAAUGGGUAACAGAACGAGACAUCUAUGGACCUUAAAUUUAGACUAAAGACCCCACGAUCUUCCGAUGUGGAUGAUUGUCCAACUCCUCGUGGAGACUCACAAAGAACCUACGUUUAACCAAUUAGUGACAGAAUGAGAUCCCUAUAGACCUUAAACCCAGAAUAAAGAUCCCACGAUUUUUCGAUGUGAGAUGGGCCAUUUGUGUCUCUAUCGUUUUGUGUCUUUAUUUACCAUGCUGGUUUGUUACUUUGUUAUUUGUUGUGUGUUCUGUAAUACCCCUUUCAUGUGCCAUUUAUUUCAGCUUUGCCAUAAUCUUUAUUUCAUCAUUAAACUUUAAUGGAUAAUAUAUUUCUUUAUCUUGCUAUUUGCACAUACAUCAUUCUCUAUUCUAAAAUUUCUAACAAAAAAUAUGUAUUUAUAUAUGGUAGUUUUAUUUUUAUUUAUUUUUUUUGCAGAUACACUUCCUCAUAAUAAUACUGCAGAUGCCAUAUUUUCAUCUGGAAAUAACAGAACUGGUACAUAAUUCUUUCUAUGCAAAAAAAUUAUUUUUUGCUUGUUUAUACUGAAAAUACUAUUAGCUGUCUAACAUAUUAUGUAACCAUAGAUCGUAGACACCUUGUACACAUACUAUGUUUUAUUGAUGUCUAAGAAUACUAAUAUUUAAGUGUUAACCUUCUUAUGGAUUUUAGAAAGUCUUAUAUUUUUACUGUAGCACUUUUUGGAUGUGUUUGGAUUGUAAGUUAUUUGAGAUAUUUUUACUGUAACACUUUUUGUGAUGUGAUGUAUGUGAGAUAAAAAGGUAAUUGGGAAGAUAAAAAGGCAUAUUGGAAAUUGUAAUAGUGAUGUAAGCAAAUAUAUUUAGACAAAUAACUUACAAUCCAAACACAUAUGUGACAUCUAUGAUGUUUGAUGCCCACGCAGAAAUAUAAACCUCCAUGUACCUUGGUUUAGCAUGCAUAUGCAUAUAUCACAUGUAUACUUUUGUAUGGAUUAUGUGUACACAUAUAUGUAUCUAUAUGUGAAUUUCUACAUGUAUUAAAUAUAUCUACUCUUCUUGGUCUUAUAUUUUUACUCAUGCAUUUAUUAAUAAAACUGAUGUCUAUAUUUGUUUACAUGAACAAAAUGAUAUUAAAGAUUAGUUUUUUGGUUUAAAUGAAUGCUUUUCUAUCUCAUAAUAAUUCUAGAAAAUUAUGAAAUUAGCAUAUCAAUUGCACUUAUUAUUAUGAUUAAGGAAUAACUUCUUUUCUCCCGCCCCCCAACCCAAAAAAAAUUAUUAUACUUAAUAAAAAAACUUUCUUAAAAAAAAUUAACAACUCCUUAAACGUCUAUAUAUUCCAUAACCAUUAAUGUUUUCCUUCCUUUGACUUUGUUUAGAAAAUAAUAUUUAAGUACUUAUUAAACAUCUGUAUAUUUCAUAAUCGCUACUGUUUUUUUUUUUUUUUUUUUUGCUUUUUGCAAUGCUUCAUUUAGCUUAUCUUCUUCAUCUCCUCUUAUUUGUUUGGUCUUCUCCAUGCAAGCAAUAAUUUAUCCUCUGGCACUCUCAUCUUGGCAUUGCAAUUCUUUUUCAUAAUGAUGUUCUUCACCUUCCUCGGUUUCUUCAUCUUUCUUUUUUAGUAUGAUGUGUUUAUGCUGGGAUCAUGUUCUACUUUUUCCUCAAGACAUAUAAUGGCUUGCUUUUCUUUGUAGUUUAUUCAGUUUAGCUAUAUACGAGAUGAAACAAUAUUUCCUCAUAACCGUUUUGGCUAAUACAAGAUGAAACAAUAUUUCAUCAUUCAACAAAAUCUUUCUUUUGUUGGAAGUUUUUUCCUUCAAAAUUUCAUUGAUAAUUAUUACUUGCAUUCUAUUUCCAUUUAUUCUUGUGAACUUAUUUUUGAGUUUUAUUUACAUAAUAUACCACUACAAAAUAAAAGAAAAGCCAAAAGAUCAUAUAAAAAUUGCGGGUUCCACCAACUAGUUAAUAUUUAAUACUCGACAAAGUAAAAAUAUUGUCCUCAAUUGGUAGGUGAAGGAGCGUAUUGUAUUUGUCUUCUAAUCAUCACAUUGUGGCUACAAAUCUCUCUUUUUUAAUUCAUUAAAUCGGUUUCAAAAAUAUUUAGAUCAACAUCAAAAGUUCCCAUAAUUCAUCAAACAGCAUCUAUGACUUUCAUACCAUUCUUUUGAUUUUUGAUGUUUAUUACUAGAAGCCAAAUAUUACAAUUAAUUUGCUCUUGGAUGUGAUUGUAAUUGUGAAGCAUAGUUGCAAAAAUGGACAGCGUGAAUUAGAGUUCAGACUUCAUAAUCAUAACUGAAUCAUUUUAAGGUUUUGAAAUCAAGUACAAAAGUUUAGGGUAAUCAUACCCUGCCUAGCUCCCUGAACUAUGGGUAAUCACAUUUUGUACCCAUCAACUAAACGUUUUACUCACAAUAUGAAAAGGGGAUAAUUUCAGAAACUUCCCCUGAGGUUUCUGACUGUUUCAUUGAGGUUUGCAAUAUUACAUUGGCCUUUCCUGACAAAAAUUUGGGCUCGAUUACUUACAUCACAUGGCGUAAAAUUACUACUAUGCCUAAAGAUAUUAUGCAUUAUUAGAAGAUUAAUAUCUAAUAAAUGAAUAAUUAGGGCUCAAAUUAAUUAAUUCCAAUUGAUUAAUGAACAUAAAUAUGGUCCUUAAUAAGAAACUAUAAUUGCAAAUACACAAAUGGGGCCAAUUGAUAUACUAAUAUGGCGCCAUUUUUUUUUAUUAACAUCAAUAAUAAGGACAACAAAUCGGUUUUAUAGAAUAUGAGAAGAAGGCAUCUCGUAGAAGAAAGAAAACUAAGAAGAAAGAUGGAGAAAAUGAAGGUUGAACAUGAGAGAAAUUUCUAUUGAAACUCAUGAUGCUGUGAUAGUAGCAAAGUAAUUUUGUAGUUUUAAAGGAGAAAGGAGAGAGUAUAAAGGCAAAAUUUGAAAUUAUUUCUAUUGUAAAUCGUAAUUAUUACAGCAAUACAGUAAUGGAUCUCUCCUUAUCUCAGUCUAAUAUUGGAAAGAUGACAUAGUAGUUGAAGCAUGACAAAAGUUAUCAUCUAUUAUAUUGAUAAUAAUUAUUUCUAACUUUUAUUCGUUUUGAUACAACUUAUAUAGCUACAAAAGGGGCAUUUGUGGAAAUAAUUUUUCAGCUUUCUCCUCAAAACGCUUUUUUAAGUGUACUUUUUAUGCUUUGGACUUAUUUCAUUACCAAAUACUUAACCUCAAGGGAGGUUUGUGCAAUUUUACAAAUCUUAAGGGAGGUUAGUAAAAUAGUUGGAAAUCUCUGGAGAGGUUUAAGAAAUUAUCCCUAUGAUAAAAACAAAGGAGUAACGGAACACGCGUGUGAUGGUACUGAUCCCCAACUCAUGUUGGAUUUAUUUUAUUAAUAAGGACGAUUUAUUUAUUUAAAAAAGAAAACCGUGGAAAUGCUGGUAACUAUUAAACGUUUGUAUACAGCAUGAAAAGUAAAAGAGGUAAGGCGCCCGCCGGAGGUGGUGGGGUUGGUGGUCGAAGGACGCAAGAUGGUGGAGUGUCAAAUAUGCUCAUGGGGAACACCAAGAAGUUAACUACACUGUCUUGAAACUAAAAUUUCUCAAAUAUCUUUAGUAUUCUCGGCAUGGUUAGGAAUAUGGACAACUACAAGAAGUUAUGCAUUGAACUUGUAUUGUCUACUUGUCUGGUAGUAUCUACUUUGGCCAUGUCCACAACCAACUUCACCACUGAUCAGUUAGCCCUUCUUAGCUUGAAACAGCAUAUAACUUCUGAUCCUGGAGGUUCAAUCUUGGGAAACAAUUGGUCCACUGCAGUCUCCGUCUGCGAGUGGAUUGGAGUCACUUGCAGCCCUCGCCAUCCGGGCAGAGUUACUCAGGUUAAUAUUUCGAACAUGGGUCUGGCGGGCACCAUUCCUGCAGACAUAGGAAACCUCUCGUUUCUUGUUUCUCUUGACAUGAGAAAUAAUAACUUUCAUGGCGUGCCACCAGAAAGGAUGGUUAAUUUGCGUCGAUUGAGGUACAUUGAUCUGAGAUUCAACAACUUUGUUGGAGAGGUACCAUCAUGGUUCGGUUUUUUGGAUAAGCUCCAAUCCCUGCUUUUAUCCAAGAACCAGUUUAGUGGAGUUAUACCAAAACAAAUUGGGAAUCUCUACAAGCUUGAGCACCUGAGAAUGCCCUACAACAACUUGGAAGGUACUGUCAAUCCAUCUAUUCGUUAUGCAGUUUGUCACAAUCAAGAAAUGACUAUGUAAAGUUUGAUUAAAGACCGGGGGAAGUAUCUAUCCUAUGCACUUGUCAUUGAAAUUAAAGACUUGGGUAGGCCUCUGUAGGUUCUCCUCGGGAGUAACUAUGCCUAAGCAAAUGAAAAUCAAAAUAGGUACAAGUAUCUGAUUUCAACCCAAAGCUUACUUAGCUUCUACAUGCAUGAAACUUUGUUAACCUCAGAAAAGGUGAUGUAAUUAACGGUUUUGCAGGAGGAAUACCAAAAGAGAUUUGUAAUUUAACCAUGCUCAAAAGCUUAGUCUUAUGCAGCAACCACCUGACAGGUACGUUACUCACCCUUCAAAGAUGCAGAAUUAUCACUUACUUUACCUCCAUGAACAUUCAUUUGCAUCAAUCUCUUUUUUGACCUUUUUAGUUGUCCAGUCUGGUAGAUAAUAGGCUUAGAAGCGUAGUUGCCGGGAUAAUAGAACCGUUGUGUAUUACUUACUAUAAGUUGAUUCUUUUGGUGAUGAUAAUAUGAUCUAUAUUUUAUCAUAUUAGAAUUAGUGCUGAACAUUCUAAUUCUAAUACGAUAAAACAAAGACCUUAAUCAUUGGACCAUAUUAGUAACUUUUAGUCUCAAGGUUUAUUCAGAAGAACUGUACCACAUAAUGAGGCUUCAUUUGUGCGAGCUUAAUUGUAGUUGUAUGGAUGGUACUCAUUUUGGAUUGGCAGGUUCGAUUCCACAGGAAAUCGGCAACUUGAUCAAAUUGGAGAAUCUUUGCCUUCAAUUCAACAGCUUAACUGGUUCGAUUCCAAUUGGGAUAUUUAAUAUUUCGGCCCUGCAGAUUUUCUCACUUGUAAGAAAUCAUAUUAUUGGCAAUCUUCCACCAAACUUUGGUUAUGCUCUACACAACUUGGAAGAAUUUGUAAUUGGUGGGAAUAACUUGAGUGGAGUUAUACCCAGGUCUAUCUCAAACUGUUCAAAACUGGCCAGAUUAUCCCUUGGUCAGAACAAAUUCACUGGCAAAGUUCCCAAUUCCAUUGGAGAUUUAAGACUUCUUGAAGUCCUGGAUUUAUCUGAGAAUGAUCUGACGAGUGAUCAAUCUGAAUCUCCAGAGUUGAGCCUCAUCACUUCUCUCACAUAUUGCAAAUCUUUAACAAGACUUGCAUUGGCAGGUAAUCCUCUCAAUGGCAUGCUCCCUGUCACCAUUGGAAAUCUUUCUAAUUCUCUUGAAAAGAUAUAUGCACGUAGCUGUAGGAUCAGAGGUAGCAUUCCAGAGAGCAUUGGCAACUUAAGCAACUUGAUAGUAUUGAGCAUAUUUGACAAUGCCUUGACUGGUUCCAUCCCUAGUACACUCAAAGGUUUGCAAAAGCUUCAAGGUCUAUUACUUUACGACAACAACAUCGAAGGAACCAUUCCUACCAAUCUUUGUAAUUUACCAAGUUUGAGUACCGUGGAUGUAAGCCAUAAUCAAAUUUCAGGUACCAUCCCAGAAUGUAUAGGUAAUCUCACAUCUCUAAGGAAUCUCCAUCUUGGAUUCAACAGAUUAGCCUCUAGUCUUCCUAGAAGCUUGUGGAAUCUCAAGGAUCUCUUGAAACUUAACCUAACAUCAAAUGUCUUAAUUGGAUCUCUUCCUCCAGAAAUUGGAAAGCUAGAGGUUGUAAUGUUGUUAGACUUGUCUGUGAAUCGUUUCUCGGACAGCAUACCUAGUACAAUUGGGGCGCUGGAAAAUGUGAUUCGCCUUUCUUUGGCACGUAAUGCCAUUCAAGGCUCAAUUCCUGAGUCACUUAGUUACUUGUUAAGCCUUGAAUUUUUGGACCUGUCGCAUAACAACCUUUCUGGUUCAAUUCCCAAGUCAUUGGAGGCUCUUAAAUUUCUCAAGUACUUCAAUGUUUCUUUUAAUGAUUUAAGAGGUGAAAUUCCAUCUGAUGGUCCUUUCCAAAACUUCAAUCCUGAAUCCUUCAUAUCCAAUGCAGCAUUGUGUGGAGCAUCUCGUUUUCAUGUCAAAUCAUGCGAAACUGUUGCUGAGCAUAGAUUGAAGCACAAGAGGAAUAUACGGAUCAUUUUUGUUGUGUUAGGAACUGCAACUGUACUAAGUGCCAUGGCCUUUGGAUUCCUUUUCUUCAGAUACCGAAAGAAAGAUAUCGUCUCGAGUCGAAGAAAUUUCUCGUCAUUGAUGUCCAAACCAAGAUUUUCAUACAAUGAACUUUUUCAAGCAACUGAUGGUUGGAAUAAUAGAAAUUUACUUGGCUUGGGGAGCUUUGGAUCUGUUUACAAAGGUACUUUUCGUGAUGGGAUAGUUCUGGCUAUCAAAGUAUUUAAUUUGGAACUAGAAAUGGCAUUUGAGAGCUUCGAUGCAGAAUGUGAGAUGUUGAGCAAUUUUCGCCAUCGCAAUCUAACUAAAGUUAUAACUUGUUGCUCUAAUGCUGAUUUUAAGGCCAUAGUGCUUGAAUACAUGCCUAAUGGUAGCCUUGAGAACUGGUUGUAUUCCCAGAAUCAUUUCUUAGAUGCUACGCAGAGAUUGACUAUCAUGAUUGAUGUCGCAUAUGCACUGCACUAUCUUCACCAUGGUCAUUCAACACCAAUGGUCCAUUGUGAUCUGAAGCCUAGUAAUAUCUUGCUCAGUCAAGAUAUGGUUGCACAUCUUUGUGAUUUUGGUAUCUCUAAAUUGUUGAGCCAAGAAAGCAGCUUUACAUACACUCAAACACUGGCUACAUGCGGAUAUGUUGCACCAGGUAACUCUAUACAGUAUAUGCACGAACACAACCAUGUCAUAACUCAUACGCAGUUUGUUAUAGUAACCUUCAUCACUGAUCUUUUUGCAUGCUUAUUGCUGUAGAGUAUGGAUCUGAAGGACUGGUUUCGACGAGAUGUGAUGUUUACAGUUAUGGAAUUGUAUUGAUGGAAGUAUUCACCAGAAAAAAGCCGAAUGAUGAGAUGUUUGGUGAAAAUUUGAGCUUGAAGAGUUGGAUACUUGAUUCUUUGCCAAAUGCCAUAGUUCAGGUUAUAGAUGCCAACUUGAUUAGGCCUGAUAAAAGCAGCUUUAGCCAGGAGCUAAAUUGCAUAUCAGCUAUAAUGGAAGUGGCAAUGAAAUGCUCAAGAGAUUCGCCAAGAGACAGAAGUACAAUGGGAGAUGUUCUCGAGGAAUUGAAAAAGAUCAAACUUCUUCUUUCAGCAUUGGACAGAGAAGAUUGAGUCUCAUCUGAUCAAUGGCAAGUGAGGACAUACUGUGGUCAUUAGCUGAAGUCAGAGUUACUUACAAAGGAGUUUUAUAAUCGUUGAUGACUUCAGAUGAAGUUUGUCAUGCUGCCACAGAAUGAGGUUCUUGGUUCUUGAUGGAAAUCAAAAGACAGAGGGAAACUUUUGGGCGUGGUGAUUUUUUUUACACUCGCAACUUUGGAUGUGUGCUACAUAUGCAUAAUCAGAAUUUUAAAUUUAGAUUCAUGUUAUAUGACAUGAUCUAAAUUUACUAGUUUAAAAAAUGUAUAUAUACACCAACAGCAUAUGAAAAAGUUAUUCAUAAGUUAAAUCCUUGGGUAGAUCAUUGCCUUGCCUGACGCGGAUCGGAGCACAACAAUGGGAAAUGAUCCAUCCUAAAGUUGAAUUCCUGCCAAAUCAAAAGUAAGAAGCCAGCUCAGCUCGGCCAAAUUUGAACUAUUCAUUUCAAUUUUUUUUAGUAUUUUUAUUUUCAUAAUGCAAGCUAUAUUUGUGCCCGCUCAACUCAGUCUAAUUUGGACACGAAUUAUUCAAUGACAUCCAAAUGCAACAACAAAGUUUGCAACGCAUUCUUUAUAGGUUUCUUUCAUUUAUUUUAUUACUAGGAAAUGUUAUUUACACUUUCAUUUUUGUUAAUCACACUUCCACUAAUAUUUUUAUCAGAUGGUUUUUAUUUAUUAGACUAUAUGAUAAAAAUAAAUGACGGGAGUAUGAUUAACAGAAAAUGGAGUACAAAUAAUAUUUUUCUUUUUUUUCCCUUUUUCAUUCUUCGUAUCCAUGUAAAAAUUUUUUAAGGGCAGGCUAAAUUCAUCGUCUUCCGUCUUAAAUUCGCACGUAGUACAACUUUAAUACAAAUGGUACAAAUUAUCAAUGCACAUAGUACGAGUUAUUAAUGCAUUAAGGGUAUGAAUUUAGACGGUUGGGAGUGUGAAUUUAGCUUGUUUCUUGUGAAUAUCAUCAAUGUAUAAUUGCUCAUAAUAUAGAACAAUCUACACAAUUUUCUUAGGUGACAUACAGCUUAAACAUUGAACAACCCCAGUUACAGGCCUCGCACUUUUGCCCAUUAUUUUGUCAAGAGCCGUAUCGAGAGAUUUGCUUGAAAGUUGAAAAAGCACCUAAGAACCAAAUCUCGCCAAAUUACACAUUUAAGAUUUCAGUCAUACACAUUUUAUUCAAACACAAAUCUAAGUGCAACUUGUGUAUUACUUUUCUUUUCUUCUUUCAUUGCACAAAAGCUUAUUAACCAUGCAGAACGUUGUGGAAUGGCCAUUCCUCCUGCCCUUUCCAUCUCCCAUGAUGAAGAUAUAUUCUAGUUAACUGAUUGGUAAAUGAUCACCCAUAAAUAGCAAUGUCCUUGUCAUAUGAUCACCUCUAUAAACUUUGUAGGUGUGCUUAAACCACCAAAAAAAAGGAAAAAAAAAGAAAAAAGCUAUUGCAUUCUUUUUUUUUUUUUCCGAAACGAUAAGUGAUUUUAUAUCAUGAAAUAAUCUUUACAAAAUCAAGCAAAGGCUCGAUAACUAAAUACAACCAGUGCACAAUGGCACUAAGGAAUCACAAAUUCCUCAUCUUGAAUGAUAUUCAACGCAUAAGCGCUAAUUCUAUUACUUAAAUGAUUAUUAUCUCCAUCAACUAGGCAAAAAGAGCACAUUCAAAACAAGGCCUUCAAAGUGAGAAUAUCCUAUUGCAUUCACAAAGGGGAAUGUUGUGCAUUCAAUUUUGGUACAAGUUUUGUUAGACGUUAUAGAUUCAUAGUAGUUUAGACUAUAGUGAACAUUAAUUAUUUCCUUUUUAUAAGAUUACAAAAAACCUACAAUAGUGAGAGCUAAAUGAUGGAAAUUAUAACUCAAUAUCACUGCCUGCUAACUAAUCCACAUGAAGUGGGAGAAGAAACUCACAUAUAUAGUGAGACUUGACAAUGUAGACGUUCAUUUAUGUACUCUUUUUUAGGAGUGACAUUAAAUUUUGGAGAAUGUGCAAAAUCUAAUUCCUGUAAAACCCAUUCAAAAUUAAGUCUUGCUUUUAAUUAGGGCAAAUGUGUGAUUUGGUUAAACGGGCUAUAUGUGCAAGUGGCUAAAAUUUGUUGGAUCAUCCGCUGUUUCUAAGACAUCAAUUGCUCGAAAACUAGUAGCAAAUAUUGAUCAAACUAUGCCCAAGCACUAUAUAUACUUAAAACUUGCAGACAUGAUGGUCUAAAGAAAAAGAACUUCUGGAUUUUGUUAGCUGAUCUAUGGUAUGAAUGAGAAGCACGAGGCCAAGAAGGAUCCACAGCAUGCCCUCAGGCAGCACAAGUUAGAAGAAGGGAUUUGGGGCAGCAGCUUCAGUUGGAGCUGGUGGUUUAGGAUUCCAUGAGCAUCAUGAGAAGAAAAAUGCCAAGAAAGAAGAAGAAAAGGCCACCACCAUCGGUUUUGAACAUUAAUGAUGGGAGUUCCUUCAAGUUUCUUCCUAGUUUACGUUCAGUUUUAUACUUUUACAAGAAAUUAUAUUAUGUUUGGUUUUUGGUCCAAAUAUUAAAAGAAAAAUAAAAGUGAUGUUAAUCUGUCUUCGUGAUUUGCUCCUGAUUUUGCUGGCACCCCAGGUGACUCAGUAAAUUUGUUAAUCGAAAGGAUUUUCUCAAUUGAAGAUACGACAAACAAAUUUAGAAAUCCCGACUUUUUCAUGGCUCCAUGCACGUGUAAAAUUCCCAUAAAAAAAAAAAAAAAAACAGUUCAUCCUGCUAGAGAAAUAAUUUUGAUGGUUUUUGCGACAUGUAAUGUAAUUCUCUGUUGUUAACUCGAAAAAAAAAAUUUUUUUUCUGUCCUUGAAAUGUAACCAACGAUUGGUGCAAUGGUCCAAAAUCCAGCCCAUUUAGAACUGUCAUGACCCAAAACUUCAGAGAUUUGUCCAACAUCCUUGAUCAUGUCAGGUUGAUCAAGACAGUCUAACAGAAUGUUCCUGCACCUCAUCCUGGAAAAUUUGAGCAACAUAAAAGCUAACUUAAUUAAAUUCCAAUUUAGCACCCAAAAAAAAAUUAAAUUUCAAAUCUGUACAUAUGUUUUUUUCCUCUUUUUAAGAGUAAGUUCCAAAGAUUGUUUGACGAACUUUGUGUGAAAUACAUUGAUAAAGACCUCAGGUACUAUUUUGUACAAGUUUUUGAGUUUGAACUUCCUUAUACUAUUUCAUUUACUCCAAAAAAAUUCUUAUAGUUACACCUAUAUAUAUAUAUAUAUAUAUAUAUAUAUAUAUAUAUAUAUAGUGCAUAAAUUACUGAGCAAAUUUCCAAGAUAAGCAUAGGCAAAGAUAAAAAUCACUAAAGACUAUUAUAAUGUGAUUUCCAAGUGUUGAGAGCUACUGCAUCUACUGCUCUAUCGUGCUGAUCAUUGAUCAACAAUAUGUGAUUGUAAUCAUGCAAAUGUUAGAUGUGAAUGCAUGAAAAAUUUGACACCUGUGGACACAGGCAUGUCUUAAUUUGAACCUUUGAACCUAGUUGCUUUAUGGUAAAUGAUCAAGUCGUUCAAGCAAAUCUAAAAUCACUAUCCUGUGACAAAAAUGUUGUCUGGAAUCGGACUAUCACAAAAGUUAGAGCUAGAAAGGGUCUAAUUCCAUUGUGCAAGAAAUUAGUCAAGGACCCCAACUGCCUUAUUCACAUUGUCUAUCAGGGUAAAACAUUCUAAGUUGAUUCGGAUGAAAAAUGGAUCGAAAAUAUCAACCACGAUAUGAGGCUAAUGAGUGCAUGAUGUGUAACAUAUUGUAGAAAGAUUGCUUUACAAUGACCUAACAAACUACAACAUCAAGAAAGCCAAAAUGAAUGAAGAGGUUCCUGCCCGUCCAAUCUCAGAACCAAGAAAUGAAGAGGUUCCUGCCCUUCCAAUCCCUGUUUUCUUUAUUGCCAUAAGAACGUGGCACCAUGAUGGCGGUCCACAAAGAACAAAUGUGCAUAGCUGAAAAACACGUUCCAGUUAACGACUUCACAAGCUAUAAACUAGCUUGGUGUUAUCGUGGGACAAGCAUCGAUUAGUAAAGCAACACGUAUUUUAUGCCAAGAUAUCAGCAACCACAAAUCUUCAUGACAUUAAAGCCGCUAUGCCCUACCCAAGGAACCAACUGUCCAUAAUUGUUGCGGUUGAUUUCGAAUCCAAUAUCCUUGCGUGGCUUUUUUUUUAUUUAUAAGAAUUAAUAUUAUAUACAUCAACGCGUAUAGAUUUUUUUACGUUGAAAGGUAUAGAUACAUGAUAUAUGAAUAAAAAGUGAAUUUAAAUUUUGAAUAGUGAUGAUAUAACAUUUGUCUAAACUUUGUGUAAAAAAUUUUUUACGCUGAUACUGUAUAAAAAUUAUUCCCUUUUUUUAAUUGCUUACUUGAUUGGUAUCUAACAAUGUUUUGAAAAUCGGAUCAGACCGGGAACUGGUCAUAGCUUCGAUUCGGUUCAUACUUUGGGUUAACUAGACUUAAAAAUCGGAUUGAACCGUUGAACCGGUAGUUUUUUGUUUUUGUUUUUGUCUAUUAAAUUGAAAAAAAAAUUAAAAAAAGAAUAGGUUUUCCUUAACAUUAAAGACUAAUUAUUAAAUGUCAUAUUCACUCACUUUCUUUUCAUUUUUUACCUCUUAUCAAGUUUGUAUCUAUAUGUUCUAUUUUCCUGACUUUCUUCAAACUCCAAUCUUUUUUUUUUUAAGUUGCAGUCUUUAAAUAUAAAAAAUGUGAAUUAAAAUUUAAACUCACAAUAUCUAAUUCCCAUAUACGUGAAUUUUGUAUGAUUUUAGAAUAUUGUGGUAUUUUUGGGUUGGAUAUAAGAUUAUUUUUUUGGUAAAUUCAAUCAAAAUUGAGAUAAAAUUUAUUUGUUUCAACUUAUAAUUUUAAAAAUUUAUUUCUGAAAAUCCAAGUUCUUUGAAAAUAUUAAACGCUUCAUCAUAUAAAGUCUUAAAUUAGUCCAAUGCAUUCUUAUUUUGUGCAUAUAUAUUUACAUAAAUUAUUUUUAAAAAAAUUUAUUGAACCAUGAUUAAACCGGUCCGAUCGAUUGAAUCUCGACCUAAACACUCCAUCAGUUCAAUCAACGGUCCGAGUUUCAAAACAUUACUACGUGGGGAUUUUUACUUCACCAAUUAUUCAUAUGAUUAAUUUUUAGGAUUUCAUUUUGAUCUACAACUCAUUAUCUAUUCACUAGUCACAUGUUUGGUUGUACCGUUGAAACUACUAACCAACAACUAUGGUGCUCGAGAUCUUGUGAUUUGUGAACAUAUCAACAACUUUAGUUUUUGAUUUUUUGUAACUAAUGUAAAAUUUACGGCCCUUAUUAUACUGCCUAUAAAAUUCUAAAAUAUAUUUCCAGUGAAAGAAGAAUCUUUCAGCAAGUAGGAUAACAUUAAGAGAAUAUUCAGAACCUGUCUCCAAUUAUUGUGGGCCAGGCUCCCCUAAUCAAGUGAUUGUCUUUUGAUAAAUAAAAAGUGAUUAUCUAAUAAUUACUCAUUGGAAUUUAAACCUUGCCGACACCGGCAAUUCAACCGCCUCAUUGAUUAAGUCCUAACAAUGGAGGGUGGGCACCAUCCGGGGUCAAGAAAGCGACGACGCCGCAUUACUUUUUACAUGAAAAUCGCGAAAGCCAAAUAUUAAAGUCGUGUGGCAUUAAAAGCGGAACAUGACAUUUGUUAUGAACGUAGUGGUCCAAUCACGUUUCUUGUUGAAGAUUUUUCUUUACCCUUUUUAUCCACUCGAGAAAGGAAGGUUUAUAUGGAAACAAGAGUGUCUCUUUCAUGAAAUGGUAAUUGGAUAAGGAGAUUUUUCUAUUAAUAAAUUACCUGAUUUUCAAUCUAGUUAUCCAUUGAGAUUAUUUGGUGCUUAAUAUUUAUUAAGUUUUUGGGAACCCCGAAUGGAAGUAUUAAGCAAAAUAUGAUUUUGGAAGUACUUUCUUUUUUUAUCAUGACUUUAGCAGCUCCACCUCCAUAUCACAUGAUGAAUUCAGAUUGGUUUGUUGAGUGUUGUUCGAUUUCACAUGGUAGCUCCCACUUGCCAUUCGUAAGAGUCAAAACUUUGAUCAGUAUCAAUUUGAAUUAAAAAGUUCACAAUAGUUUGUGAAUGAAUCGUUAUAUUUCCCAAAGCUACCAGUCAACAAAGUUGCUUCAUCCCCCAAGGCAAUAAAAUUCCGUGAAUUUGCAACAGUUAAAACACACAGUGGGUCUAUGUUGAAACCUACAGCAGGCCUUCAUUUAUUUUUGGGAUGAUUUCAGAAACCUCCUCAUGGGAAAUUUCUGACAAUUUCACUUACUUCCCUUUAGGUUUGAAUAAUUACACUAAUCUCCUUUUAUGUAGUAAAAUGACUAUAAUAUCCUUCAUUUAUAAAUGAUUUCUACAAAAAAAAAAAUCCCUACAACUAUAAUUAGUCUUUCAUUUUAAAGCAACGGCUACCACACAAUAUAAAUUUUUAUUCUCUCUCUCUGACUCUCUCUCCUAUCUUCUUUCUCCUACACCUCAUAAUCCACUAUUUUUCCAUAAUUGCCAGUUACAUAAUGAUCUAAUACAUUUUGAAUCCUCAUUAUUAUGGAAAUAAAUCCUCUCUCCCUUUUUUCGUUUUCCUUUAUUUUAAGUAUUAUUGAAUUGAAAUUGUCAAAUGACAAGUUGUCGAAUCAGAUUUGUUGUCAAGCUAAAUGAAAGUAAAAAGGAUGGCGGUGAUACAAAGUAUAGACAAGAAAAUGAAAGUGAUAGCUAAAAAGGGAAUAUGGAUUGAGGAAGGUUACAUUAUUAUGCCAAUUAUGUAAAAAAGAAUUUUAGGAUAUGAAAACUGCAAUCAGAUUUACCUAAAAGACAUGGGAUAUGGUCUCUAGUGCUAUUUUUGGUUGCUCCGUAUUGGUAUUCUUGGUUCAAGCACUGAAUUUAGGCAAAAAAAAAAAGAGACUAAAGAUUAGAUUGAAUGCAAACUUUAAUUGUCAUAGUUGAUUUGCAUGGGAAGUUUUGGGGGGCAUUAGUAGGCUAUCAAAAUUGUGAGAAUAUGAGAAUUAAGUUGAAGUGGUUUAUUGAGUUCAUUAAGUGGCGGUUAUGGCGUUUACACUAGUUACAAUGUAGAAAAAAAAAAUUUAUUAGUGAGUUUUCCCCCUUCUAAGCAGCAAAGGGGUAUUUUAGGAUUUUUAAGAAUAAAUUUAGCAUACUAGAUCUAUAUUGUUACUGAAAUGCAAAUCAUAAGGGAGCUAAGUGUAAUUUUUUAAAUUAGAGGGGAGCAUCCUGAAAUAGUCAGAAACCUCAAGGGAGGUUUCUCAAAUUAUCCCUUUAUUUUUUUUUCCUCUUUUUCAUCACUUUUAAAAAUGAAACAUCAUAUAAUUGUCAAUUAUGUAAUCCCCCCUCCCCCCAACAAAAAAAAAAAGAAAGGAAAAAGAAACUUCGUAACUAUACUUGCACACGUGAAAAAUGUUUUGUCAUUUACUCAUGGUACAAAUGUAAGGAGUUUUCUAGAAAUAGUAGACAGGCAAAAUUACGAAAAUAUUAAUACAAGGGUCUGCUAAUUUAACUUUCUCUAAUAUCUGUCACUAGUUGCAUGUGGACGUUAAAGCAGCACCGUGCAAUCACAAUCAAAGACCUUAUCUUAUUCCCUCGAAUUUACCUUCAUCUCAUCUUAUUACUGUAUUCAGAGGUAGAAAAUAGAAGGUCUCUAAUGUCCAUCAAUCAGAGCAACAAUCGAGCGUAGAUAGAUAUGACUAGGAGAUGACAGCACAUUCUAUUAACCAAUUAGUGCCAAAAUCCCACGAUCAAGACUUAUAAAUACAUCUCCCAUCUAAAGUCUAAACCAUCAGUCAUAGCAUCAACAAUAUAUAGUCAUUAUCCAGCCAGUUGAUUCAAUUUCCCUAGAAAAAAGUCAUCAUCAGAACCAUCAUCAUGGCGGAGGAGGAGAAGCACCACCACCACCACCUUUUCCACCACAAGAAGGAGGGGGAGGAGGAGAACAUAGUUGAUGAGGCGGCAGCUCAUAAAUAUGAGAAAGAAGAGAAGCACCACAAACAUCUUGAGAAGGUUGGGGAGCUCGGUGCUGCUGCUGCUGGAGCCUACGCCUUGGUAAUUAACAUUUCCACAUACUCAAUUCAUGAAUGCUUGUCCCUUCUUUUUUUUUUUUUUUCUAAAAAAAUAUCAUAUACAACUUCCCCUCCAUUUUUUUUUGAAUUCGUUUUCUGGGUUUUUAAUAAAACCAUAUGGGGAUUGAUCAUGAAUUUUACUUAAUUUGGUAAUUUCUUAGUUUAAGAAAUUUUUAGUUUUUUAAUAUUUAAUCUGAGAGACACAAAUAUAUAAUUGUCCAAAGAAAUGGUGACCGGAUCCUGUUGUUAAUGGAAUUGCGCCUAGCUUGUAAUAUGAUCCUCUUUUUAUUUUAUUUAUUUAUUUUUGUUUCAUGAUAUUUUUUAAUUUUUGCCAUUUAUAGUAAAGUCAAACUCAAGAAUAUUGAUUGUAUUAGCAGCAACCAAAUAUUUCAUGAUCUCUUUCUCGGUCAAUCUACUAGAUGCUAGGGUAGCGCAGGUUGGAAUUUGUAACAGUUCUAUGAGAUACAUAUAACGAAUUCAUAUUCUACUUCACAAAUUUGGAUCCUCUUUUUAACUUAAGAUCCAAAAUUUCCUUAAUGUUGAAUUCACCUUUUUCUUUUUCUUUUUUGUCAAUUGUUUAUUGGUCUAAAAAAUCGGAUUUUCAAAUUGACAAGAAAAAAAAAAACAGAGGAAUUGGGGAGUGCGAAAAUAAAAUGAUAACCAAUCGGGGUAGUAAACUCUAGCCGAAGAUCAAAAUUCAACCCCAUUUUCCAAUCAAUUGAUCGGACCAUAUGUGUGUAAACUCAUUAAGAGCUCAGUAAGAAAAUUUUUUCGAUUCUUGGUUAAUUAAUUCCCCUUGAUGAUUUGUAAUUGAUUAAAUUAAAUGGCAGCACGAGAAGCACGAAGCAAAGAAGGACCCUGAGCAUGCCCACAGGCACAAGAUAGAGGAAGAGAUUGGUGCAUCACUUGCAGUUG
rnacentral:lncRNA from 1 species